rnacentral:lncRNA from 1 species
GCCUCCUCCACCGUCGCCGGAGAUGUCCCUCGACGGCGCCUUCUCCCCCGCCGCCGCGCUCCGCCGCCUCCUCGCCCGCCACCCCGCCCUCCGCGGCGCCGACCCGCGGAUCGCCGCCCUCGAACAAAAGGUGCCGCCUUUCGCUCGAUCCUACUCUCUUAUCCCAUUGAGUCAUCUCUCCGGUCCCGUUGUAUGGUGUGGUGCUGGUGGAUGAAGUGCUUUUUUGAGUUGUUCCGUUAGGCCCAGCACUGGGCUGAACUUUUAUCAGCAGCUUCUUCUCUAGGGCGGAAGUGGAAGUUCCGAAUUGGGCCUGUUUGGUCCUGCUGGAUGGUGCAGUGUUGUUGGAUAAGUGCUUUUGGAGUUGCUCUGUUAGGAUAAGCAUUAUGUUGAAGUUUUGUCAGUGGUUCGUCUAUGCGGCAGAGGUGGAAGCUCGGAAUUGGGCCUGUUUGGCCCGGAUAUAGCUUUUAGGAAGUGUUUUUUUGAGCGGUGCCGUGCGAGGAAGCACUAGUAGCUUCUUUAGGAAAAUUCAUGUGAUAGCAUUGCUCUUUGUUAAAUUAGAAGCUUCAAAUUGGAACUUCUGAUUUUAAGGCCCAAAAGCUCAUUUUAGCUUCCUUCUUGUUUGCCGAAAGUCUGGUAAGCUGUCCAGGUAGAUAAGCAAAGUGGCACUAAUGCUUAUGUGUUUGGGGGUUAGAAGCACAAAAUCCAAACUUUUCUGUUUGCAAAAGCCAAAACACCUACUUGACAUGGUUGUAGUUUAGAGUAGAAGUAGAAGCAUUGCCAAACAGACACUUAGUUAACAUUGUGGUAAUGAGCAGGGCGAAGCUUUGACGGCAAAUGAUUUGGUGGCAGCAUUGGCCGACCCAUUCCUCCACCCGAGCUACACAAUUCCUAUAGUGGGAUGCUUCCGCCCGCUCUGUCAGAAGAUUGUGGAAAGGGCUGUGGCGAAGCUGGGUAGCAUCCCGAGCCUCGAAUUGGAAUCGGACGAAAUUGCAGAGGAGGUUGGUGACCAUGAUGUAUGCGUUAUAGACUUCUAUGCUGGGAAAGGGAGGGGUUUGAGGCUUCAUGAGCUUGCUUCUUUCGCCUUAUGUCGGGCCCUUGAUUUGGCGCCCUUCUUGUUGAGGUAAUUCUUUUUGUUUUGUUCUCUAAGUUUUGUAUGUUCCAUGUAGUUUUCAUGGGCAAUGCAAUGAAAAUAAGAAUUUAAUGGUUUCUCCAGUCACAUUGCAUAUGCAAUGUCAAUAUUGACUAGUUUCGGUAUAAUGCAUUAUACAUUUAAUUUAUUUGCGAGUUGUACUGACGCAAAACAAGUUCUAGUUGGUUUAGAUCAAGUUAGUUUUAUUUUAUUUGAGUCAAUAUUAUGUAUUUAAGUUUAUUUUGUGUUCAGUUAAGGUUGUUUUAAAUGAGUAGGAUAUCAAGUUUCUGCAUGAUGAAUAUGCGUCUUGAUUUGUCUUGCAUCAUAUUCAUCUAUAUGCAAAACUUAAUGAGGCAUUAUGAACUUCGUACUCAUGCACGACUUUCAAUUAUAACUAAUGUGAAUUUGUCAUUAACAAGCUGAAAAGAAUAAACACUUGUGGUGUUGGUAAUGGUGUACAUAAUUUCUUUAUAUGUUUGCAGAAGUACUUUAAGUUAUUUCAAGUUCGCUCCUCCACCUUUUCAGCGCCUUAUCUUGGCAGGCUUACCUUCACCAAUAACAGAAAAGGUUGUUCUUCACUUCUUUGAUUUGUAACUUUUUGGCAUUCUAAAAUGCAUAGAUCAUUGUAAUUCUUUUGUUGACGUAUCUGUAUUAUAUUUUAUAUUCCCUGAGAGCUUAAUAUUGAGUCCUCAUUUUUGUCAUAUAGUGGUAGGAUGAGUUGGAUUUUAUCUUCAUGUGUUAUUUACUUCUGCAACCUGUGAUAAGGCUCCAUUUCUUGAAUUGCUGAUGUUAAAGACAAUCUACAUACCUGAAUAGGAAGGUUAUAUCGUAAUUAUCAACUUGUUAUUUGCCUCUAUAUUACAUUGCUUUCUCUCUUUCUCUGUCUAUCUUUCUAAUGACUUAGUAGGCAUUGCUUUGUCGUGUCUCACCAAAUGCAAAUGUUAGAUGAAGUGGAUUUAAGGAAGGAAAAAAAUGAUGCAAAUGCUUUUUGGAUUGCCUUUUCUUUUUCAGGAAAUUUUAUGGCAUGCCUUUUAGAAAGCAGAAUCAACACUGUGCGUACUUUGAUAUCAUAAUGUGCAGUAAAAACAAAGUUCUUUGCUUGCAUGGUCAUUAUUUGAUCUUUAACUUAAGGUUUAUCUUUAAGAUGUUAAAUUAUGUUGUAGAAACCAUUUUUAAGUUUUCAUUUAUCAACUGAUUCUUCCUCUCCAAACUCACCUUCUUCUCCGAACGUGAUUUUCUUGAUACCUCUUCCAGGCUUAGUCAAUUACUUAAAAGACUGUUUGAUGUUGAAACCACCUUUUCAACUGGGGGUGGCAAUUUCAGUGUAAUAUGACUCAAACAUGAUCAGAUAUGACAGGAGGUUAUUGAAGAAAUCUGAAACCAACACGAAACAAACCUGUUUGAGUUGAAAACAAUACAGCAUUACGCGAUAUGACCUGAAUAAAAAAGAAGUUAAUAUUUUGAGCAUAACGUUCUUUUAUAGACAUUUGGACAAGCUUUGAAUCGACACUACUAACACGAUAGUUGAACAAAGCUUGCCACCUGAAUUGCCAACCCUGUUUUUGACCAAUCAAUGUAGCAGAUGUUCCUUAGUAUCACUAUAGCUACUUCUUAUCUGUCAUAGUGAAAAUGGGUCAGCUACUUAGCAUUUUUUUUUUUUAUUGGUGAGGUUAUUGUAUGCUGCUAGUUAACAUCCACUGCACUUGCUAUUUUAGGCUGUAAAAUUAUUGCUUGAGGCCGCUCGAAUAUCUUAUCGUUUCCUGGUCAUGGACCCAAAAGUUUUCUCUGAACUUUGGGAUUGGUCGUGUUUCUUAGAUCUCGUGAAGAAAACAACUGAUUUUCAUUUAUAUUAUGGCGUGCUGCUUAGUGAUGUAUUGGAUGUAAGAUGGUGCUCGAUACAGAUUCUAUCAGUUACCCUAAAAACAAGUGAUCGGGCCACUGAAUGUUUUGGUUUUGGAGCUGAUGAGAUGGAAACUGAAAAUUCUGGUCGUGAAGCCGAGGAGGCUUUCAUGUGCUUACUGAGGUUGAUUUUUCUCAUUAAUAUUUGGAAAUGAUUUUACAGAGAUAUAAACUAUUUUGUAUAAUCUUUACCUGUUUUUUUAUUAAUUUCUUUGUGCUUGCAGAUGGGAGAAGUUUUGUAUGGAUACUUCUGUAGAAAAGGCUGGUUGUUAUCUUCAACCAAGUGAAACUGGUAGCGGGUCCUAUUUUAGUGGAACUACCAAUUUGGGAACAGAAUCUCCUGAAAACGCUUCUUUAAUUGAUUCUUUGUCGAAUUUGCAUGGCAUCAGGUCUAGAGAGAGCCAAUGCAAUAGGACCACAAAAUGGUACAUAAUAAUUACAUCAUUACAUAUAUUAUGGGCUAAAAUCUUGAAAACCCCUCUGAAUAUACUGCAAUUUUCUCUUACCACUUUUGAGAAUGAAAUCCUGUAGAAACCCUGCAUUAAUGUUCAUGCUGUUAGCACUAACCCCCUUUCAUAAUUUUAUCAUCCAUGAAACCUUAUAAAAUCUUAAAAUACCAUUCCAUGUGCCUAAUAUAUGACUCAUAUUGUGGGAAAGCAGUGUCCGGACAUCCUUUUCUGUCCUCCUAACCAACUUAUAUAUUUUUUGUUCCUUUGCCAAUGCACUAUUCAUAAAGUGAAGAAAAAACGAUUAUAAGGUAGUUAAAAGGGCAAGAAAGAAUGCUGGGAUACAAAAUGGGUAGUUGGUAAUGGGAAUGAAGUUUUAAAUGGAUGAUUAAAUUACAAGAGGUAUUUAGUGCCAAGACCAUGAAAAUUUGGUUUUUUUUAUGGGGGGUGGAGGGGNGGGGGGGGUGGUCUUGGGUUUGUGCAGGCUUUUGCUAAUUGGGGGGUAAGGUGCAAAAGGCGAUAUGCUUGGGAUUAUCUGCAUCUUACAUUAUAUUUUUUUAUUAAUUUGAGAUUAUUGAUCUUUAUGUUUUAUAUGUGUUUUGUUACUGCCAUAAUAUUGUUGAUUAUUUCUUGCUGCUAGCCCAUUUAUCCUGACCACUUCGGUGAGGAAGAGCUUUGAGGUGACUUUCAUGGCUGUUGGUCAAAAGUGGCCCGUGCUUCUCCAUGGUCCUGUAGGUGCUGGAAAGACUGCACUAAUUAACAGGCUAGCUCAAAUCACCGGAAACCAAGGUAUCCUUGAGAAUCUCAUCUACUCUAUUUAAAUAACUCAAUUAAUAUCACCUAUUUUAGGUAUUCCUAUUGAAGCUCUGUACUUUAGUUUUGAGCUUGAUGCUUAUAGCAACAAAAACAGAAAGCCCUAAUAAUAUUAUUGGAAAUAUGUAUGGGUGCCUAUUUGUAUGUUUGAACAAAUCUAGUGAUAACUUACGCGCUGUCGACUUUCUUUUUUUUUUUUUUUUUGCCAUUACAUUCUAGGAGACUGCUUUUAUCCUUUGGAGAGGUCUUGGAAAUCAUGAUUUUAAGGGUAAUGUAUUCCGCCUACAGGAUGGUUAUUUUCUUAAUUUGAAUUUGAACAUUUAAACUAAAUGUUAUUUAAUUUUGGGAAAUUUCAUUAGGUUCAAUCAGACGUCCUUCCCGUCAAAGAGAUGGAAUAUUUAAUCAUUCUGUUUGGAGUGAGUUUUCUCAAAUCAACAAAGUGAUAAUGUGACAGCUCAGAGAUUAAACUUUAGAACCAUAAAAGGGGAACCUAUCUCCUACGAACUAUUGUUGUGGGAGUCCAUGCAUUUGCCACAAUAUUUAUGUUACUCUGUAGAAUAGGGAUAUAAUCAACCAGACAAAAGGAGAGUAUUUUUAUUUGAUAAUAUGAUUAAUCUGCAUUUGUCGUGUAGGUAAUGCUACUUGCCUUGACAAAUUGUACAUAUAGAAUUUUUAAUCAACAUAAUUGCAUGGUGUAAGCCAUGUAUAGUCGUUGGUGUAUUGCAGCUUGCCCCAGCAGCCUGGCAGUGCUGCCGUUUGCUGCUAUUGUGCUGCCAUCAUAACCUAGAAAUCAUUGUUGUGUAGAUUUCCUAGACUCUAGUAGGUUGCUGGUUUUUUCUCUGCCCUCCAAAAGUUACUCCUGAAUUUUGAGUGGAGGAAGUAAAAGGGAGCUAAUAAGUUAAUGGUUUUGGGUCGACGGGCUCAAGUCUUAACAAACUUGUCCAGACCUAGUAUGCACAACUCAAGUAAUGCAUGGUGGGUUGGAACUAGUUUGUUAGGACCGGAGUCCAUUAACCUGAACUGAUUACUUAUUUUCUUUGUGUCUGUAUUUUCUUCCUUCCAUAAACCCUUAUGACAGGAGCCUAAACUUUUCUGGUGCUAUUUUUGUGUGCUCUGUUUUUUUCUACUCAACAUCCUAUCGAAUGGUUUGGCAUCAUUGGCGCAGCUAUUGCUUCUUUGUUUAUGUACCCAUGUUGGGACAGCCUGUGUCAUGUGCUAUUCCCUGUGAUGGCCAAACCUGCUAAGGCUGUGCUUUCCUUGCCCAUACCGCCUUGUGCCACCUAUGCCUUACCAUGCUGAGUCUGUGCCGACAUGUGGCAUAGGGUCAUGCUAACACCGUUUCGACAAUAUAUAUUUUUUUUUUGAGUUUUUUUAGGUUUUUUGAGUUUUUUUUAGGUGAAAUGUUUUAGAAGGGCUUUUCCACAAUUGAAAUAUAUAGAUCUUGUAAAUCUACUAAUAUUUGGAGCAAUCAGUUAUUUCUGUUGUAUAACAUUAAUAUCUAGUGAAAAAAAACAAAUAAGAAGAUUUUUCCCCAAUGUUUUUUUUUUAUCAUUUCAGAGCAAGUGAAUUUACACAUAGUAGUGUCUUCCUAUAAAUUUUUACCCAGUUAUGACUUAAAUUUUGUUUUCAUGCUUAUACUUUCAUAAUAUAUUUAAAAUAUUCCAUUUGCAGUUAUUAAGAUCUUUAUAAAUUUAUUCUUACUAAGCUGUGUGCGAUGUAACACGGGAAUUAUUUUAAUAGCCAUUAGAGGUAUUAAAACACUCAAAAACUAAUUUUCCUAAAAUUUUAUUAGAAAAACCCUUGCUAAUGCAUGCCAAUAUGCUAAUGGCAUGGCCCUGGCAUGGGGAGUGUGCCAACAUUGGCUCGUGCCGUGCUACCGUGCCGUGGCGUGCUGUGCUGUUGGCACAGAGGCGCAGGCUGUGCCAGUGGCAUGUUAAUCCUUUGCUAGCGGCAACUAGAUCUUUACCCACUUAUCAGCGUACUUAAAGCUUUCUAUGAAAAAUGACACAUAAUGUACGAUUGAUAGCUAUUUAAAUGAUCUGUGUGUAAUUAUUAUGUUAUUCGAAUGCCAUAACGCAAAAUGAAGAAAACUAACCUAUUUCAUCCUUCUUUUCCAAUGAAGGUCAAUGUUAAAUGAAUAUUUAGAUCAAAGUAUUUCGACUGUAGUUAUUUUUAUCUCUAUAGUUUUAUCUCUAUAAUCUAUUAAUGCUUAUACUUGCGUGGCUUUUCUUAGUUCUUUGUAAUUUUGCAUUUGCAGUGUUGUUUGUUCACCUUGAUGAACAAAUGGACAGCAAAACAUUAGUAGGGAGUUACAUCUGCACAGAGAAACCUGGUGAAUUCAAGUGGCAUCCUGGAUCACUUACACAGGUCUGUACCCAUCUUCAUUCCUGAUGCAAAUGUGCUCAAAACUCCAUACUUACUUCUGCUUUACAAACUGUCGCGGCAGGCUAUCUUAAAAGGAUUUUGGAUUGUUUUUGAAGACUUGGACAAAGCACCUAAUGACAUCCAGUCAACACUAUUACCUCUACUGGAGGGUUCAAAUUCUUUUGUAACUGGUCAUGGGGAGGUAAUCAGUUCACUUUUUAUUGUUUAAUUAUCUUCAGAGUGGAUUCUUAUGACUCUUAUUGAUACAACUUGUUCUGAAUUAUGGCAAAUUCUACGUACCCUGAAUUAUCAUGCGAAGUCUCAUAUUCAUUCUUUUUCAUGUGAUACUACGCUCUAUUUUGUAGGCUUACAACUCGUCUGUUUAUCUUUAAUUUUGGAAUAAUAUAUGUAACUGGUGCAGGCUGUAGAAGUGGCUGAAAGUUUUCGCUUAUUUGCCUCAAUUACAACUUCAAAGAAUGAGAUGUGCCAUGCCAUGGAAGGUCAGGCUAUUUAUGUUCUUCAUAUUGAGAAUCAUUUCAUUGUUGAACAAUUUUCUUAGUAGAUUACGAUGUGUGCUGUAUACGAUAUUGAAUAUUUCACGAGUAGGGAUUUCAGAUCUGCUAAACACAUGCAAAGUUUUAGAUUAGGUUUGGCAGGGUCUCAGAGCUAUGGUCCUCUGUUGGACUAGCUUUCUUUAGUUUCUUCUUAGUUACCUUCUCUUUUUAUUACGGCCUUUUGCUCUAAUGGUCUAAUUGUUGGAGCAGCGAGGAAAAAUGCUGUCAAUGUUAUGAUAGCCAUUUGCUUUGAUAAAACCUUUUAAUUGUAUGAAAAGAUAUAUUGUUGUUGGUAAUAUUGAUGGUUAUUUGGAUUCAUAUAUACUAUUUAUUCUAUUAGAAUAUUGUAUCAGAGUGAUUAUCAAGGGCAUAAACUUUUAACUGUGAUAGGUGGAAUCAGAUGAAAGAUCCUGGUAGAUAAAGUUUGUAGAUACUAUAUAGUAAUAGACCAUUAUCUUGCCAGGUCAAACAUCAGAAAUUCUGUAAGCACAAUUAAGAUGUUUUCCAUUCUUUAAACAAACAAGCCUGUGCAGCGGUGCUUGUGAGUGAGAGCAUGUACAUAUCAUUACUUGAGAAGUUGCUGUCCUGAUUGAACUUGUUGGAGGAAAGUCAACCAUAUGAAAGGCGCUUUUCUGAGCCAUCAAUACGUAUAAACCAGGACACCAUAUGCCCUCGCUGCUCUAGUUUGAUUAUGUUGUUACAGCAUUAGUAGUUGUGGUAUUGAAUCAAACAGCCAGCUAAUCCUUACAUCAAAUUUCUAGAUGGCUGACUAAAAAUUUUCAAUCGCUGACUCUCAUCAGCUGCCCACUAUGCUAAUUAGUGGUCAAUUGAGUCCAUUAUUUCUUGAUAUUUACAGGAACUGUUACUUCAAGUAUUGUCAUUACUUGAAAAAUAGCAAAUUUGUUUGAUCUUUGUAAAUACGCUUGUUACUCUUUUAUCUUCCAUACCGUGUUUUAAUGUUUAUUGUUUUCUGUGGAUUGAGGUUUGGCGGAAACUGGAAAAGAAUGAAAAAUUAGUUUAAUUGUUAUUUGAAGUCACUAAAAUAAACCUUCUGCAUGAUGUUGUUCACUUUGUUGUACAGGAAGACUGUCCUUCAGUGUCCUAUGGAGAAAGGUGAUGCUGGGGGCUCCCACUAGGGAAGACAUGUUAGAUAUAGUCAAUGCAUGGCAUCCCAGUUUACAACCUAUUCUUGCAAGGCUCAUUGGUAGGUCGCUGUUUAUGCUAAUUACUGUUUCAAUUACCGUUCAUUCUUGCAUGUUAGUGAAAGGCAGUAUUUUCUGUACAGACACCUUUGAAAGGGUGAACUAUAUCGCUUCGUGCCAUAUGGGAGUUCAGGCUGGUGGGUCUGCAUCAGGUGGCACUCUUAGUAGGUUCUCCUUACGGUAUGUGGUUGCUAAGAUUCUCUGUGAUUGAAAUAUAGCAUUCCCAUGAUAUUGCUGCUAUCUUGCAAUUUGCCUUCAACUUAACAGGGAUUUGCUCAAAUGGUGCAAGAGAAUAACAGAUCGACACCUCAGCUUUUCUGGUUCUGGUCUUGUAGCUGCUGAUUGCCAAUAUAUUUAUCAGGAGGUUUUUUUUUUCCCCUGAAAAAAAAAAGCAUAUCACCCUUUCAUAACAACUCUCAUGCAAAGUAUCUGUUUGAUCUUUUGCUGAGGCAUAUCUUACAUUCUUCAGGCAGUUGAUAUCUUUGCUGCCUCCUUGCCCUCGUUGGAUAAGAGGCUAUUGAUAAUGAGAGAGAUCGCUAGUCAUUUGGGUGUUUGUCCACCUGAAGCCUUGCACCCAAUGAACAAGCUUAUUCUUCAGGUUUAUAUUGCCUUUUUUGAUUCAUCUGUUCUUUUACUCCAUUGAUUAUUUAUAUGCUAACAUGGUUCUUUUGCAGAAUCAACAUGGCAAUUUACAAAUUGGGAGAAUUAAUUUGGAAAAGACAGAGACUGCAGUAUAUUACUUGGACUGACUGAAGUACUUUUUGUCUAUGCUGUUUCUUGUUCUAACUAAUUGUCUUUCUAAAUUGCAGAUCAGGAAGGAAGAUAGACCUUUUGUUCAUCUCCGGAGUACCUUGCAUGCUCUCGAGAGGGUUGCUUGUUCUAUAAAGUUCAAUGAACCUGUUCUUCUAGUUGGUGAAACUGGUACUGGGAAGACGACUCUUGUGCAGAAUCUGGCCAUGUGGCUUGAUAAACCACUGACUGUGAUGGUAUAGCAUAUUAGAAUUAUAUGUUUUUCUAUCAUCUCUUCUUUGAUGCAUCUCUUAUUGCAAAUGCUGAUUCCACGUUGGCAUCGUAUUGCUACAGAACUUGAGCCAGCAGAGUGAUGUGACUGAUCUUUUGGGAGGAUUUAAGCCUAUGGAUGAACGGUCUAUUUGUGUUCCUCUAUACCACGAGUUCAAUGAAUUGUUUUCUAGUACAUUUUCUAAGGUAAAGACUGCAAAGCUAUCUCCCACUGUUCUCUUUGUUUCAAUGGAGUGAGCACUUCUAAUAAGAUGUCUUUUUUUCUCUUGUGAUAGGAUAACGUAGCUUUUAUCCUUUAUUGUGAAGAGCGUAUAAAGGAGAAGAAGUGGAAAAAGCUACUUCGUGCUCUUCAAGAAGCUGAUGAGAAAGCUCGGAAACUUUUUGAAAAAAGUGGUAACCCUCACUGUGGAUCAAAGAGGAAGAGAGCUUUAUCUGAAGAGCUUCUUAGUGGCUGGAAGUCCUUCUCUUUGAGGCUUAAAGCUGCUCAAAAUCAAGAUGGUGCGGCUGCUGGCAUGUCUUUUAAGUUUGUGGAGGGAGCUUUUAUAACCGCUCUGAGAAAUGGCCACUGGAUAUUGCUUGAUGAGGUGAAUCUUGCACCUCCGGAGACACUUCAGAGGAUCACUGCCGCUCUUGAUGGAGAUAGUGGUUCACUUUGUCUGGCUGAAAGGGGGGAUGUGAAUUACGUGGAGCGCCAUAAGGACUUCCGGCUGUUUGCCUGCAUGAAUCCUGCAACUGAUGCAGGAAAGCGCGAUCUGCCAUACAUUCUGAGGAGCAGAUUUACUGAAUAUUUUGUAGAUGAUGUAUUGGAUGAUGAAGACCUUCGUCUUUUUGUUAAGAAGUACAUGGAAGGCAUGCACAAAGGUGAAGAAAUGACCAAUAAGAUUGUUCAGUUUUAUAAAGCAUCUAAAAAGGAGUCUGAGGAGAGGCUACAAGAUGGGGCCAACCAGAAGCCCCAAUUUAGUUUGAGGUCCCUUGCUCGUGCACUGGAUUACACUAGAAAGGCAGAGAAGCACUUUGGCUUCGAAAAAUCCCUCUACGAUGGUUUUUGCAUGUUCUUUCUUACUUUACUAGACGGUCCUAGUGCGAAAAUAAUGAACAACAUGAUACUGUCGCACUUGUUCAAUGGAAAGGCGCCUCCAACUCUUCCUUUCGAUUCUUAUCUCGUUGAAACAUUGAAUAAUGAAAAUGUUUCUGGAUCAACUGAUUUUGUGGAGACUGUAAGUGUUAAAGAGCAUCUCAAGAGCAUUGCACGUGCAAUCUAUAUUAAAAGAUAUCCAGUUCUCCUUCAAGGCCCUACAUCCAGUGGCAAAACUAGUCUUGUUCGUCAUCUUGCUUCAGUUACGGGUCAUGAGUUUGUGCGCAUCAACAAUCAUGAGCAUACUGAUCUUCAGGAGUAUUUGGGUUCUUACAUUACUGAUUCUCAUGGGAGGCUUCGAUUUCAAGAGGGCAUAUUAGUGAAGGCAGUUCGCAAAGGACACUGGAUUGUGUUGGAUGAGUUAAAUUUAGCCCCUUCAGAUGUAUUGGAAGCUUUAAAUCGUCUCUUAGAUGAUAAUCGACAACUCUUCGUGCCUGAGCUUCAGGAGACAAUAACUGCUCACCCUGAUUUUAUGCUUUUCGCAACUCAAAAUCCCCCCAUGCUUUAUGGGGGCCGAAAGAUGUUGUCUCGAGCUUUUCGCAAUCGAUUUUUGGAGAUACAUGUUGAUGAAAUCCCUGAAGAUGAACUCACUAUUAUACUAGAAAAGAGAUGUGAAGUCCCAAAUAGCUCUGCUAAGAAAAUGGUUGAAGUGAUGAAGGAUUUGCAGUUGCACAGGCAAAACAGCAGAGUAUUUGCUGGCAAGCAUGGUUUCAUCACCCCAAGAGAUUUGUUUCGAUGGGCUAAUCGUUUCAGGAACUUUGGGAGUUUGGCGAAAGAUGGGUAUUUUCUUCUUGCUGAAAGGUUGCGAGAUGAAAAUGAGAAAAAAGUUGUUCAGGAAACAUUGGAACGCUGCCUGCGUGUGAAACUAAAUAUUAAUGAAUUGUAUAACGGGGUAAAUCUUUUUCUCCACUCAGGUUCUUCUAAUCCUUUUUAAUCAGUUAAAUGAUUCCUGUAUUUGAACUAGUAUUUCUGUUGGUUGCAUUUUCUUCUGCUACUGGAGGCAUAUCUAUCCAUCAAUCAUGCAUUAGCAUCUUGUUGUGAAGAAAGAUUGUAUAAAUAAUGUAACUGUACUAGCAUGCCUAAGAAUAGCAAGAAAUGUAGCAGCUAUUUAUGUGAUGAUUUGCGCAAGUGUCCAUUUGAUUUUAUUGACCUCUUCAUCCAUUUUUUUGAUAAUUUCUGUUUACAUUUUCUUUUUAAAUGCAGGAGGUAGGCUGGGAGGAUGAAGUCUCCAAACUCAUGAAAAACCCAAGAAUACGGCAAGAUUUUGGAAAGUUAGUUCAAGUUCAUUGUGUGCUCUUUGAUACAUUUGCCCUCCGGUGUCAUUUUCUUAUAGAAAAUUGUUCUUGCAGCAUUACCUGGACCAAAAGUAUGUGGAGGCUAUAUUUUCUUGUCAAACGCUGCUACGAGUUGCGCGAGCCUGUCCUCCUUGUGGGUGAAACUGGUGGUGGGAAAACCACUGUAUGCCAGGUGUUGAGUGCUGUUCUUGGGGCAAGAUUGCACAUUCUGAAUUGCCAUCAGUACACUGAAACCUCGGAUUUCAUAGGGGUUAGUUUAAAUUUUUUAGUUUACUUUUCUCACUUUUAUGUGGUUCUAUUUGUUCUCUUUCGAAGUUUGUAGGUCAAUAAUUUGUUGACGGUGGCAAUAUCUUUGUAGGGAUACUGUCCAGUGCGUGAUAGGUCAAGAUUAAGUGCGGAUUUUAAAAAUCUCGUUUCUAAGCUGCAGCAGUCCAUGUUCUUCUCUUGCACUGCUGGAGAUACUGUAUGUCAUCUGGUUUUUGGACCUUUUUCCUCUGUUUUGGCUGAUUUUGACUUUACUAUUUGCGAACAUAACUUCACAUGAAAAUUUUCUUUAUUUCAGGCAUUAUCUUUUGACAUAUCAGAAGCUGCUUCUACAAUAAACCAGCUAAGUGGAAUUAUAGAUAACUAUGAAAAGAAUAAGACUAAAAAUCUUUAUAUUCCUAAAAAGGAUGUUGUUGAAUUUAAACGAUAUAUUGAUGACCUGAUGAGGCUGAAAGAAAAAUGGCAGACCAUAUUUCUUUGGCAGGAUGGACCACUAGUACAAGCAAUGAAGGAUGGAGAUAUCUUUCUUGUGGAUGAAAUCUCUCUGGCAGAUGAUAGCGUACUUGAACGUCUGAACAGUGUUUUAGAACUGGACCGGAAAUUGGUGGGUAAUACCGUGAUUUACCAAUAUGCUUGCACACAAAUGACCUAGUAAAUGAAAUAGAAAUUAUUUAUUUAUUUAUUUCUGUUUGAGCAGAAAUUGGUUUAUGAGAAUACUAUAUGCACCUAAGAUAUUGAUGAUUAUGGUUUCAAGAUUCUGAUUUUCUUGGGUACUUUAUGUUUCAGACUACUGAAAUUUAAUUGAUCUAAGACGUCCUUUUUGGCUGAUAUUUUUUUGACUUUUAUUCCUUAUAUGCUUUGCAUAUAACUUGUGAUUAGGAAGACUUUUAUUUCAUCUCCUUUCGAAUUGGAUUUCCCUGUACGUGUGUGUUAGUAACGGGCAGCAUAUCUAGGCUUGGUAACAUUAUUUCUGUCCAAAAUCCAAAUAUCAUAAAGAAGUUUGAUUUCUUUUCUGUCCUUUAAAGUCAUCCAUUUUCCUUGAUAUGAAAAUUAGUCGUGAAGUCUUGUCAUAUGAUUUCUUUGUUUGCCCACAUAACUGUGUUAGGUUUUGUCAUCCUAGCUACUUGGUUUCACUAUUUUGCUGGCUUUUAUAAGCCUGUUGUAGUGAAUCACAGGACUGAUAGCACUCACCUUUACUUGUCUAGUAAGUAAGAUACUGCAUGGUUUAUAAUUGGGGUAUAACAAGUGCCCUGGAACCUUUUCUGCUUGAUAGUUAGUAUUUCGAUUUGCAGGGACUGUCAAUCUUAGUUAAAAAGAAGUACACUUUGCUUUCACUGUGUUCGUUGUUCUUUUUGAUUUAGUAGAGAAACAUCUUAUAAGUUGUGGUCUUUUUCCAGUCUCUUUCAUUAAUCUGUCUAUGAGAUCUGUGUCGAUGUCAGUGCUAACAUUGACCCAAAUUAAUUCCUUAAACAUGCGUAAACUGUUUUCUAUGCUUGUUGUUAUUCUAGUUAGUUUUAUUUUAGCAUACAUUUUAAAAUUUGGUAUUGGUUGCUUACAAUUAAUGAGUGCUUCAUUCUUUCUGCAAGAUGUAAUUGCUUCAAGAAUUAUGUCUGUGAAGCUGUAGAUGCUAACAUGGGUUGACUCUUAUUGUAGUCAUUGCCUGAGAAAGGUGGCUCUGUUCUUGAGAAGAUAGAAGCACACGAUAAUUUCUUUAUCCUCGCCACAAUGAACCCGGGUGGCGAUUAUGGUAAGAAGGAGCUAUCGCCAGCUCUACGAAAUCGGUUUACCGAGAUAUGGGUCCCAACUGUCAUGGAAGUUGAUGAACUGAAAUCCAUUGCUAUUAAGAAGUUCGUAUUCAUUUUCACUUGAGUAUUUAGAUCGAUUUAAUUUCUUUGAAUUGGUUGUUCAUAGAAAUCUGACUUGCCUUUUCUUUAUGUAGAUUUGCAAAUCGAGAGCUUUCUUGUUUAGCAGAUUGCAUUAUCAACUUCUGGCAGGCAUGUUUUAUUUCUUGCUUUUACUUCAUCUGGCUGAAUUCAUGAACUUGAGCUUCUUUUUUUUGUUUAAAUUUUAUCAGUUGUAUUUUCUAACUAUUUUUUCCUGUGUAUUUCCUGUUUGAGUAGUGUGGUGACAAAGAGAAGAACCAGUAGUUUUUUGUGAUUUACUAGGUACUGCAGUAGUUUAAUGAUUUAAAGACAAAAAACUAUAUUUAAAAGGAAUGGUUGUUGCUUGUUUACUGAUAAAGGCAGAAGUUGUAAGAUGAAAUUAUCUAUAGGAAGACUUCUUUGUCAUGAAGAUUGCAAUUAUAGUAUGAUGCAUUUUGUGUGAUUGGUUCUUCAUGUAAUGGUUGUAGGUGUAUAUGAGCGAUAUAAGCAUAUAAGGAUUUUUCUUGAUUGUUGCAGGCAUGAUUUCACAGGUGUAAUAGAUCCCGUGUAUUCACUUUUUGUUAGAGAUUACUUAGAAGAGAAACAAGGAUGCAACCAUAUUUCAAUUUCUUGCUAUUUAAAUAUGAACUUUAAUACUGAAGCAUGUAUUGAUAUUAGAGUAUCCGUUGACUCCUUUUCUAUUUAGACAUGAACUUCAACACUGUAGCUUGCAUCGAGGUUUGAGGAUCCGUUGCCGCAUUUUCCAUUAGUAGCAGUUGUAAGAACAUGAUUUACAUGGGGAUAGUUAAUGUUGAUAUAUUUAUACUAAGUAAUAUAUUGGCAAAAUGUGGCUACAAAGUAGAAUCCGUUUCUUGCUUUCUGCAGUAUACUUUUUUAUUAUCUAUUGAAUUGCCUUGAGGAUUUAUUUAGUUUGACGUCUUCUAAAUCAAUGAGUCCCUACUUUGCUUGUUACAGUGGUUCAAGGGCAGAACACUAACAAUACGGGAUCUGUUAUCCUGGAUUUCAUUUGUAAAUGGGACAGAAGGAAGACUUGGACUGGGAAGUGCGUUGAUACAUGGAUUAUUCCUUGUCUUACUUGAUGGCCUUAGUUUGGGUAUAUAUCUCUUCUCCGGACCCUUUCAGUCCUCCUAUUCUUCUGUUUGUCACCAGGGCUUGUUAGUUAUCUUUGUGCAUAUACUUUGUGUGCAUGCAACUCCUAGUUUAUGUAUGUGUGUAUGCGUCAUGUUUGUACGUAUAAAUGUCUUGAUAGUCCUUGAAUAUUUUGGAAGUCUCCUGGCCUAGUUUCUUCGUUCUUAAAAAUUUCUUUUAGAGCAUUUGGCUGUUGAAAUGAUGAACAUGCAGUUUGAUAUGACCUGAAAUGUUGAAUUUUAUGGAAAAAGGAUCAUUACAUAUUAAUCUCUUCUAGAUAAUAAUCAAGUGGUUCAAAAAAUGACAAUUUGUCAGUUGAUAUAAUAGGUUUUAUAUUGAAUUUUUAAAAAUAUUUUGACUGUCUAUACUGAAAAGAUUAAUCACUUUUAUUUUUAGUUAAGGAAUCCUUUAAUCUUUAUAAGCUUGUUUAGUUUAUCUCAUCGAUUUAUUCUUCACUUGAUUUACGGUAAUUUGUGAAACCAGUCUAGAUCAUAUCUAAAUUAUGAAUCUUCACUACAAAUACUCGAUGUUGAGCUUGACUUUGAAGUACAAUGUAUUGAGUACUCGGUAUGUUUUAAAGUAUUCUCUAAGAAUGUUUUCCCUGUUAUAGCAAUUGUAUCCUGGUUAAACACUUGACAUACCUGUAUAGCUGAAUCCUUAGCAGUGCGCAUACGACUUAACCGCACUCGCAGUCACACAUAAACUUAAGAGGCAGUGUAUCUCUAUUUAUUUCACGUGUAUGAUAAACACAUGUAUAUGAUUAGCAUAUGGAGCCAUUGCCUUAUAAUAAUAUUUCAUGACAGUACUUCCCCAAUAUAUGCAUGUCAAUAAAUUUUCUAGCAAAUCUAUCCAUAAUUUGAUAUAUUUUGUGGCACCUACUGUAAUGUCUUUCUUUUCAACGUAGAAUAGUCCAGCAUAUUAAAUCCAUUAAUAGCAUUUAGUGUGAGAUUUCGACUCUCCUAUAUGGCUGUUUGGACUGCGCGUUCAUUUCAUGGAUGCUGUGUUUACUAUUUUUGAAUUUCUUGUUCCUGAUGUUGCAAUCUAAAAACUACAUUACAGGGACAGGUAUAUCUAGAGGUGAUGCUAACAAGUUGAGAGAGGAUUCUCUAUCAUUCGUUCUUGGAGAACUACAGGUGAAUGCCUUACAAGUUCAACAAAACUGCGACCUUAGUUCAAGAGACCAUCCUUUGCAAUUACGUUUAUUCAAGCUCCCUUUUUGCUUGGAGUUUUACUAUAACUAGACUGUCUGGAUAGUAUGUUCGUGGGAAGAACUCAUGUGAAAUGCCCAAAAGUUAUAAAAUGUGUCUUCUGACUUGGGCUCAGUAUAACAAAAUUUGACUAAUUUAAUUGGACUCUUAACUGCGUGAUGAGGCCUAGUCUGGGUGGAAUAACUUUCCCUCUCUCUCUUUCUUCCUUUUGUACUCUAAAUGAGUAAUUGCCUCAUUCUCCUUUUACAUGAAUAGUUGAUGUAUAUUUGAUGUAUAUUUAGUUCUUCUUUUACACUACUGCAUGAAUUGCGAUCCUUAAUUACUUCCAAUUACAUUCUAUGAAAAAAAAAAUGUAACUAGAUAAGUUGAUCUCUUUUGUUGAAAAUUGGUUAAUGUAUCUCUCUAGAUCUUGAAAAGUGCUUAAUUGUAAAAGAGCCGACUAAACUCAACCUUGUCCAUGUUGGCCGGUAUCCCUACCUAUUAGUACACCAGGACUGAUCACGCCCCGUGUUAGGAUUAAUAAUAGGUUAACUCUUGACGUAGGGACACCCUUUCAAUUUUCUAUUGAUUUAGUAGUUAAAUCAUUGAAGAAGUUUUAAUGGCCAAAUUGAUUGCCUUAGUAAUUCAUUACUGGGUUUUUUAUUAAAUCAUUAAAUCACCACGCUGUGCUUCAAAUUUGCCUAUCAGAUGACCCUAUAUUAAUCUGAUUGCAUCAUAAAACUGCAUGGCAAUCUAGCUUCAUCUUUACUUAGAGCUCUAAUAAAUUUUUAAUUGUUUGUAAUGUUUUUCUCAAGGAUUUAAGUGCCAUGGCAUGGGGUCGUUCCAAAAACUUGCCGGCACGGUGCGUGCCGGCCCGUGCCGAUGCGUACUAGUCACAAAAAAAUACGUGUACCGUCACAUAAUGGCAUGGAAAUUUAUUUUGUUUAGCAACAAAAUAUUCUAAUUACUUAUGUAUCUUUAUUAAAUCUUUUGAACUUUAUUGAGAAAAUUACUUACUCAUUUAAAGAAUAGAGGAUUUUGAACUGUAUCAUCGGCAAGGGGGCUGUAUCGUACCGAUAUCUUGUUGGCACGAUACCGCACGGUGGAUACGGCUCGUGCCGAUGGGCACUUAAAUCCUUGGUUUUUCUCUCUCUCCUUUCUCUUUGAAAUGGAUGACGCUCUAUAUUUUCUCGACCUCUAUUUCUUCUUUGCAAUUCUUUUAUAUGAGAUAAUAUGCGUUGAUGUCGAUGAAUACAGAAGGCUGCAAGCGACUAUUUUGAUGUGGGGAUGAGUAAAAUGGAAAACUAUGGAUGGGGUGGUGAUGAGAAGCAUGUUGAUACCAGCUUACAUAUGGAUUCAGCUGAACUUUUUGGCAUUCAGCCUUUCUAUAUUCCUAAGGGUAUGUGACCUGUUAGGCAGAAGUUGGUUGUCUUUCACUAUUUCAGUAGUCAUCAAUAGUUGAUGGAAACACGUAAUUUUCUGUUUCUUUAUUCCUUCUUACAAAAAUGUGCACCAACGGUCCUGUGGUAUUUAGAAGAGUAAAAACCUUUCCAUGCAGCUGCUAAUCAUCAAUUUACUAAUAGCCAAUGGUUGGGUUUUAUGGAUGAGGUUUUCUUGUUGUUGAAUGCCAUUUCUGAGCUAUAUCUUUGUUGCUUAUUAUAGUUUCUCCUGUAAAUCAGCUUGAUACCUUUUAUAGGGUGAAUCUCCGUGUCUCGCACGUAUUAUGCCAUUUCUAGAUGUGUUUUUCUUUCCAAUCAUUUUAAUACAAGAGAUAUCCGCCAAUUUGGGUUUUGCUAACCUGAAAGUUCAUUAUUGAAAUAACAAUUAUUGUGCUUGUUUUUAUUCGCUUCAUUAUUUUUUCCUCUACAGGUCCUCUUAAUUGUAUGCAAAAGGGCUAUGAAUUUCUUGCACCAACUACCAGCAGGAAUCUUUUGCGUGUUUUGCGUGCGAUGCAACUUUCUAAACCUGGUCUGCAACUGUCUUGUUUGGUAUAAAAUAAAAUUUAUCUGAUGUUCUUCGUGAAGUCAAUUAUUUUACUGUUUCUUUCAUUCCAGUCUUGUUGGAAGGAAGCCCUGGGGUCGGGAAAACUAGCUUGAUUGUGGCAUUGGCAGGAAUUUCUGGAUAUCCUGUGGUCCGGAUCAACUUAUCUGAGCAGGUAAGUAUCUUUUGCAAUUAUUCUAUCUUCUCUUAACUUAUGUGCUUUUCACAAGUUGGUUGACCUAUAAAAUUGUCUUGUUGUCAUUUGCCAGACAGAUAUGAUGGAUCUUUUGGGAUCAGACUUACCAGUCCAAGGUGAAAACGGAAUGGAGUUUUCUUGGUCAGAUGGUAUCCUUCUCCAGGUGUAGUGCUUAGUUUUAUAAAUAAAUACCCAUUUCUUGCUACGAUAGGCCUCUUAUUUAUUGUUUGUAAUUUUUGUAUUUGCAGGCUUUGAAAAAUGGUAGUUGGGUUUUGUUAGAUGAGCUUAACCUUGCUCCUCAAUCUGUCCUAGAGGUACUCUUUAUUUCACUUUUUGCUUGUUGCAUAUACUCAUUUUUUUGUACUUCAUCUUCUUAGAUAUAUUUGAAAUUAUAGGGUCUGAAUGCCAUUUUGGAUCAUCGUGCUGAGGUGUACAUACCGGAACUUGGUCAAGUGUUCAAAUGUCCGCCUUCUUUUAGAGUUUUUGCAUGCCAAAAUCCUUCUUCUCAGGGUGGUGGCAGGAAAGGACUUCCCAAGUCCUUUUUAAAUCGCUUCACCAAGGUUGGAUUAACUAAAAUGUAUCAUUUAGUGAUUAUCAACAAUCUUUAGAAUUUUGCUCUUGCUCUAAGUAUUAUACUGCAGUUGACAUAGUUUUUGCAAUGGAUUUUAGGUUUAUGUUGAUGAGCUGUCAAUGAAUGAUUAUCUCUUCAUUAGUCGAUCACUCCAUCCAUCAAUUCCAUCAGAGCUUCUCUCUAAGUUGAUUCUCUUUAAUUACCAACUCUAUGAGGAUACUAUGGUUCAUAGGAAGUAUGGCAAUGAAGGUUCUCCCUGGGAGUUUAAUUUGCGUGAUGUCCUGCGGUCAUGCCAAAUUAUUGAAGGUGCAGUACUUCUACUUUUCUAGUUAAUUUGGGGUCGUAUAUUGUUGAGAUAUCUAUAUAUCUGCCCUUACUUUACGCACAUAUUCUAGAUAAAAAAAAUAAAUUUCCUAUCUCUUGAAAAACUUGAUUUCCUAUUUGUGUACCUAUUUGCAAAAAUUCCUGUGUGUAAAACAUUUUUUUAAACACAAAAUAACUUUCUGCCAUGAGUUGGAAAUUCCCCAAGUGAAUGUCUGGUUGCUUUUCUAGAAACUACCCUUUUAAGUGGUAUAUGACAGAUUUUACAUGGAACAGUCCGAUAUCGAUAAUCUGCAUUGCUUAUUGAUAUUAUUUUCUAAUAGUAGAUAAUUUCUUCCCUAAAGGUUCACCACAAGGCUCAAAAGAAGACUGCUUUUUAAGUACUGUCUACCUUCAGCGAAUGCGCACUGCAGCUGACCGCAACGAAGUCAGGAAGUUGUUUGAAGCAGUUUUUGGGAUAAAGCCCGUUCUAAGUCGGUAUCCAAAGCUCUGCAUAAAUCCAGAAUAUUUGAUUGUGGGGUCUGCAUGUGCAAAGAAGAAUCAUUUCCAGCCUUCAAAGGUCUCAAAUUAUAACCAGUUGAAUGUACUCCCAGGAUUUCUUCCUAGCUUGGAAGCAGCAUUGCAUUGUUUACAGUAUGGAUGGUUAUGCAUUCUAGUGGGCCCACACUCAUCUGGUAAAACUUCUCUUGUUCGGUUGUUGGCUCAGCUCACCGGCAAUGCACUGAAUGAAUUGAAUCUUUCUUCUGGAACUGAUGUUUCUGAACUGCUUGGAUGUUUUGAGCAGUACAGUUUCUAUCGCCAUUAUAAGGCAGUCAUAUCCCAGGUUGAAUGUUACAUUGAUGAAUAUUUUUGUCUAAAGCUGGAUCAGAGCUCAAAGAGUUUGAUUACUGAGACGGAAACUUUUGAUAAAUGGUUUAAGUUUGUGGCAGCCAAGAAAGAAAAUUCUUCAUCCACUUCUGCAUAUUUUGAUUUGUGGAAAGAUGAAAUUUUUGAUUCCCUGAACCUACUAGAAGAUAUUAUUGAGCAGCUGAAACGAGAUCCUGAAAUGCUUCGCUUGCCUUUAUCAUGGUCGCUUGAUGACCUGAAUGAAACCCUAAAAUCUGUUUCAGAUUUAAAACAUAACAAAUCAAUGCAGCAAUCUGUAAAUUUUGAAUGGGUUUCUGGAGACUUAAUCAAGGCUAUUGAAUGUGGUGAAUGGGUUGUUCUGGACAAUGCAAAUCUCUGCAAUCCUUCGGUAUGUUGACUACACCUAUAGUUGAUUUCUGGUAUUUCUUUUCUUUAUUUAUGAUUCAUUAUAGCCAGUAUUUAUUGUAUGACUCUGUUAUUUCAUCUUCAAACAGGUUCUCGAUAGGAUUAACUCUUUGGUCGAGCCUGAUGGGACUAUCACAGUUAAUGAAUGUGGAUCUGUUGAUGGGAAACCUUUAAUACUUAACGCCCACCCCAAUUUCCGAAUGUUUCUCUCAGUAGAUCCAAAGCAUGGUGAGGUUUCUAGAGCAAUGCGGAACAGAGGAGUGGAGAUCUUUUUGAUGGAUCAAAAUUGGCUAAUUGAUGGAAAUGAAAAAUGUGAUAAUAGCGAGAUAAAUAAUGUGCAAAGAUUCUUGACUUUCUGUGGCAUACCUGGUAGCCAGUUGGUUUCUUCAAUGACUGAAGCACACAUGUAUGCAAAAGCUGCAGGGUUGCGUCUUGGUAUUCGUAUUACUCUUCUUGAGCUAGCACGCUGGGUUCAGCUCUUCCAGCAGCUUCUAAUGAAAGGAAACCAGCCUCUAUGGAGUCUUCAACUAAGUUGGGAGCACACUUACCUGCCUUCUUUGGGCGAAUUCGAGGGAAUAAAUGCUGUUAUGGAGGGGAAACUGAGGUUCUUGACAGACAUUGGAUGUUCAUAUUCGCUGUCUCUUCCAGGAGGAUUGCCUAUGCCCCACAAACUAAGGAACUUGGCAUGGUACUCAAAAGAAGUUUGUGUCAAGAGAAAUUGCAUGUAUUUGGAGUAUCUGGGUGCUGAAUAUUCUUCUUAUGUAUUAAACAAAAUCAGUCAUAGAUCUUCUUUAUCAAACAAGAGCAUGGACAUCUAUCCAUUGGUCAAUUUGGUCAUACCUGAAGUCACAAUACGCAAUCUUAUAUUCCCAGAUGUUGCUGGCAAGCAAGCUGCCAUGUCUUGUAAUAUGCUUCCAGAAUUUGACUUGGCACGAGCCAAUAAGAUGCUUUUCAUAGCUGCAAACUGGGCUAUUGAACAAGCUACUGGAAAUGAUUUUUCGUUGUAUAUUGUGUGGUUUAAGUGGUAUGGCUCCCUACUGCAACAUCAUUGUCCAUUCUUUACGGAAUUUGGUGCCUUCCUUGAGAAAGAAAAGGGUCAUCCCAUUUGGAAAUGCAUCUUAGAAUGCUGGAGGGAGGUGAUUGCUUAUCACAAGAUUGAUGUCAAUGUGUACCCUCUUCAAUUGCUUUCUUUGAAGUUGGUGGAUUCUUUGGCUGGUUUGGGCACCCUGAAAAAGUGCCAAAAACGUCUUAGUAAUGCAAUUGAUUCAGUUAGCUUGUUGCGCAUUAGUUAUCAACAAUGGGAUGCUGACAGGAAUUUUCCCUACGAGGAAAACCAGAAAAUUUUACUAGAAUCCCUACAAUCCUUGGAGAGGAAGGUGCUUGAAGUGAUUGUGGGGUCACAGAAGCUGCUCCAGAUGUACUCGAACCUUCUAGAAUAUCAUUCAUUGAUCUCAAAGUCUAUAACCUCAUCUCAGUCUGAAAGCUUAGCAGUGGCUUGCUAUUUUCUUAAAAAGGAAAUAUUAAAGUUAGAACCUAGAUUCGAGUUGGUAUGUCUCUUUUUCCUUCAUACCUUUAUAUGUACCUUCUCCCUGAUAAUGUAUGUGUAAUAACUCAGGUUUCUGGUGCAGAUGAAGAUUUUGAACCUUAUUCCAGCUCUGAAUGUGCAUGUAGAAAAGCCAACAUUAUGGAAAUCUGGUGGCCAUCCCCUUCUGCCAUGUUCAGCUAAUAUGUUUGAGAAAGUUCAGGAACUUUUGGCUUUAAUUUAUACUAUUUGGCCUCGUACAAAGUUGUCAAAUCAAAACCUUAGUGGUAUUGUAUUUUAGAAUUCAUAUUUGAUAUCAUAAGGCAUAUAAAUUACUUAAUUAACUAACCAUGAAUGUCCUCUGCAGAUGAUCAUUUAUUAAGGAAUGCUGUUUUAUCAACUAACAUUGAGCUUCGGCGGCUGGCAACAGAAGGUAUUCUAUUUUGUCUCAAACAUGAUGGCCCUCAAAUAGAGUGUAUAAAUAUUCUCUCAGAUUUGAGUAUUUCUUCUUGUUAGAAUGUGUGAAAAGGAGUUGCUUCAAAGAAUUCUUGUCUAACGGUUUGGAGAAAGAACUCUCCUGGAUGUGCAUGACUGCCCUAGUACUGUCUUUCUUAGUUCGUGAACGUCAUUAGAAGAAAAUUACCAGUUCACCUUGUGUUACUGUGUUCUAGUUGAUGAAAGUUGUGACAGUUUUUUCGAGUUGUUUUGGGGGAAAAUUGCUCCUUAGCUCUAGAGGGGAGAUCGAUCACUUCAAGUGCUAAGUAAUCUGCUUGCGUUUGCGUUAUCCCUGCUGCUUAAAUAGUGCAUCACAUGCUGUUUGGAGAUUAUUACUCUAUGAAAUACUUAAGACAUUCUUUAAAUAUGUCUGAAGAUAAAGGGCUUAAUAUUCUUUACCUGAAGAUUAUAUGGUGAAGAUAAAGGGCUUUAAUUGAUAAACAGAAAGUUCCACGAUUUGGCACUGUCGAAUUGUCAUUUUGUAAAUCUUAUUACUGUUUUCUAACUGUACCAACUACCAACUAUCUGCAACAUAAUGGUGCUUGCUCGAAUUUACGGCUUGUGGUUAAUCUUACAGAUUGAUUUCUGUUGUCUGAAGUUAAUUUUAACUUACUGAAUUAUCACACUUAGCUCAGUGCUUUAACUAUCAAUGUCGUGUCUUUCUUUGUUUUUUAGGUGUUUGCCUUAGCGUUAUUGAGGCAACUAAAUCUAACGAAUAUGGUUCCAAUGCUGUGUCUGAGUUGGAGGUGUUGCAUAAGGUUUGUUGUAAAUAUUCAAGAGAAUUAGUGCAUAAUAUUGUUGUAUCUUUCUCAUUGAGUUUAUACCUUGUAGGGCCUUUCCGAAAAGGUCAUGCAGGAGCAGAGGAAUCUCGAAUUGCUUCUGAAAUCUACGGAAGAAAGUUUUUCUUCGGUAUUUGGAGGCACUUCAUGUUGCUCAUUCUCUCCUGGAAUUUUGCAUAGCAGAUCUGGUUUCUAUGGUUGGUUAUUAGCGCUUCCUGUUCUCGACUUGAAGAGCUUUAACUUUGAUGUAAUGUUACUUAAAGACUUAGUCAGGGCUUCCUUGGAAGAUUCUUAUGAUCUGGUAAUUUUUGAGUUUUAUUUGAUAACUUAGUUUUGUUGUUGCAUAUUUCCUUGUUUACUAGAUCUAACUGUUUCUCUCACGUUUGUGUCAUAUUAAGUUGUUUGAUCAUAAGAACUAGAAAAACCGAACUGAACCUAAUUACUAACAAAACGAACCGAGUCGACUGAAAUAAUUAUGUUCGGUAAUCUAAUUUAGACUAAAUAGUGCUCACUGCUAGUAAAAGCAAUUGAGAGGGAAUGGAGAAGCGCUGGUAUCGGAAUAGGAUUGGGCACUUCGAAGGUUGCUCUCUCGACAAGGUUAUCGACAUUUGGCUUUAUGGAGAUUAUAGGGAUGUGGCUAGAGAUAGUGGGAAGAAGAUAUUGUUGUCAAAGUAAUUGUAACAGGCUGAGUUAGACUUGUCUAGAUGCUAGUGGCAACAACAUGGGGGGCAGGGGGGUUUAGUUGAUUAUUGCAUAGAUCUUUCUGAGUUUGUGGUUCCUAGUGCGGGAUUAUCAUUAAAGGGAAAACAAGGUGGAGAGUAAGGAGCACUGGAUCGUCUAAGGAUGUGAGCUGAUAGAAAGGAACGGGUGGAUACGGCUGGAUUCAUAUGACUACUUAUAUGCACUAAUCAAUUCCUAGUGUUAAAAUUGAUAUGCUGGAAUUAGUCAUAUCUCGAUGAUAUUUGAUAGUAAUUGGAAUAUCCAAAAAUAUGUAAAAGAUGGAUGUUGUUUCCCCAAGUACUCUUUCAUAUAUUUGACAAAAAAGGAAUUGUUGAAUAAUAUUUUUAUUUUUAAAUUGAUAUCCUUAGACAUUGUGCCUUCACCCCUUUUAAAAUUCCUGUUCUUACGGGCAUAAGAAUGUUCUUUAUGGUUUUUAUGUUUGUAUAACUUGGCAAGUCAAAUUACAGUCUUAAGUUUAUUUGGAAAUAGCUUGUAUGAUUUCUGAUGAUUUUAAAGAUUAUCUACUGGAUAAUCUGUUGUCUAUAUUGCAAGAAGGUUGUAUAGAAGGUCAUAUAAAACAAAUAUAAAUAUAAUGGUUGUAUUCAGGGUUGAAAUAUUGUUAUGGAUUGAUUCUAAUGGCAUGUGUACAGACAUUACAUAUAUUGUAAUAUGCACGCGAAAAUAGAUUUGCUAUCUUUCUUGUUCUUUAUAGUUCUUCUGUGUUGUAUUUGUUUCUUGGCUUUAUUAUAUCUCAACCAUUCUAUCGUUUUGUGCAUUACUUUAUAGUCUUGAAUAGGUAGUCAGUCAUUGUCCUUUGUGUAGGCACUUUUUGUUGUUAAAUGUUUUAAUUCAUGCAUGAAACCAUUCUGUCAUUUUGUGCAUUACUUAUAGUCUUGAAUAGGUAGUCGGUCAUCGUCCUUUGUAAUGGCACUUCUGUUGUUAAAUGUUUUAACUCAUGCAUGGAACCACUUUCUUAAACUUAGCAGCUUUUCUCUGCUGCAUGCAUUUGAAUAUAAGUGUUUUUUGAUGCAAAGUUCUUUAAAUAUAAGUUGAAGACAGUUUCUAAAACAUUCUUUUCAAUCAUUUUUUUUUUGCAACAGGUUAAAUUCAGCAUAUCUGGUCUGCUGAAGGAUGCUUUGGACUACUCUCUUGAGUUGUCGUCAAGAUGUCCUAUUGAGUUUACACCACAUCAAAUGUUACUAUGGAUUUUAGAUGCAUGGACAAAAGUGGAUUCUGGUAAUUGCACAGUUUUGAUUUAGUAUCUUCCGUUUUACUAAUUGUAUGGCUGUUCAGUUGGUCAUGAACUUUCACUCUUGUUAAACUGGCAGUGCAUGUGAAAAUUGCUGCUUGUAUUCUUGAAAUGUGGUACAAUUACCAUUCUUCUAUGUGGAAUACUUCUGCUGGAGCUCUUAAGGUUUGUUAUUAGACCAUAUUACACAGUUCUCUAGAUUUUACACUUAUGCCUUUGCAAAAUUAUCAUCUGAGUAAUUAUAUCUGGCCCUUAAAGGCUAAUUCUUCAGUAUGAACUCUUAAAAUAACAAAUGAUCCUCUCUGAAAAACCUCCCUCUAUCAUUAACAGAUUUUUCUCUGAAGAAACUCUUUGAAAAACCUUGUUCUCAUAGAAAAUCCACUUUCCCCAUAAAUAGGAUGACUCCUCAACCUAAGAUGAUGGUAUUUGUUUAAGAAAUCUCUUUGAGGUUACAUAUUGAAACACAUAUUUAUGAGGUUAUACUAUAAGCAGAUGAUUUUGCGGGGAUAUACAUGUAAAAGCUAUUCUUUUAGUACGAUAUUGUACUUUAUCAUCUCCUUUUAAUAUCACUUGCAGAGCUGUAGUGACGAGAAGCCGUGUCAUUUGGUGCAUCAGACAACAGCAGCAGCUAUUUCCAUGAUUCUGUAAGAUGAAUUAUCAACGCGCUUCUUUCUGUGAAAUCUCGUAUCUCAUGUUCUUCCAAACUUAUUAGAGUUAACUGUUAGAUGAUUGAUGCUACGUAGUUUAAUUUCACUGCUUAAUGUUGGUCAAAGAGUGUCAUUUCUUGUUGAUUCGAACUCUAUGGAUAUGAAAUCCUCUGGUGUUAAUCAUAGCAUAUGGUGGCUGAGCAUCCUAUUAUGUCUUCACAUUUUUACUGAGUGAUAAUGUUUGUCUUGCAGCCAAGAUAGCUUUUCUAUUAAGGACUAUGAUGCGAACUGUUUUAAGCUUAGAGUUGCCUCGAGAAACACCUGGAAAGAUACUCUGAUGCAAGAGAACUUACUUGAUUCUUUUCAUUCCGCUGCUGAUCUCCUUUUGAAAAAGGUACUAUUUUGGUUGUCAUAAUUGUUUUUGUUUGAGAGAUGUUGAUAAUUGUAUUUCCUCUUUGUUUACUGCUUGUAGAUACUUUUUGUGCAUAAGAGACAUUUUCAGCCAGACAAGUUUGGUCAGAUGCAAUCCAUUCUCUUCAAAUUGUCAAAGAGUGGUCUACAGGUAGGUAUAUCUGUGCGGUCAAUGAUAAUGUUUUUGUCUGUACGUAAACUGGUAAUUAUAAUUACUCAAUUUUAUCUUAUUUUUUAAAAAAAGUUUAGUCAUAGGAUGUGCCUUUACAGGGAUAUUUUUCUUGGAAAUCAAACUCUGUUUGUUCAUCGUUUUAUAAGAUUUGAGCUCUUCAAACGUGUUUUACAUUUUAAUUAGCAUCGCUUUUAGAGCCACUGUGGAAAUAGGUUUCUAUUCUUUUUUUUUUUAAUUGACAAUAUGGAUUUCCGGCAGUUGGUUAAGAUUUCUUUUCAUGUAAUGUGAUAUCUGGUAGCAGUCAUUUUUCCCACCUUUUUGUGAAAUCAAUGUUUUGUCUAAAAUAUUCAUUUCUUUGUGCAGGAAGAAGAUCUGAAGAUAUUAAAGUCGCUCUUAUCUGAAUCAAGUCAUCGAGUGUUAGCUUCUCUGUGGGAUGCACUUAUAGAACCCUUGCUUAAAAAGCUAUAUGUAAAACAUCCAUCCAAUGGUAUGUUCUGCUGCUAUUAGAUAAUUGAUACCAAAAAACAGUGCACAGUGUUCAACUGCAGUUACUAUUGUAGAUGUGGUGCUGUCUCUCGUCUCUUUUAAUACCUAAAAGAAAAAAAAAAAAAAAAAGGAACAGAGAUCAGCUGUAGUUACUGUCACAAAUGCGGUGCUGUCUCUCGUAACUCUUUUACUCCUAUUGAUCUUGUAUAGCACAUUUUAAUCAGUCUUGUUUAUUGUGCAGAAUCUAUCGAUUUUAUACAGCACAUUUUACUACGUCUUGUUUAUUGCAGAAUCUUUAUAUAACCUUGGCUGUGCGUGGUUACAUAUUGGGGUUUUGCGCUUUGAUCUGUUGCUAGAACCUUUUAGUGCUGAUCCUGUAAUGAAAUAUUCUGUCAAGCACUCACUUAUAUUGGAAAAGAUAUCAUCACUUCAGCUUGAAUCUGAGGUAUUCAUCAGUUCAGUUUUCGUAUCACCAAUUACAAGCUGGCUCCUUUUGUACUCUUACAACUGGAGAAUGUUGAUCUUCUUAACAUGCUUAUUUAUCUGUCAUGAGCUUAGUUAAACUAUCCUGAAACUGUUAACACUGUUUGACUGUUUUCAUUUCAAGUAUAUAUUUGAUACUUUUAACUAGCUUACUCUCCUUAGUCCUUAAUGAAUAUCAAGAUUUGACUGGCUAUAACCACUAGAAUUAAAUUAUUUCUGCAGAUGUAUCCUUGUGUCUUGUGUUUACUCUUGAAGUAAAAUCACCCACCCACCCCCUCUCUCUCUCUCUCUCUCUCUCUCUCUCUCUCUCUCAUGUGCUCCAGCAUGCCCACAUAACAAUGCAUGCGCACACGAGCAUGCACACUGAAAAACUACGGAGCACACAAAAACAGGCACAUGCAUUUCACUGCUAGAAUAUCACCUAGUAAAUUAGAGAGGGAGUGGGCGUCAAUGUAGGCCAUGCAACAAAGCUAGCAGUAGUUUAAAUAGAAGGCUGAGAAUAGAUGAAAAUAUGGAAAGCUUUUGCAUAAGCAUAUUUUCAAGGAGGCAUACACACUCCAGUCACAUACAAAUAUGUGAAAGCUUUUGCUUAAACGUAUAUUUUACGAAGCAUGCACCUUCAGUCACAAACAAGUACUUUCCUGGUUUUUUUUUUCCCCCAAAAUUGCUUUCUUUUUCUCAAGGGGACGGAACUAAUUUUGAUUGCUGUACGUAGGUGCGACAAGAAUGUGAACGACUAGCAGGAAGCAACUCUGCAGAUUUUGAUGGAAAUCGAAGAUCAUUGUUAUUACGAGAACUGGAAGAGGGAGAGAGGCAGUUACAAUCAAAGGUCUUGCAAUUUCCCUUUCCUUUCAAACAUUCGUUAACUUAUUAUUAUCUUCAUUAUUAUUGAGUUUGUUAUUUGUCCUGUUGAUUUUAUACCUUUUACUUAUAUUUUUUCGGCAUAGAAUGAUCCAGUCUUUUACUUCUUGCAAUGCACAUUUCUUAUUCUCUCUUUCUUCUGAUCUUAGUAAAACAGGGAGACAGAUUCAUAAUUGAAUGUGAUAGAUUUGGUUGUCUGAGCUGUUCAUUCAGUUAAAAAAAAAGGGGAAAGCUCUGUAUACCAUUGUCAAAAAUAGUGGACAUGAUCAAUUUGGAUGCAUUCAAAUGAUUUCUACUAAUUUUUUAGUUGAUCACCUGACUGAAGUUUUUCUGGUUUUAUUUUGAAUGACUGAAAGUAGCCCCUAUUGUCACAUGAUUGGAUACAAAUGCAACUUAUAUUCGAUAAAUCAGAAUAUUGAAAAUAGUUAUUGAAAAAGCACUCUGUUAAAUAAUUUGUUAUUACUGAUGCCAUUAGUCCUUGACCACAGUAAUAAAUUUUUUUAUGUGAAUUUUCUUUCAGAGAAUUCUUGUGACCUCUCUCCAAGUGAAAUAACAUAAUUUCACACUUGCAGAUGGUUUUUCGCCCUCAACCUUCCAAGUAUAUGAAGUUCAGAUCAGAAUGUGCUGACUUUAGAAAGCGUGUAUCAGAUUGGAUUACGGACCUUAAUUGCUGUAAAGAUCUUGCAUUAAUGGAUGGCAGGGCUUGUGGUUGGCAGGUAAGAAAUGCGUGUGGCAAACUUUAUCUCUUCAAAUUGAAUACAUUCACAUUCUCUUACCAAUUUUUUGAUCAUUAUAGGUUGACGCAUGUAAGUUCAUUAAAAGACUGUCAGAAGAGUUUGCAGAGUAUAUGGACUUGAUCCAACCAGUUCAAGUUGCUGUCUAUGAAAUGAAAUUUGGCUUGUCAGUUGCUGUAUCUAGUGCUCUUGAAAGAAAGUAUUUGAAGGAGACUAAAGAGAGGGAUAUCCAGAAAAUUUUGGUAAGUAUAGUCUAUCGCUUUGAGAAUAGCUAUCAUUAAUCAUCAUUAAGGCUUAUUGCCUACUUAUGACUUAAUGACAUUGCUCAUUGGUUAUCAGUAGGUGAUGGCCUAUGGCAUGCAUUAUCUGAAGUUUUACUAUAUUCCUAUAGAGAGGUUGUGAAGAAACUUGUGCCAAUGUUAAGAUAAACGAGCCUAUGUUGGCCCAACUAUGCCCUGACUGAGACAAUCAUGGUUAUAACUUGUGUAAAGUUGAUCUAUUUUCUUGUAAAUUUAUGCUUACAAUAUAUGCUUUAUGUUUUUUGUAUUAAAUAUUCAUUUUUCUGAAUCUUAAUUGUCAUGGCUUGCAGUACUUGUUAGUAAGCUGCACUUCCUUUUUCCCUUUUAAUUCGUUAUUGCAAUAGUCAACAUUAUUUUUACUCUAUUUUGUGAAAACCUUACUGUGGACCGUAGUAGUAAUUUCAAUGCUGGAGUUAGCACUUGAAAAGGUUUUCCUUUUUUUUCUUAAUUUUUACUCGUAUAUUAAGUUUAGUUCUUACUUCUAAAUUGUUUUUAAUUAACUUUACUCUGAUUGUAUUCUGAUGACUGAUGGGCCUUUCUUUUAUCUUCUGCUUCUUUGCAUUGAUUGCUUCACAGAGGCCUAGUUAGACCUGUUUGGUCAGAGAGCUUAAUUGGUUCUCUUAGAGUAUGCCUGUUUUACAUUAUGUUGUGAUUUCAUUCUUUCAUACAACUUUUAAGGUUCCUUGCAUAGGCUUACAUUUGCAAAAGUUUUUUUACAUUUCAAAAUAUGGUCACCAUUGUUCUUGCAUAUGACUGUCAUAUAUGAAUGCGGACAUAAACAAUUUUCUGUUAUCUAUUCUCGUAUGUAAUUCUAUCACUUCAGUUGGCAAGUGAUGGUUUCUCCGGUUGCCAGGUUUUAUUGUUUUGUAUUCUUUUCAACUUUUUUGUGUUUAUCUUAAAUUCUUUGAAUAUCUGAAAUCCCUUCAUCAGUAGAAGUUAGAAAAUUGUCCUCUUUGUGUCAAUCGUCUAUGUCCGAGCCUCUUCAGAUAUAAUGAGUUAGAUGUCUAAAGUUCCUAUGACUGUGUCUUUGUAUGUGUUCCUCCUACUGUAGUCAGUGAUUGUCAUGGCGCUAACAACAAUAUUAUUUUGCAGGCUGCAGUUUACUCUUUUAUGCAAUUUCCUUCUGGAUCAGUUGCUGAAAGUGCUCAGGUUAACGAAGCUCUGCUAAAUAAGCUGGUUACUGUUUCAAGUGGGAUGACUUCCGGCGAAGUGGUCUGUUCUUCAAGUGUUGCUUAUUGUUUCUCUAACCUUACUUUCUUGUUCUUUAAGUUGACUCAUAAUGUUUGUUCUGGCUUAUUUUUCUAUGUAUAAUUUGUAAAUGAAGUGUUCUGUAAUGGUUGCAGGUCUCUUCGGCUCAGCUAUCGAAUUCAGUAUAUUAUUAUAUUCUGAUCUGUACAGCUUAUUGUGUUUCUUAUUCCCGAACUAUGGAUGAAGCAUCCUUCUUGGUAAGUUCUCAGAAUUAAAUCAUGUUAUAUUCAAAUCUGCAUCUCAAGGAGAAAAGUACAAAAUACUUAUUAUACUGUCUUUGCAGUCCUUGGAAAAAAUAUUUGAUCAUUUCACAAGUCAAUGGGUUGACAUGAAAUCUCGAGGGAAAAUCAGGGAAGACAAUGAGUCUCAGUAUUUUAAGUUCAGGCCUCGUUCGAUCAGGAUCGAAGACAUUCUGGAAGGGGAUUUAUCACCUCUUUCUGAGUUGGACUCCGAUGGGAAUAUGGCAUUUGACAGUGAAGAAAAAUUGGAACAAAAUUUUUUGGGAACGGUGGUAUGUUUUAUUUAAUGACUUAUUCAUAUAUUCAUUAACAUGUAGUUUUCCUUAUGUUUCUUGUUGUUGUUGUAUUUCAGAAGAAACCCACUGAGGUGGACGAUAAUAUGGAGGAAGACUGGGAUCUAAUUCCUGAGUUUACAUUGAAAAGUGUGGUGCUCAUACACAACCAACUAUUUGGGUCAAGGGACCUUGUGGAGCAGGUAAGGUCUAUUCAUUCUUUUUUAGUCCUGAAAUAUGCAACAAAAUACCUACUUAAGAACAAAGAUGAUGACAUUUUGAUGAAGAUGCAUUUUAAACUGACUAUGACAUUCCUACGUAGUUAAAUUUUGACACACUUUUUGAAACGCAUGACCAAUUUUUGUCUAAUUGUGGAUGCAUUUCAGCCUGGCAUUUGCCAUAUUGCUGAUGAGGAUAGGCUUCAAUCUUUUAUGCAAUCAUAUGAAGUGGGAACCAGAAUAAUGAAAGGUGGGUUUCUGGACUGAACUUUUAAGGGCUUCCAAAAUCUGAUAUUCUGCAGCCCAGGGGGCUCAUUACUAUUUCUUUGGCUAUUCAGGUUUGCAGCCAUUGACAUCAUCCAAACUAGAUAACAACCUUAUGCCUGAGCACUUACUUCGCUUAAGCUUGGAAUAUGAGCAAAUUUCUGGCAUCUCUAGCAGACCUACUUGUUCGUACAACAUAUACAAGGUAAUCUAGGAAGUGUUUUACAAUUUUAUGUUUGGUAUGUUAUAUUAUAUAAUCUGUUUAAUAUAAUAUCCUAAAACUUUCGAUUUUGCAGGAUCCAAACCCUUCAGUUAUGUUCAAAAUGGUUAAGCCCGUCAGUUUUCUUCAAGGUCAAGUUAAGCAAUUUCUGGAUGAAUGGCCAGAGCAUCCAGGUCUCCAGAGAAUAUUUGAUAUUACAGAGUCACUUUUGUCAAUGCCUCUAAAUAGCCCCCUUUCCAAGGUAGAACAUAAUUCAAUGGUUUUUGCUCUUACUGUGAAUGGCGGAUACCUUAUUUGAAGAUUAAUAAUGUACUAAUGCUGAGCUGUUAUUUAUUUUUUUGUCAUGUGAUUGUAUUUUGAAGGCUCUACUUGGAUUGCAACUUUUAGUUGGUAGAGCUCAGUUCCUGCAAGAAAAUGAUUCAAAAUACUCUUUCAAAGGUAACUUCCCAGCUUUGUUUAUCUUACCUUUACUAUAUUGUGCAUCUAUUCAAGCUUUACAUUAGGACAAAUAACUUGCCUUGUCUCUAACUGAGUAACUGUUACCUCCCGGCUUAUGUGUCACAUAACAGUUUUAUGCAGCCACUUAUCCGUAUAUUGUAUUUAAUCAAGUAUGCUCAUCGUAAAACUAUUUCCCAUGCAGACCAUCUCCAACCAAUUUAUGCUCUUGUAUCUUCAUGGCAAAAGCUUGAGAUAGAAUGUUGGCCUGCAUUGCUCGGUGGGGUUCAGGAGCAGUAUGAAAUUAAUGCUGAAAAAGUAUGUUUAAACUUCCAUUGCUGUUAAUUUGUUUGGUUGUCAACAUUUCGUAAGGGAACACAAUUUAUCCUUACCGAUAUCUCCUUGCUUGGUUCAGUUAUGGUUUCCUUUGCGAGCAGUUCUCCAUGAUGUUAAGGACCAAAGCUUAUUCACAAUCAAGAGGCAUGUAUCUUUACCAGCUGUUAUUUAUUCCAAAUUAAAAAAAAAUUGAUAAAUAGCUUUGUCUAAUGAAGUUGUAUAAUGCAGUAUUGAGGAAUUUAUGCAAACAUCCAGUGUUGGGGAAUUUAAGAGACGGCUUCAACUUGUUCUCGCCUUCCACGGCCAGAUUUCUUAUGGUAUCACCCUGAAAAUGGAAGCUUACUCAAGGUAGCAAUCGACUUCUCUCUCAUUGUCACAGUAAGGAAGGCAUAUUGUGAAAAAUUUCCUGUUUGUGAACGUGUUAACAGCUAGAUGUUAUUUAGUCUUGAAUUUUUUUAAAACCACAAUGUGGUGAUAUAUGGUAUCCAGUGAAGCUUCGUCUUAGCAGUGAUAAUUUUAUAAACUAUGAUCUACUUCUAUUGAACCAUUGUGAAUUGAACGCUAUGCAUGAGAAAUUUUUAAUGUUUGAUUCUUUGUAUGGCAGUCCAAGUACGAGGGAAUAUUUGAAUAUUCUGUACAAUGCAUUUGGAUACUACGUACAAUUCAUGCCCUUGUAAGUCUGUUAACUUAUAUUAUUUUGAUUAUUUUCUUUUGUCAACUCUUUCUUUAGAUUAGCUUACAAGUUUUUCCCCUUCACUGCAGAGUUUCAGAGUACAUUGAUGGCGGCAGAAGAAGCAUUGAGAAAGAGUUGAAAGAACUUCUCAAGCUUUACAGAUGGGAGCAAGAUCCUUGCAGUUAUGCAUCAAUAGAAAAUUUUAGAAGGACUAAGCAGAAGAUGUUAAAAUCUGUUCAAAAAUUCAAUGUAAUUAUUUGUAAUUUUCGUCUGAUACUUAGCUUUUGUUCUGUUUUUGUUGGUGCUAUCUGGACGAUCAUUUCAACUGAAAAAGUCUUGUUGAUCAAUAGGAUGUUCUGCAGCAACCUCUGAUAAAAUUGCUCGAUGAAGAAGUAGCACGAAUAAGAAGCAAAGUCCCAUCUUGGCUUGACCAGAAGGUGCCUGAUGUAUCAAAAGUAGAUGUGCUACCAUUUCCUCUGGAUCUGGCAAAGCUCGGAGAUGUUGAAAGGUUCUAUUUUAUCAGCAUAAAUGCAGGGGUGCUUUUGACUUAUUAGGUAUCUACUAAAAGGAAAAUAAAGCUCAUUUGUUGCUUUUCUCAUGAUAUUACCUUCUAGGUUCAUGUGGUAUUCGGAAUGGAGAAGUAAGGCUUAUUCAGUAUCACAAAUAAUAGGUGACAGAGGUAAUUUUUCCGCUGAUAUGACUAAAAGCAAAGUUUGAGAACUUUAAAAGUUGUGUUGCAAUGUUUUGGAUAUGUAGCAUUUACAUUAUUCCUCUGCUAAACUAUCUAUUUACACAAUUCUGUGCAGAAAUCUGAAUUUCAUAUAUGCCUAUCAAAACCAUAAUUUGUUACAUAUUUAUCUUUGUACUUAUAAUAAUGCCCCUCUUUGGAACGCUUUUGAUUUCGUAGAAACCAAUGUUUUCUCAUGAAUUGGAUAAUUCCCAACAUAGGAUUGUUUUUGUGAGAAAAUGCACUUUUGAGGAGUAUAUAUAAUAAUUCAGGCAAAGGGGUAUAAACAAAAUAGAUGACUGACAGGUGUAGGAUAACGACUUGCAGAGAUGAUUCUCUUUUUUUAUUUCCUCUCAUAGAGAAAAUUAUAUUUAGGCUGAAAAUUAAUGAGAACUUGUUGGUAUUGCAGAACUCAUAGAAGUUAUCACACAGUCCCAGUACCCUGAAUCUAUGCAAAUAGAAUUUAAGAUGCAGUGGGAGGAUUGUUGGUCUUCACUUGAAAAAAUAUGCAGACAUACAGCUGAAUUUGCUCAUCUGUGGAAGCAUGGAACAAAGAAUCCCAAGAGGAGGGCUCUAGCCAACUUACUGAAGACUCUUGAAGGAUGUGGAUUAUCGAAGCAUCGACCUAUAAGUCAGGAGGUAUGCUGAUGUUAUUGUUUCUCAAUUAUUGCUUGGUAACCAAUUGAAAAAGCAAAAUUGUAACCAAAACUUGGAAAUACACCAAAAAAGCUAAAUGAUAUAUUUAACUAUUGGACAAAUAUUGAUUUUGAGGUAGGCAUCUUUUGUUUUAAAUGCUGAUUUAACACAAGUAUGGAAUAUUUGUAUUUAAUUGAAGUUGUAGUUAUUUUAAUCUUGUUUUCAUCUGGGUGCUAUCUACAGCUGGAAAAUAACUCAAAUCAGCCGAGCAGAUUAUUUUUGCAGCCAUCAUAUAAUGUGCUACACUUGCUGGAAGUCUCCCCUGCCCAGCAAAAUGAGCUUUUAGACAACAAAGGUGAUAAGGGAUGGACAUCAGCAAACAACAACUACUUCAAAUGCUUGGCCAUGAUGCAGCAACUUCAACAAGCCUCUUUGAGUUUCAGCAAAGACCUCGAUCUGGAGCAGGUUAAAUUCAAUGCUUAGUUUUCAAAGGGAACUGUCUGCUCCAUGUUGCGUGCUAUAACCAUGAAAUUGUUCUUGUGUUAUGUGCAGGUCAAUCGGGCUGUAUCUUUUGUGGAUCAUCUUAUUAGCGUACUGUGUGAACAAAGAAAUAUUGCUUAUAGUCUGUCGGAGCAACUAAUAAACUUACGGGAACGAUUGUUAAACUUCACAGGUACUCAUUCUUGCGGAUGCCAAUUUUUGUUGUGAUUCCAUUCAAUAUAAAAUUGACAAGUUAUUCUUUAUAGGAGAGGGUGAUAGUUCUUCUAUAGCUCCAAGCCAGAAUGCCCUUUUCAAAUGCAUGCAGCAACAAAAGGUAUGGAUUUACUAUAUUUAUAAUUAGGAAAAUGAGUUAUGCUUAUUCUAAGCUAAUCAUUUUGCUUAAUCCUUAAUAGCGACUUUUCGACAACCUACUUACUAUGUCGAGGGACAUGACCUUGCUGCUUGGGAGCUUCAAGAAUAGUCAUCUUAGUACAUGUGACACAGUGGGGGAUGAAGCUGCUACUCUAUCUGCUUUUGUAGAUAAUUUUGUGCCGACAUUCAUAAAAUCUAAGGUAGAUCUUGUUAUUGGCGUACUUAUGUUUGUCUAAUUCUUUCCUCUUAGUCUGUUAGUCAUAUUCGAUUACCAAAUUAUACCUCCUUUUCCCCCCUUGCAGGAAUUGUUAGAUAAGUAUCUAAUUGGCGGUAACCAUGUUCUUGCCCCUUCACCUAAGUACAUUCCAGAUGUUGUUACCAAUGAGAUGAAGAAACUAGUGGACACAAACCAGCAAAUAAUUAACACAUUUGACGAAGAUAUCAAGAAAUUAGGCUUCCAAAAGGAUUCCACAAGAUCUGUCAAAGAAAUGCUGCUUGGCCGUUUUCAAGAGCUGAUCAACAAGGUUUGGAUAUUAGAGUUUGUCUAACAUACUUUUUUAUCUAUUUUAGUGAUUUUUUUCUUUUAAUGAUCUGUCAAUAAAAUAGAAAGAGAAGAUAUGGAAAUUUCUCUAAAACUGAACUUUCUGAAUAAAACUUUUCGGUUUUAGCUGAUUCUAACUACCAGGUUUUUAGUUAGCAUUGACCAACUUUGUCUUAUUCAUCUUAGACUCGAGUUGUUUUACGUUAAGUACGAAACAAAGCAAACAAAGCGAGAAUGCUGUAAUAUUUUCUUUCUACCAAAUAUCUUUAAGAAUUACUUUACCUUCUGUUUUUGGGUUUCUUUCUUCAUUACAUCUUUGUAUCAUGAUUUUUCUGAGUUUGUGCUUGUGAAAUUGUGAAUGAAAAACAAUGCAAGAAUGCAGUAACUCUUUCAACCAGAUAUCUCUGCUUAAGCUGAAAACAUUCUCACUUCUCCACUUUUGAUGGAUUCUUCUCUGCCAUCCACCUUUGGGUAUUCUUAUUCCUUAAAACUCUUUACAUACCGAGCUUUUCCUUAAUCUCUUUUUCAGGGGAGACUGACAAUAGAGGAUUAUCGAGCAGAAGUUGAUACGAUUCACCAGCAGCAACAAGAUUCAACUCUCUCGGCAAAUCUUGAUACUUUAUUUGCUGAAGCUUUUGAGGAGACAAUUAAAUUGAUGAUGGUUGCUUUUAGGAGGCUAGAUGUACUCACUCAUGGCCAUGUUCGAGAAUUAUCAGAAGGAAAUAUUACUCUUUGGAAAGACUUUCUGCAGUCAUAUACAGCUAACCUGCUACUAGAUCAUAUACGUGAUGCUGCUGACAAAACCAUAGAUCUAGCGGUAUACUCGUAGUCCUCAAGCUUUUGUUUCCUUUUUGUCUUACUUUAUUUCUAGGAUCAAUCACAAAUUACAUUCUUCAGUUUUAUUUUGAUUUCUAUUGUGCCCUCUGAGUUUCGAUUUUGAAUUCAGUCCCGGAAAUCUGUUCGAUGUAACAAUUUUGUCCUUCAAUAAGUCUGCUGUCUGGGCAUGAAAAAUGCCUCAUCAGCAUUAUCCUUAGUGCUUGCUGAUGAGGUAGUUUGCAAAAGUUUAAUUGAAAAGAUGAUACUAUGUGAAAAUACAACUUAAAUUGAGGCAACGAACUAUUUCUGGGACUGAAAUGUUAGAAAUCAGGUUUGAAUAACUUCCACUGGCUGAAACUUGUAACUAACCCUUACUUUUAUAAUUUAUUACAUUGGUUUUGUACUCUGUGCUUAUAAUGAUGGAUGGGUUCUACAGAAGCAACUCGUGGACGGUGCUAGUAGGAAACCUGAGGUUUGUUCUUACGUAGAGAAACAUCUAAAAAAUCUUCGCAUGUUGCUUGACCUUCUUGUUUCCCAUGCUGAAGGCAUCCUCUCCGAGUUUUUAGAUGCUCAUAGAACGGUAAGAGUUUCAGAUAUCAACUUGUGGCCUCUUUUUCAAUGAUUUUUUUUGUUAAAUUUGCUGCCUUUUUUUAUUUUAUAUGAAUGCAGACAGGUGAAAUGACUCAUGCCCUUGCACACGUUUUCACUCAACUAUUUUCGGAGGGAUUUGGGUCUGCAGAGGAACUGACAGAGAGUGUUGCUGGAGGUACACGAGAUGCUACUGGAACUGGUAUGGGUGAGGGUGAAGGUAUAAAUGAUGUGAGUGAUCAGAUAGAAGACGAGUCACAACUUCUUGGCUGUCCUGAAAAGGUAUUGGUUUCAAGAAAUAUCAAAUGUGUAUCCCUGCACAACUAGCUCAUUCACAUAUAUAUUCCAUAGGUGCCCUAAAAAUACUCCAGUUCUUCCAUGUAUACUCAAGAGUAGGUUUUUUUGUAAGGAACUGCAUUUAACAAGAGAGAUGUACGAAAUUAAGAUUUUCUAGGUAAAUGGAUGUGUAAAAUCAGAUGAUUUGUACGGAUAUAUGUAAAAUUCUCUGCUUUGAAUGCAUGUUUGUCUGAACUUCUUCUAGUGAAGACUAAAUUCUAGGACAUAAACGUGGGUCGCAUUUAAUUUUCCAGGAUGAUGGACCGGAGAAGUCGGAUAAACUUCCUAGUGACAGAGACAAAGGAGUCGAAAUGGAUGAGGAUUUUACUGGCGAUAUGUAUAGUGUAAGUGAAGAUUCUGGGGAUGAAGAUGAUGGCCAUGACAACGAGGAAGAGGACAUCAACUUGGAAUCUCAAAUGGGAGAGACUGGAGAUGACAAGCAGGUGGCUGGCGAGAAGGCUUGGGAUAAGGAUGAAGAUGAAAACCAUCAAAACUCUGAUGAUAAGUACGAAUCGGGACCAUCCGUGAAAGAAGAGGAUCGUAGCAGUAGAGAGCUCAGAGCUAAGGAUGAUAAUGCUCUUGGUAUUGAAGAACCAGGAGAAAAUGAGCUUGAUCAGUAUGAUACUAAAGAGGACAAUGAAACAUCUCUUGCUGAUGAAGAUGAGAAAAGUAAUAACGACAUUGGGGCCGAGAAAAGUGAAGCGUUUGAAGAUCCAACAGGAGCUCCGUUCCCUGAAUUGGAAAAAGAUUCGGAAGACGUUAAUAUAGAUGAAACUGAGGCUUCUGAUAUAAAAGAAGAUGAGGUUAAUGAAGAUGCUGAUGAGGAAAUGAUGGAUGGAGAUGAAAAUGAAAUGUCCAACACUGAUGAUCGUAAUGAUGAGGAGAAUAUCGUCCAAAUGGAUGAGGACAAUGAAGCAAAGGAUGCUACUGGAAAAGAUGUUGAGGAUUCAACAACAGAGCUGAGUAAAGAGACACAAAAUUCUGAUAAGAUUGAGGCAUUGAAAAAUCCUUCACAGGAUGUGCUUAUGACUAAUGGGCUUCAGUCGAAUAUGGAACCGCAGACAAACUGGGCCAAUAGCAAUGACACUUACAGUGCGGUUGCUCCGUCAAUAAAUAUACCGAGCAAUGAAGCACUCAAAAUGGAAAUAUCCAUGCCUGACUCUAGCUAUGGUUCUAGAUUAUCUUCUAAUGAAACAAAACCUCAGACUUCGCAAACUGAUGAAACAUCUUUUCAAAUUAUGCGUACAAAUCCUUUUAGGAGCAUUGGGGAUGCGAUGGAGGAGUGGAAAGAAAGAGCCAAAGUUUCGGCUGACACCCAAAAUGACCAAAUGGAUGCUCUUGAUGAGAUCGAUGAUGAGAAUGCUGAUGAAUACCGGUAUGUAUCUGAGGGAGAAAAGGGUACUUCUCAAGCGCUUGGAGCUGCUACUUCUGAUCAGAUCCUAGACAAUGUUGAAGGAAACAAAUCUACCACAGAUGAGGGUCAAAUCAGGAAAAAAGAGGAGACCAAUAACAAAACUGAUAUGGUUGAUAAUCCUGAAACAUCUUAUCUCAAGUCUUGCCAAUCUUUGAUUUCCAAAUCUGAAGUUGAAGAGGAAAUUCUAGACAAAAUGGAGGAGGACACUGAGCCAUUUGUUGAAAAACCGCAUCAAAAUGACUUCAAAUGCCAAUCAGGAGAUUCGGUUAUGUUCAGAAAUUCCCUGACGGAUGAGAAAGUACCGCCACUUGAUGCCCAUUUUGAUGACCAGGAAUUGUCUGUUCCUAUGGGCAUUGAAGCAUCUGAUGAGGAAAUGCAAAGAGCUAUUGUAGAUUGGAAAAAGUAUGAAAUGGUUACAACCAGGUUGUCUCAAGAGUUGACUGAGCAGUUGCGCCUUGUCUUGGAACCUACUUUGGCUAGCAAGCUUCAAGGGGAUUAUAGAACUGGAAAACGAAUCAACAUGAAGAAGGUGAGAUUACUAUCUGUUCUGUAAAAUUUUCUGUUGACUGAUUGGGUGAGUAGGGGGGGCCUACUUUGAAAGCUCUUCUAAUUUUUACGAUGACUGAGCAGCUGUUUUUUUUUUUUUUUUUAACAUUAUCCCUUACAGGUUAUUCCAUACAUUGCGAGUCAUUUCCGUAAAGAUAAGAUAUGGUUGAGGAGGACUAAACCCAACAAGAGAGAUUACCAAGUGGUGUUAGCAGUGGAUGAUUCGCGCAGUAUGUCUGAAAACCGUUGUGAAAAAGCUGCUAUCGAGGCACUGGUAACAGUGUGCAGAGCACUGUCGCAGCUUGAAGUGGGCCAGUUUGCGGUUGCAAGCUUUGGCAGGAAAGGGAAUAUUAAAUUACUUCAUGAUUUUGAUCAGACUUUCAUGGGUGAAGCUGGUGUGAAGGUAAGUUACAGUGGGCCACUUUUUACUUGGAGAUAUUUUAGUUCGCAUGUUUGUUAUCUUAUUAUGUGUGUUCAUAUAUUAGUUUUCUCUCGUGACAUUCUCCCUAUAUACUUUGGAGCAGAUGAUCUCUAGCUUAUCAUUCAGGCAAGAUAAUACCAUUGCUGAUGAGCCCGUGGUUGAUCUUUUGAAGUGUCUGAACAACAUGCUCGACACUGCUGUCUCAAAGUCACGCAUGCCAUCAGGGCAGAACCCUCUUCACCAGCUCAUACUGAUAAUAUCUGAUGGCCGGUUCCAUGAAAAGGUCUCUCUCUCUCUCUCUCUCUCUCUCUCUCUCUCUCUCUCUCUCUCUCGUGACAAUUCUAUUUGUAGAUAUAAUAAGAUGGAUAAUGUUUUCAAUAUAGGAAAACUUGAGGCGGUGUGUCAGAGAUCUUCUGAACAGGCGGAGGAUGAUUGCAUUUAUUCUUCUAGACAGUCCUCAGGAUUCCAUCAUGGAUUCAAAGGUUCGUACUCCACUUACUUUUUUUAUCACUCUACUGUAAGUCUCGUUUUGUAUUUAUAUUAGAAAUGAUUCUCGUGUGCUCAGGAAGCAUCAUUUGAAGGAGGAAAGCUUUCUUUCAAGAAGUAUAUGAAUUCAUUUCCGUUCCCUUAUUAUAUUGUUCUGAAGAACAUUGAAGCACUUCCCCGUACACUCGCUGAUUUGCUGCGACAGGUAACGACAUAAUCCAUGAUGUAGCCUCCAUUUGUUCUCUUAAUAUGUAAUAUAUAAUGUUAGCUACAAUCUUUGGUUGCUGGUUCUAACUUUCUUCAUCGUUGGUUGCAGUGGUUUGAGCUCAUGCAAAACUUGAACGAGUGAUCUACAGAACCCACUGAUGACGAAUGAGAGAAAGUGUAAUCAUUUUUAGGGCACUUCAACUCUGUGGCAUUUCCAUGUUUCGGUUGUGCUCCAAUAAUAGUUGAAGUAGUGAAAGGCAGCAGAGGGCUCAUCUCCUUCUGCUGUGCUGCCGACCGCUGAUACCAGUCGAGAGAGAAGAAGAGAAAAAAGAGAGGGGAGGGCUAGCAGAAUAUGGAGACAACAGGUGAAGGAAAAGAGAAAUUGGAAAGAGGAGAAUGUGGCACGGCGAAGCGAUUAUUUUAUCGUAUAGGUUUAUAUAUUUGAAUGUGUAUAAACAGAAAUAAUUGGUCGAGUGUUUUUCGUGGGGGAAUAAUUGGCUGAAGCCAGAAUGUUGCUCUGUUUUAUUGUUACUCUAUUUUAUUGCUUCAUGGAAGGCGAUCCCUUGAAGAAUAUGCUGCUGGUAAUUUAUUUUUCUUUUCUCUUUUGUUUAUUCUCGCCAGGAAGGACUCAGUUCUUUUUGGUUAUUUGUACGAAACAGUAUGAAAUAAAGAGAAAUUCUCGGCUUUCUUUUAUUCUCAGUUUUCUUUCUUUAUUGUCAUUAUUAGUUGAUCCAAUCUCGCAGAUAUCAAAGUUGCACAAAAAAUGCUUCCUAUUCGUUCUUUUGGUCACUCGUUCUGGUAAAAUAUUUGAGUUGUGUUACAUCGGCAAGCGUUAUUAUCUAAAACAUUUAAAGAUCAUAAGCCCAGUGCUUUCAUUUAGGUGGUUAAUGUAUUACGUGCGUGUAUUUCACUACUGGAUUGAUCGACGUGCCAUGCUACUUAAUAUAAGAGUUGAGUUCGCUUGAGGGCUUUUUACUGUUUCUGAUGAUGCUACUUUUUGAUUUCUUUCCUUUAAAAAUAUAUAUAUUUUGACUUCUUUUUAAUUUUAGUAAAAAAAUGACUUAACAAGUAUUAACAGCAAAAGUAUUUUUAAAUAACAAAAAAAUAUACAAAGAACAUAUUUGGAAUAGAAAUAAAAUAAGAGAAUAUCAAAUAUUUCAAAAUUUUUGAAUGAUAUAUAUAGAGUAGGGCUAUUAUACUCUUAUGAGUAUAAAGCCACAAGUUGUUUUCGAUAUUGGAAUUUUCGAAUCAACGAUCCACACAUAAGUUAUUUUUGAUGUUGGAAUUUUCGAAUCAACGAUCCACACCGUUAAAUAUGAUCUAAAGUAUUUAAAACUUCUAAAAAAUAAAUUUCAUAAUUUUUUAAAAUUAUUAUAAAAUUCAUCAAGCGGGUAUAAAAUGAACGGUCAAAAUCGAACGACAUCCUAAAAAUGAAUGAUCAGAUCAUUCAAUUUAAGAUUGGAGUUUUUGAUCUUUAUUUAAGUAGUGAAUAGAAUUUUCUAUCAAAAAUUCAAUCUAUUCCGAUUAUUUUUCACCGUUAAACUAGCAAAUAUCUUAUACCGACCAUUAAAAAUUAUUAAUUUUGUGAGCUUUUAAUCGUAAGAUAAAUGAUAUUAAAAAAUUAAUCGUAAGAUAAAUGAUAUUAAAAAAUUAUAAAAUUUAAUUUCUAGAAGUUUUAAAUGCUUUAAAUAUGUUUAACGGUAUGGACCGUUGAUUCGGAAGCUUUAUCAUCAAAAACGACUUAUGAGUACAAGGGCGAUCGUACUCAUAAGAGUAUAGUAGCCGAACUCGAUAUAUAUAUAUAUAUAUAUAUAUAUAUAUAUAUAUAUAUAGAGGUAAUUAUCCCUUAAAAAGGAAAUGACAAAAAUUCCGUAAACUAAGAAACAAAGUCAAGGCCAAUUGCAGGAAGAACAAAAUAGAGUAUACGUCUUAACUCUAAACCAAAUUACCUUGUAACUGUAAAACCAGGCCACUUGAAAGAAAAUUUAGUCUCGGUAGUAUCUGCAACAGUCACCAUUAUAAAAAGAAAAAGAAACGUCGCGGUAACAAUUUUCGCUUGAAGAAGGAAACUGAAAGAGUUUCUUUUGCUAUUGGUUUUUUUUAACAACUUGACGGCAGCUUCAAUUACUCGGCCGCAUCGUCAACAAGUGCAGCUAAAAACGACUGAACCUCUGUAUCCACAUCAGCAAGGUCGGCGGGAGUCUGUCAAGUAAAGAUUUACAAUGAGCAGCACGUUAGAUAGUUAGAAAGAUUUAAUGCCCUCAUGACCAAAUUUUUGAAAACCAGUUAAACCAGUCUGGCCAACGAAGAAGUUCAAUAAGUAAGCAAUUUAAAUUGCAGAGAAUAUAAAUAUGAUGCGCAUUGUGAAUAUCCAAAUUUGUUGGGGAAUAUAAAUAGAGAUAAAAUAAAUUAUGGCCUUAAGGCGUGUAGGUUUAUUUUCUUUAAGAUGAUAUUUCCCUCCACUCGAAUGUAUGCUGCCAGAUUACCAGCAAAUCACUUCCAGAAUAUGACAAGAUCCUCGAAAGAUUUUGAAAACUUUCUCUCAAGAAUUCUUCUUUUAAGAAUCAAUACGAAAAAUUAGAAAGGAGAAGAAUUGAUUGUAUUACCCUUGAAGCCUUCAAACAUCUCUUAUUUAUAAAAGAUGAACGGUUCCGAUGAAAAGACAUGUCUUUUGAUAUUAUAUCUCUUUACGAAAGGACAGAUCCUCUCAUGGAUAGUGAAAAAGCAUCUCUCUUUACAAAUGAAAAGAUAGAUUCUUUCACAAAAGGUUCAUCUCUUUGUGAAGAAGCAUAUCUCUUCGUAAAGAAAUACACCUCUUUGCAUCAAAUGAAAAACAUCUUUUUUAUAAAAAUAACUAAUUCACCGAAGAGACACAACUAUUCAUUUAAUUUUAAUUUUUUCUAUCAAUAUGAUCAUAUACUUUACUCAUCAGAUACUUCUUUUACAUAAGCAAUUUCUUUUAUAAGGUUAUAAACUAGAGUAAGUAUCGGUUACAUAAUGAACAGCGAUGAGAAUUCUAUCGAAAUAACCCAAAUCAAAAGACGAGUAAUUAUGAAUAUCUAGCUUCGUCGGUGAGAAUAUAUUUGGAUAAGCAUGAUUGAGUAUAUACUAUCAUCUUAUGCUAUAUAAUUGCCAAUCAAAUAAAUACAACACAUUAAACGUAUAUAUGUGCUUACACGGGUGCAUGCUGCAAAUCACAACUAUGCAAACAAUGUCCUAUUUAUAUGUAUUGCGCUUAUCACUGUUGAUAUCUAAACCUAUACAUUUAUACAAACAUUUAUGAAAAGAAGUUGUCAUGCCCUUAGCCAUGUAGGCAUAAUUCAUAACACAGUGCGUCCAUAGUGUACAGGCAAUUACUUGAUAAAUGGGUAAGAGGACUCUAAAUACUACGUAAUUGUUUGUUAAACAACACAAACUAAUAUAAACAUGCAAGAUGUUUCUAAUAAUGACUUUGAACUAUAAAUUUUUCACAAAAGAAAUCAAAGAAAAAUGACUAGUCUGUAGUCAAACCAUAAGUUGAAUGUGGCAUCGAGAGUCUACUGUACAAACCUGGCCAUAAGCAUUUGCCUUCCUGGGAGAAGCACCAGCAGCAAGCAACAGCUUCACAACAUCCAGGUGUUCUCCUCUUGCGGCAUGAUGAAGAGGCUGCAUGCAUAAUGGUAUGAAAAUUAUUACAACCAAAACCUCCAAAAUUUGUGAAACAAAUAAGGGGGAAAAAUUGGGUCCCAGCCAGAAUUACAGUAUCUCCUUCAGCAUCAACAGUGUUCAGCAUUCGCAUAACACAAUCAGGAUUGCCAGCAAAAUCAAGAAUACGUUGGACUAUUUCAGAAAAACCUGCAUAUAUUUACCUAAAUAGUCAAAUAAAAGAAACGAAAACUAUGAAAGGCUAAAGCUGAAGCAUAUAUAGUGCGAAUCUGUGGGAUUUUGAAUGCUCGGAAUUUGUUAUCAAACUAACUGGAAGAUGGGUCCGAAAUACCGGAAAAGAUUAUUGUUUACCUCCAGCACAAGCAUCAUGAAGAGGAAUUGCUCCUUCCUCAUCUUUAGACUCCAAGCUAGCUCCACGUUCCAAUAGUAGCUAAGAGGCCAGGUAACAUUACUGGAUCAUGGUUAUUGAGCAAAACUGACAAAAGGAUAAGAGCAUUCAAAGCAAACCUGGACACAAGAAAGAUGGCCAUAUAGACAUGCCAAGUGAAGGACAGUAUCGCCAUCUUCAACUGGAUCAUCAAUGCUGCCGGUAUAAUUAUCUGCAUUAUUCACAGAAAUCAAAGAUACAAAACUUAAAAAAAAAAAAAAAAAAAAAAAAAAAGGAAAAAAAAUGAGCUACUUUGAAGAGCUAACUACUUCAAAGCUAUAACACAAACAUUUUCUCAGCCAGUAUUCUGGCAGAUUUAUUAUUAGUCCAAGUAUUUUUGUGAUAGCUGUCUCUACUAGAUAGCACACUGGAUAGUUGUCAGUCUUCUAUAUAGGUUAUCGAAACUCCAAAUUGCUUCUCUUCACCUCCAUCACUACAUAAAUACAUAAAAUCGCAUUCCAUAGAAAAGAUAACACCCCCCCCCCAAUCCCACACCUUGUGUCACCCUGGACCUAUUUGAUUGGGCCUUGACUGUCUUACUUUUACUAGAAGCAUUUGAAAAAUGAUCCAAUUGGGGGAAACGCUAUUGGAUUGAGAACAGUUGCAACGUUGGGUAGCUUAGGGCAUCGCUUAGCUAUGGGAUUCCUUUUCUUUUGUUAAUUGGCUAGAAAAUUUCACCAGUCCCGCUGCUGAUAUAUUAUCAAAUUCUUCGAUUCAAUCUUCUAUACAUUUUGAGAGAUAAUGUGAUCCUUCUCUUUUGUUCUCUAAUUCCGACAUGGAAAACUUGCAAUCCAUAGCAAUUGUACUACUCUGAACAACAUUAUCUACAUAUUUUAUCACACCCCCUAAGCCUGCCAAACGAAACAAUUAAUUGUAGACAAAAACCUACAGCCCAAAUCAAUUCCACUGUGUGAAACAGAAUGAUCGUCAUUGCCGACCAAGCUACUCAACUAAUCUAAUCUUGAAAUUUCCUGUAUAGACCCCAGCAAACAACUAUAGAAGGGUGAGAAUAUUUCAUUCAGAAAUAGUAACAUUAAUUACGUUUAUGGUUGAGUCAAUGUCAUGUUAGCACAUAAAAGCUGCAUACAAAAGUUCUUAGCGGCCAACAAAAUCAUGCAAGAUACAAAAAGCAACUCUUUUCAAUUGAAUCAUCAAAUACGUUAUACAUCAUUUCACUCCGGUCCAAAUUGUUAAUAACAAGUUUUUUUUAAUGUUCUAGUCCCCCUCUUCCUCCUUUUGAACUUAUUAGACUAUCAAAAAUCCCCCCCGACCUACAUUUCGUGUUUCACAAUAGAAAUCUAGUCAGUAAAAACCCCAUCCCCCUCCCUGCAGCUCCCAAAAUGCAAUCUUGGAGUUGCGCAAAACCCUACCUUCUCUUCUACUCGCAAACCACCUCUACCAUCCUUCCAUUCCGAAAAUAAGGUUAAAAAAGUCCCUUUUCCAGUAGAAUUAAGUAUAAUCUCCUCCAAUUUUAGGUCUUUAUGCGACAUUUACCGAUUAAUACAAGACAAUAUGUAGCAACCUAACAAGAAAAGAACUCCCAUGAACCUAAAUUGAUGUCAAAUUACAACUAAAUUCCAUCACAACAACAGCCAAAAUCCAUUCUUUAUUCGACACGGCCCAUCUACAAUCACCUAAAACUAACGAUCAAAACCCCCUAAAAACACCAAAUGCAAUGGGAUCAGAGAAAAACCCUAAAACACGCUAGAUCAAAUUGGGCGGGGUGGAUUCGGCGGGGAUCGUACCGAGGGCGGCGCGUAGGGCGUCGACGUCGCCGCGCUGCGCGGCCUCGGCGAGGGGGCGGAGGUGCGGGGGGAUCUCGCGGUCGGGAUCGGCCCACGCGUCCCCAUCGUCCUCGUAGUAUCCCCCCUCCCCUUCGCCCCCUCCCUCCUCCUCCAUUAGACCAUUGCGCCCCCCCGGCACCGCCAUCGUCGCCUCCUCCUCCGCCUCCGCCUCCGCCGCCGAGCUCCGCCCCUCCUCUCUCUCUCUCAGCCUACGUUGAGCGAAGGAGACGAUGGGGUGGUUGAGAGAGAGAGAGAGAGAGAGAGAGAGAGAGAAAAACGGAGAUUUUGGAGUAGGAGAAACGCCGCACUCGUAAUUGACAAACGCAGACUUUUGGGGUUGGUGUGCUAGUGCGACGGCGCGCGUGAGAGCGUGAGAUCGACCGUCCAAUAAUUCUCCGUUCACCCUCCGCUGUCCAUUUUCUGACGGUGUUGAUUCAGAAUCUCAUAUAGGGUUGUAGUACUUAACGGGUUUUACCCGAUUCACGGAAAGAGCAAUGCUAGCUCUACAUCAGUUUUAGAGUUGUAACUGUAUUCCCGGAAGCCUCUUGCUUUGAUAUCUUUAUCUGAGGGAUUUUUUUGCAUUUAGUUCCUGACAAAUUUUUAUUUUAAAAUUAGUCUUGUCAAAAUUUAAUUUAUAAAAAUGACCCUAGGCCUGCCACGCNAUUCACGGAAAGAGCAAUGCUAGCUCUACAUCAGUUUUAGAGUUGUAACUGUAUUCCCGGAAGCCUCUUGCUUUGAUAUCUUUAUCUGAGGGAUUUUUGCAUUUUGCCCUCUCAAAAAAAAUUAUUUUUACAAAUAAUCUCAAAAAAUUUAUAAUUAUAAUUUUAGCCCUAGGCCUGCCACGCAGGCGCCACGUAAGCAUCAUGCGGACAGGACCGGGGCCCGUGUGUUAAGUUGAACACGGUGAAUGGUUCACCUGAUUCACCGUGUUUAGUACGUAUUUUUUGUAUAUUGAAAAGAGGAAUAAAGAGUAGAGAUGUCAAUAGGUAUAGAUAUCCGAAAUAUUAUCCGAAUCCAAACCUGAAUAAAUUUUAUAUAUGUAUAAAUUUAUUUUUAUUUAUUUAUACAAUAUAUAAAAUAUUUAAUAAUUUUUAUUUCUUAGAGUUUCAUCCAACGGUAUAGAUUUUUAAAACCCGCUGGGUUCAGGUUCAGGUUUCGAGUUUUUGGUCGGAUAUGAAUAUGGGUAUGAAUUUUUAAAAUCCGCCGGGUUCAGAUCCGGGUUUGGAUUUUAAUUUGAUUUUCAGGUUCGGGUUCGGAUUUUUGAAAAAGAGAAGAAAAGAAAUACAAAUUUUCUAUUCCUUUUUUCAAUAUACAAAAAAUACGUACUAAAUACGGUGAAUCAUUCACCGUGUUUAACUUAACUACCGCCCCCAGCCCCGCCCGCGUGGUGCUGACGUGGCGCCUGCGUGGCAGGCCUAGGGCUAUUUUUUGCAAAUUAAAUUUUGGUAGGGCUAUUUUUAAAAUAAAACUUUGCCAGGGGGCUAAAUACAAAAAAAGCCCUUUAUCUAAUGAUUGGCGUUAAUCAUUAAUUUCAUAAACUCUCGAGCUGUCAUUAAUUCACUUAAACGUACAGAUACACAGUACCGAGAGUUUCGAUUUUGACUCGAUUCAACCGGUCUUCCGUCAUUUCGAGUAUGACUCAAUCCAACCCGACUUUUCAUUAUUUCAUAUGUGAUUCGACUCAAUUUGAUCUUUUGUCACGGAAUAAAAUACUGGCCGAUUUAAACCAACAAUAACUAGUCUCAUCAUUUUUUUCUUUUCACUAAAAACUAAAAGCGUUAAUGGACCAUUCGGGAUUGUAAAGGUUACACCUCCCCAAGUUUGUAGACAUAAAAUUUUUCUCCAUAAAAUUUCGAAAAAAAAAUUAAGAGUAUCAUCUUUAAGACUUGGGUGCAGAGUGAAGUAAACGGCUCAAUAAACUGUUUCAAAAAAAUCUUGUUGAGGAGCUCACAAAUGGAGUCGCGUUUUCACAAAUACAUCCUAAAAACAUACAACCUUGUGCUACAUAUUUGGGCCGAGUUAGUUUGGGGCUCAAUUUGUUUGAAACUGCUUGGGAAAGUCCAGACUGAUUCCGAAUGAAUUUUCAGAGUGGGCUCGUCGAGCUUGCAGCGACCAGGAAGUGAAUAACGCCUUGUCUGCGCCCUGCCGGCAGUCCCCAUUUCUCGUUAGAUAAAUAACGUCGAAAAAUUUUAAAAUUAAAUUCUGAAGAAGUUUGAUUAAUUUUAAUUAUUUUUAACAAUAUUAAUCAUCGAUUUGAUUGUCGAUUUGAAUGUCUCAAAAAUAACAAGAAAGUAAACAACUUUUUUUUUUCUUUUAGAAGUAUUUUUGUAUGGGAACUGAUGUUGUCAUAGCAAUAUUUACUAUUAUUGCCGAAACAAAAAAAAAAGUACAAAGUAUGGUUAAAUACAAUAUAUGUAUUUUGAUAAUAGUAAAUAUUACUUUGCCACUAUUAAUUUUUAGAGUUAAUUUCAUUUGUACCCUCACAAAGUUAUGAAAUAUCAUAAAUACCCUUUGAAUUUUUAAAAUUUCACAAAUACCCCUAGAUCUACAUACAAUAUUUCUUUCAUAAAUACCCUCACCGAUAAUUUUUUGCUAACUUUCGUCAACAUAGCAUUUUUUUAUUUUAUUUCAAAAUAUGAAAUGACCAUUUUACCCUUAUUUUUUGUUUAAAAAUCAAAGUUUUUUCACUUAUUUUUGAUAUUUAUACUAAAACUAUCAACUAUAGGUCAUUUAAGUGAAUCCUUGAAGUUUUUAUUAAUUUUCUUUUUUGAACAGAAACUUAUUUAAUUUUAUAUACUACGAGGUUAUUAAAAUUAUUAAAUUUGUUUGAAUCAUUAAUGGAUUAGAUAAAAUCUCUAAUUUAUUAAUAAAAAAUCAUUCAAUUUAAGAAAAUAAAAUUUUGAAGGGCAAAUAUGAAAUUUUAAAAUUUUGAAGGGUAUUCAUGAAAUUAGAACUACUUGGAAGGGUAUUGAAGAAAUUUUUCCUAAUUUUUAUAUAUAUACACACGUAGAUAGAGGGUUAUGCUAGAAUAUUUUUGCUGCGCCAUUUUUUAGUACAUUGAUACUAUUUUGGAUGAUGAGAUUUUUGAAUCUACAAGUGAUAUUUUUUAAAAAAAUGUCAUAAAAUGAAGACCAUAAAAUGAUAAAGUAUUAUACUGUACCGUCCUGAUUUGAAAAAAUUAUUAUUUACCAUCCUAUUUGACGGUAGAGUUAUAAAUAAAACAAAAAUACAAAAUUAUAUGACAGUUAAGUAUAACCUUUUAAAUUAUAGGAUGAUAAACUAAAAUGUGUUAAAUUUUAAGAGUUGUUUGGUUGAAUAUAAUUAUAACUGCAUUACAGUGGUAAUAGCAUGCAAGUCCAAAUCCGAUAUUUGAUUUGAUGCAUUUGAUUUGACUGCUGCAGUUGGAAUUAUACCAGGGGCUCAAUUGUAGCCAUUGGAGUUACAUCGAAAUUUGCCUUAGUUCUUGAUGUAGCAGUUGAAGAAAUUAAGUAACUUCAAACAAAAGGUAGGUUUACCUUCUUAAUAACCUUUUCAAUAGAAAAUAUAUAUUUUUUCUAUAUUGCAGCAUUGCAGGUGAUUUUACUAUCUACAUAUAAAAUGGUAAAAUUUUAUAAAUGCACUUUUCUCGACAUACAUCUAAAUAAAUUAUUUAUAAUUGUUAAUAUUUCGUUACAUCAAACUAAAUAAAAUAUAUACUUUUAGCUGUAAGUACAUCUAAUCAUAUCGUAUUUAUCAAGAUUUUAAGUGCCCGUCGGCAUGGGCGGCACGGGCCGUAUGCACCGUGCCGUAUCCACCGUGCAGUACCGUGCCAACAAGAUACAUGCAUGAUAUAGACCCCGUGCCGUUGGCACAGCUCAAAACUCUCUAUUCUUUAAAUUAGUAAGUAAUUUUCUUAAUAAAGCUCAAAAAAUGUGAUAAAAAAACAUAAUAAAUAAUUAGAAUAUUUUGUUGCUAAAAAAAAUAAAUAUUUUAUGUUAUUAUGUGUCGGCACAUAAUAAUUUUUUUGAACGACACGCAUCGAUAUGGCUCGACACGUAGCGUACUGUACCAUACGGGCAAAUUUUCGACACAAUCUGUACCACAGCCCUUAAAUCAUUAAUACUUAUAAUUACAUUCAAUCAAACAGUGAUUUAGAAGGAGAAAAUUAAAAAGUUUAAGCCGUUAUAGAAAACGACGGAUGGGGUCGCCGAAGGUCAACAUCACCAAGUUGCAAGGCCAGUGCAUGGUGAUGUAAGACAUGUCGUCAUCAUUGGGAGAGGUUGGUUUCCUUGGGUCAAAAAUGUGGGGCCCGGGUCAAAAUUGCAAAAAAAUCAAAAGCAACGUACUUUUACCAAGUGUUUCAAUUAUUAUUAUUAUUAUAUUAUUAUUAUUUCCAUCAUUAUUCCUUGUUAGUGACUAACUCUGUGAUAGGUAAUAACAAAAGUGGCUCGUAAUAUGUCACAUGGUUCCAAAACCAACUUGUCAAUGUAAUUUCAAAAGAGGAUAAGCACAUAUGUUGAAUAUUAAAUAUUAAAAAGAUUAUUUUAUAAUAGUUUAGCCUUUUAUUUUAUGUUUUUUUGGCAACUGCUGGUGUUGUUGAUAAGGUUCCACUUGUAUUGAUGGCCCCCUAAUAAUGUUGUAAAUAAAAAUAUAUAUAGAGUAGAGCUAUGAUGCUAUCGUAAGUAUAAAGAAUAUGAUACUUUCGAAUUUUUCAGCCCCUUUAAUCAUUUCUAACAAUUGUAUUAAUAUUGUCAUCCUAUGAGGAUCACUCAAUCCUAGAUAUAUUACUCAAUCUUAGGAGGACCGCAAUCAUUCAAAUCAUAUAAUUCUUGAUCUAAAGGUCAAAAAAUCAAAAGUAUCAAAUUUUUUAUGCUUCCAAUAGCGCACGCACACACACAUAUACACACACAUACAUACAUAUAUAUAUAUAUAUAUACAUAUAUAUAUAGAGAGAGAGAGAGAGAGGGAGAGGGAGAGAGAGUAGGGCUACUGUGCUGUUAGGAGCACAAUAGUUCUUGUGUUUCUAACUUUCUAAUCACCAAUCAAUUUUGAUGGGUGGUUAGGAUGAGAGAGAAAAGAGAAAUUGAAGAGAAAUUCAAAAAGAAGAUAAAUUAAGACACUCAAUUUUUUCCAAUUUUUCUUCUCUCUUAUUUUAACUAUCCAUCAAAAUUGAUAGGUGGUUAGAAAUUUAGGAGCGCAAGGGUUGCUGUGCUCUUAAUAGGACAGUAGCCUUGCUCUCUCUAUAUAUAUAUAUUGAUGGGUUGCUGAUUUUAUAUGAUAACCGACUUAUUUUAAUAUACAAAAUGCAAAAUUAAUAAUAUUUUGACUUCAAAAUUUAACUUAAUUAUUUAUUUAAAAAAAAUUAUAAUUGCGAGAAUAAAAUAUACUAAUUAAAUCUGUAAAAAUAAAUAACACAUUUAAAUUUUCAACUCAAAGUGUCGUUAGCUUAGCCAAAUCAAACAAGUUAAAAGAUUAAGCAAUAAAAUCAAAAUUUUGAAAGUUGGAUAGAAUGAUAGUUCACCUAAGUUCUGUAUGUUUUUAUUUUUUUAACAUCAUAGAAUGAUAAAAUAAAAAUAGAAAACGAAGCAGAGGACUCAAAAAUCUCAACAUAUCCAGGAAAACAACCAACUACUCUAGAUUGCAUGAAUGUCCCUGUUGCUGAGAAUUUACAUUGCUGGAUCUUUCAAUUACAAGCGCACAAAUCAAAUGCCAAGCACUUUCAUUCACACCUUCUUUUAAGCAUUAGCUGUCAGGAUAUUGAUAGGUGGUAAGAUAUCUUGGUGUGGAGUUAUGCUAUAAAAAUACUGAUAGGUGAUAAGAUAUUCUGGUGCGGAGUUAUAUGUACUAUGAAUUCGAUCAUUUUGGAGAAAGUUUUAGGGAUGUGAUUACGAAAUUUAAUAGACCUGUUAAUAGAAUCAUAAUUGCUUUUUCAGGAAGUUCUUUUCAUUUAGUUCUUCUAUAAUUGGGUCUUCUCUAUGAUUGGGUUAAGCUAAGAACACAUUUCUCAUGUAUUGAGAUUUAAAUUUGAGUUACUGGUGUGAGAGAGAUGGAGCUACGAUUUAGGUUCUGGGAGGGCCAAGAGUACAUAUGUUUAUCUUAUAUUUUUUUUCCUAUGAAACAAAUUAUAACAAAAGUCUAAAACAAAUUAUAACUAAUAUUGCAUUUUGUAUAUGAAAAUAAGUCAAUUUGAGUUGAACUUUGUAAGGAUAUAUCUAAUAUUUAAUAUAUUUAUAGAAAACUGUAUGUAAUUAAUCCUUAAAUUAUAUAUACAAUUUGAGAUGAUAUGUAAAUUUGCUACUACAUUAAUAAUAAUAGUAUAUAAAAUAGGCUAAAUUACAUAAAACCCUUCUGUCAAAAUUCAUUAUUUCAUUUUUUUUUUUAAUGUCAUUUAAUAACCUACACUUUUUUCUUUUGUAAAAUAAAAAAUAUUCACGAGUGGUACAGUGUGACUGUGAUGACAAAAUGACCAUUUUGCCCCUUACCAUUUUAGUCUCCUCCCUCAUCUUGCUGACCCGUCGCCUGGAUCGGCCGCAGUUUCUCUCCAUUUUCUUCUCCACCUGCUCCCCUUCUCCUUCUGCACCCUCGUCACCUCUCCAUUUCGGCAACAAUAGGGAGGAAAUCGAGGUGGGUGUGGAUGGAAAGGUGGGCAAUGGCAAUAAGGGCAAAGGCGAGGCGGCGAAGGAGGGCGAGGGGGUGUUUAUGGGCGCGGACGAAAAUGUGGGUGAGGGCGAGGCAGUGGAGGAAGGCGAGGCGACGAGGCGGAGGAGGACGAAACAACAGUAAAGAGGACGGAGGAUAUUUUUAGAAUAAAAAAUUUUUUAUAACGGAACCCUAACAGAUCAAUAGGGGGAGAUAAAAUAUAAAUUUUUAAAUGACAGAAGUAAAAAUAAAAAAUCAAGAUUUUACAGAAAUAUUUUUUGUAAUUUAGUCUAUAAAAUAUUAAUACGAGCAUCUAUAUCAGCAGCGCCGAUACAUUUAUAUGUGAUAAGGACAACACUUCUGAACCACCUAGAUAAUUUCCCUGUCAUUUGUGGGUUCCUUCUUGGUACCCAGAGCAGCAGGUGUUCAAUCCCAAAAAAUAUCUGACACAUGGUGAAUCAAUCACAAAUAUCUCUCAAUAAUUAGUAUUCUGUUUACCUCAGCAAUAUAACUGAUACAUUCUAAAUUUUUUCAAAAAUUUCACCUUCUCUCUCCGACGUGUUUCCAACGUGUUGUUGUCGCAUCAUCCCCAUCCCUUCCUCCACCAAAUUCUCCCUGAACCAUGUUCACAAUUUAUAUCAUCCAAUUCAUAUAUAGUACCGAGGUUUCAUAUAAUACAAAAAUAUUGACUGUAUUUAUCAACAUUACGUAAUUUUCAAUUUGCCCAUGUGUGAUCUAGUUUAUUUUUAUUUCGCUAAGUGACUCUAUUUUUAUUUUUUAUCUAAAAAAUUUAUUAUCAAAUAAAAUGGCAAAGUAAAACCUUUUUAAUAAUCACAGAAUAGUAAGUAUAAUUUUUUGAACCACAUAAUGACAAAGUAAAAGUAAGCUAAAUUAUAGAAUAAUUAAGCGCAACUUUUUAAGCUAUAAAAUGACAAAGUAAAAAUAAUCAAAAUAAUAGGGAGGCAACUUAUACUUUCUCCUAGUUUAUUUUACUAUUAUGGUGGAUUGCAGAAAAAUUACGUUACGCGCAUUAAAACUGUAGAAGAGCAAAUAGUAUUUUUGUUUCUAUCAAUCAAUAAUGAUUAUAGUGCACAUGUUCUAAUUUUUGCCCUAACUUAUUUUUCGUCAAAUAGGAUUUGAUAUCUCUUAAUCCGAAAUAAACUUAAUUAGCAUAAAUAUCUAAUAAAAAGUAUAAAUUUAUAAAAAAAGCACAAGAAAACACUAAAUUUUAUUGGAAAAACUUAAAAUACCAUCCAUAUAGUUUCACACUUUUUUAUUUUAGUACCAUAUUGUUUAAAGUGUAUCAAUUUAGUACCCGUAAUUUUAUUUUUCUUUUUUUAUUAUCUCCUUCAUUAAUUUUUUUCGUUAAAUCUGUGACAAAGUUAAAACUAAAAAGUACUAAAGUGAAUAUUUGAUAAACCUAGUUGGGGUAUCUGAAGUUUUUUGUAUGUAAUUUAACAAAAUAUUAACUAAGAAGCUAACGAAAAGAGAAAAAUAAAAUCAUAAGUACUUAAUUAAUACAUUUUAAACUAAACUAAGAAAGUACGAAACCACCCGGAUGGUAUUUGAAAUUUAUCCUACGCAGGGAUGGUCACAGCGUACCAAAUGGAAGAUGAUGACGUGGUGGACCGGGUCCACGAAUUUUUUUUUUUAUAUAAAAAAAUAUCCUCCUCGCUGGAUCUUACCAUUCUCCGGCUCAGAAUCCCUCCCGCGUUUUUUAGCCUCCUCAUCCCAACCCGUGGGCGACAGCUUGAAGCAAAAGCUAUGCAGGUGAAUUUCCAAAUUUGCCCCUCCAUGAUCGUCACAAUCACGUCCGUCCACGUGGCACCAUCUCCUUCUCCCUCUCUCCCAUAUAUAAAUCCCAACAACAACUACUACUACUCCGCGCUCUACCCCCCACAUUAUUAUUAAUUAAUUUAAUUUAUUUUAUUUAUUAUUACUCCCCCUUUUCUCUCCACGACGCGGUGCGCUCACCGCCUCCCCCCAUUACUACCAGUGCGUCGUGAUUCGUGCGCCAGGGUCGGUAUCGGAGAUUGCGAGGUGCGUUGUGAUCCGUGCGGCGAGGUUCAAAAAGCGCUUCUCCUCACCGCACCGCGCGUUCGCCGAUUCUCUCCCUCUCUCUCCUCUCUCUCUCUCUCUCUAAACGCGUUUCGCUGCGUUUCUCUCUCAUCGUCGCCUCAUCGUCGACGACGACGACGACGACGACGAGGCGACAAGAGAGAGCGUUAAUGGAGAUGGAGAUGGAGAUGGAGAUGGAGAUGGAUUGAGAGGUGAAGAAAAAAAAAUUUAAAAUGAUUUAGUUAGUGUUUUUUGAGUUGGAUGUUUAUUAUUUUGAAUGAAAAUUAUUUGAGUUCUCCAAUCCCUUAUUUAUGUUAUGGAUACAGAUACAGAGAGAAAAGAAGAAGAUGGAUUUGCGAUCUGGAGAAUAUGGGUAUGUUUCCAAUUUUUAUUUUAUAUUCAUGCAUUAAACGUGUUUGUUCUAAUUUUUUUUUAAAUUUUUUUUGAAAAUGGUUUAAUUGGUUAAUAAUUUUAUUUAUUUAAUUGUGUGUAGGUGCUCGCACUAUAAGAGGAGGUGCAAGAUAAGGGCGCCUUGUUGUGGGGAAAUUUUUGAUUGUAGGCACUGUCACAAUGAAGCUAAGGUAAACUAAAUUAAAAUAAAAAUAAAAUUGAAAAGUGAAAAAUGGGAAAAAAAAAACUCAUUUGUUUUCCCUUUGAAGCUGUUUAAUUAUGUAAAGACCCCUCAUCUAUAGGAGAUUUUAAAAUAGUCCCAUGAACUAUUUUUCCUUUUUUUGGAUCUGGGUGUUUCUUUUUUUUUUGUUAGAAAUUAAGUAUGAGAUUUGUGAAAAGCGUUGGUUUAAUUAGCUAUCAUUUGCUAAAAAUUAAUGAAAUCUCUAGUUUCAUCAGCUGAGUAAUUAUGACAUACUGAAUAUUAAAUACAACAUAAUUUUUAGUUUGAUUGCAAUUAAAAAUGGCCUAUAAAUAUUAAUUAAUCUAAUUAUUAUUUAAAAGUCCAAAUGUGGAAAUAAAAUGUAUUAUUUUGGUUGUUGAUUUAUUAUUAUAUUUAUUUAUUUUGUAGAAUUCCCUGCAAAUCGACCUGCGUGACCGGCACGAGAUCCCUCGCAACGAAAUUAAAAAGGUUUUAAUUUUAUUAUAAUUUUAUUGCUUAAUUUUUCAUUUUAUUAUCAAGACCUUUGAUUUUUCUAUAAUUCACUUACUAAUGGUUAAAAAAUAAAAAUAGUAUUAAUUCUUUUGCCUUGAGCAAUUGUUUUCUUUUUUCGGUUUUUUGCGUCUCAAACAAAUAAAGUAGCUUUUAAAGUUGCAGUGCAAAGUAGCUUUCUCUUAUUUGUGACGUAUCUUAAAUAUUUAUGCUUGUGGAUAAGGUCUCUGCUUUUGAGUAUGCGGCGUACAUAACUUGAACUAUCGAACUAGUUUGAAUCAUCUACCCAACUUUUCAAAAUUUUGAUUUUUCUAUUUAAUCUUUUAAUUUGUUUGAUUUUUGUUAGCUAACGAUACUUUGAUGUCAACUCAAAAUGGUUUAUAGUUCAGAUAAGUUAUGUACGGUUUUAUCAAUAAGCAAUAGCCCCUGAACUUUUGCCAAAAUUUCUAUUUGGGCCCCAUUCUUUGAAAGUAAACUUAUUAAUGCCCAUGAACUUUUAAUAAUGCGUCAAAUUGGCCCGUUUCAUCAUUUGAUGUUAAGUUCAUUGAUAGAGAGACGAGCUUAGAUAGUAAGUCGACAUUUUUGAGGAGAAACUUGGCAUCAGAAAUUUCCUUCCUACCUAAAAAGAAUAUUUGCUAUUAAGAUGAACUUUGUUUUGAAAAGUUUCACCACAUGUUUUAGUAGAUAGUACGAUAUAAUUCAUGUUUUUAAUGCAUAUGUGGGUUAAAAAAUUAGUUCAUUUUGUGAAACAACCGUUGUACUCUAAAAGCUUAAGCUUUUAGAAGACAGUGUUUAAACAUUUUUAUAUUUAACACAUUUUGCAUCCAGAUGAUUUUUUCAUCAUUUGGUAUAUGUGUAGAAGCGUAGGGGGUAUGCGGUCAACUUUUUUAUUGUUCUAUUUUUGUUUUCAAUUUUUUGAAAUAUUUCUUCUUUGUCUUACGUUUGUUCUCCUCCUUUUUGUUAAAUAUCUCAGGUUAUUUGCUCCCUCUGCAACACAGAGCAGGAUGUAAGUGCCAACAUAUAUCACAACAAAAUAUAUGCUAUAUGUCAUAUCAGGACUUUGUUCAAAUAACUCCAUCAAAAAAUUAUUUGACCAAAUUGUCUUUUAUUUUUGCCACGUCAAUGCCAUCUGGAUGUAGAAAUUAAAAAGAUAGUGAAUCGUUUACUGUGUUUGGGUUUUAAAAAAAAACAGUGAUGAUUCGCCGCUUCUCUGUCAUAUUUCAAAUAAGUAAAUGAUUCACAACCUCAAUAAUAACCCUCCCAAAAUCCUAGCAGUUCCCCAAUAAAUAGAGAUGGUGAACGAUUCAACGUCUUUCACUUCUCCCUCCACCAUGGCGCUGAGUUGGACGGAAUAGGGUUAGUUUGCCAAAUGAUUUUUUUGCAGAGAUUAUUUGGCAAAUUAUAAAUAUUUUUAAUGGUUAUUGUGCCAAAAAGAAAAGUCCUCAUAUCACCUUUGGUCUUUUCUUGCUAUUUUUUUCGGAGCUCAUCUUUUUUUUUUUCGCCCUGUUUUGUUUAUGUUGUUAUCAGGUGAGCCAAUAUUGCUCAAUCUGCGGGGUGUGCAUGGGGAAAUAUUUCUGUGCCAAAUGCAACUUCUUUGAUGAUAAUGUAAGUCUAAAGAGUUGAUAAAUAGUACCACUACUCGCAGAACUUCUUGUCGAGUUUCACCUUUGUAAACACCGCAAACUUUUGAAAGUGUUUUACUUUAGUAUCUUCAUUUAUUAUUAGAAUUAGUUAUUAUUAAUAUAUGCACCAGAUGCAACCAUGGGCCCUUGAGCUGCAAAUUUUUAAUUCGCACCCGUCCACUAAGUUGCAGCCAUUCAAAAUGAAGAAUUUCUACAAUUCAUGUCUGGAAUGUUCAAUUUAGUAUUUUUUCUCUUUCCUCACUGCAGGUUUCAAGGAAUCAGUACCAUUGUGAUGGAUGCGGGAUCUGUAGGCAAGUAUUCGAGCUCUAUCUUCGAACCCAUUGUGAUGGAUGUGUUCUAAUCAUGUUUCUCCAUUUUUCCUAAUACAGAACUGGGGGCAAAGAGAACUUCUUUCACUGCGACCGAUGCGGUACAUACUUUAUUAUUCUCGAUAUGUUCUCCGGAACUGUUUUGAACAUGUUCUUAUCAUUUGAGCAAGGAGUACUUACUGCUUCAUGUCACAUUGAUUGCAGGAUGUUGCUAUUGCAUUUCGGUGAAGGAUUCGCACCGGUGUAUAGAAGGGGCAAUGCACCAUAACUGCCCAGUUUGCUUUGAGGUAAAACUCUCUUCUUCUUUUUUUUUUUUUAAGAAAAGUUCUUUUAGGGUGAGCUAUUUAUUGUUAUAUAGUUGGAUUGACAUUCUCUCUUUCUUCUCUGUGAAUUCAGUAUCUCUUCGAUUCAACAAAGGACAUCAGCCUAUUGCCGUGUGGUCACACAAUACAUUUGGAAUGCUUGAAGGAGAUGGGAGUCCAUUUUCAGUAAGUAAUCUUGGAAGAGAAUAUUUAUUAAUACACUGCGUAAAAUGGUUUAAUCAUCUUCAGUGCCUCUUUGGGCUGUGUUCUCAAAGCCUUCUCUACUUAAGAGGAGGCAUUGAACAUGCAGUUAGCCUGAUGCUUUCAUUUAUCUGCUCAAUUAAAAGAGUUUCUGAGCUCGUAAAGUAGAAGUGCUGCAGCAGAUGCUGUUGGAGGGUGAAAGUGAUUCAGAUAAAAAUGCGGACAAUGCCUUUGGCAGAGCUACUUAGGCUCCGUUUGGGAUUGCUGUUGGGAUUGCUGGGACGUGCAGUCAGAAAGUGUGAUGAAAAAAUAUCUUGUUUGUUUCCGUAUAUAAUACCAAGUUCUGCAUAUCGCAACGAGUUGGUUACGAUAUAUUUUCUGCCAUUCUAGUAGAAAACGGAGAAGGCCUACUACCGAUAGAUGGAACCUCAGUUCCUAAUGGGCCUUUAAACGACACAUUUGUAAAAUCUCUAACCAGCUAAACUGGCCUGUUUUGUUCCUAAGAAUAGUACUUGAACUGCAUUUUAGGGGAAAAAGAGAGGAAAAAAAAAAGACUAGGAUCUGAACUCCUCCUUUGCAGGUUCUCGUGCCCUGUUUGCUCAAGAUCGGUCUGCGACAUGUCUGAUGUGUGGCACAAACUUGAUCAAGCGGUAAAACUCUCAGAUUGCCGUAGCUUUUUUUGUAUCUUAAAAGAUACUGCUGUUUUCCUCGUAAAGAAGAUGAUUAACCCUUUGGGCAUUUGAAUUCAGGUGGCGGCAACUCCCGUGCCUCAAAUGUACCAGAACAAAAUGGUAGGAACAUUUUGUAAUGCAUUGGUACAUUUAGAUUCAAAGCGAGAAGUGGGUGCUUUUUUUUUUUUUUCCGAUCUAUAAUCUUUUGGUGAAUUCCAGGUCUGGAUUCUUUGCAACGACUGCGGGAUGCGAUCGAACAUCCACUUCCACAUCGUGGCGCACAAGUGCCCGGGCUGCAGUUCGUACAACACCCGGCAGACGAGAUGCGGCCCUACCGAAUGCUCUAGGAUAUGAAUCAUAUGAAUCACGACACGGAAGCUGAGAAUGAUGAGCGGCGAUCAACGAGGGGUUGCGACCUUCGUCUGAAGGUGACGAUCACUUCGAGAAAAGCGAAGGGUUUUGACAGUUUGAGGCACAAGGGGAACCGAAUUGACAGGGUUUAAAUCUUUAUUAGCAGUUCAGGUUCUAAUUCGGUGCCAUUUGAAUAAUUGUUGGCUGGAUGUAGUUCAAUUUCUUCGGUGUAAUUUGUACGCCGUUGUAAAAUUGCAUAAGAAAUGCAUCUUUCUGUCAUAUGCUGUUACAGUGUUACUUUGCUGAAGAGUUUGACAGUGAUGAGAUAAAAAUUAGCUUUUAGCUGCAGAAACCACAACUUAAGCAGAUGAAAUCAUCAUAUCAGAGUAAUGCUAGCUUCAAAUUUAAAGUUCCACAAAUUCAAUAUGAGUUUGAUUUUUUAAAUUUAAACAUUGAAAGUUCAAAUUUCAACUUGCAUUAGAAUCUAUUUUGAUUGUAAUAUGAAUCAGAAGUAUUGUGUUUGAGUUAUCUACUUUUGAGGAUUGCAGCAGAAAUUCUUCACCUUAUGCUUUGCUAACCUUUCCGUGACAUUGCAGUAGCUGAAAGUAGAAGCAAAAAUGAAAGGAAACAUGCAACACUUUCCGAAACAUUGGAGGAACAAAUUCUACGGGCCGGUCUGGGCCCGACCUGAUGUAGAUCCGACCCGGCCUAACCGAUUUUGUUUGCUUGUAUUUGUUGCAUUUUAAUAAUCCAUGGAGACCAACCUUGCAAAGUUGUGGCUUUACAUAUCUAAAAUUAGCUCCAUUUGUUAAUUUUCAUAACCAAAUAAAAAAAAUCCAUGUUUAGUGCUACUGGAUAAAGGGUGUAAUCUUGGCUGUGCUGGCCGGAUAUUUCGGGCCAGAAUGGGUCACAUUGUUUUGGACUGUGGCCCAGCACGGCCUACAGCCCAAAUCGGGGUGGACAGUGCCAGGCCAUUUUACUGUGUUUUCUAAUUUUUAAAAUUUGAAUAGUUUAAAUUAAUUUAUGAAGAAUAAAUAAGAUAAACUAGAUAUAAAUUAGAAAAAAAUAAACAAACGGGCAGGCCUGGUACUUAGGCCCAAUCAUAAAUGGACCGGGCGGUACAGGAUUGAACCUAGCCUUGCGGUCCGACAAGGCCCACAUUACGAUGCGGGCCGGGUCGUGAGGGACCGGGCUGCGGGCCGCCCGGCCUGUUUGACGCCCCCACCUAGAUAUACAUUUUCGGAUUCUAAGUCUCGACUUCACCCAACAUUAGGGCUGGCAAACGAGCGAGCCAGCUCGCGUUCGACUCGUGUUCGGCUCGAUAUUCGGCUCGCUCGAGCUCGACUCGAAAUUGAAUGAGCCGAGCUUGAACAAAAUAAAAGGCUCGAAAUUCAUUUCAAGCCGAGCUUGAGUAUUACUCGGCUCGUUCGAAUUAGGCUCGAAAAGCUCGAAAAGCUCGAAUAUAUAUAUAUAUAUAUAUAUAUAUAUAUAUAUAUAUAUAUAUAUAUAUAAUAUUUAUAAAUAUAAUGUAUUUUAAUUAUAUAUAGGCUUUAAUUUAAUUUGGACUAUUAUUGUUUGCCCAUAAAAUAAACCCAACAAGUACAACCGUGCAAUUGAGCCAAACUCUAAAUUUACAUAACACACUCUCUCUUUCAGACUUUUACUGUUGCACAUAACCCUAAAACAUGAUAACAUUCAAAUUCUCAAAUCCCUAAUUUUUUUUCCCUCUCUCUCUCUCUCUCUCGUUCUCCCUCAGACCCUCACCCAGUCAGAUAGUCACCCCAGCUCACAUUUCUUGCAAUUAUUUUGUAUUUUGAACUAUUGAACAUGUUGCAUCAAAUUGUAGGUAAUGUUAUAUAAAAAUUAAACUAUUGAUUAUAUAAUGUCGAGAAUUUCAAUAGGCUCGUUUAGAGCUCGAGCUCGGCUCGACUCGAAAUUAGGCUUGCUCGAGCUCGGCUCGAAUUAAUUUCAAGCCGAGCUUGAGCCUAGAUUUAGGCUCGAAAUUAAUUUCAAGCCGAAUUUAAGCUGACAUAAGCUCGCUCGAGCUCGGCUCAUUUCCACCCCUACCCAACAUUGCGGUUCAUAAAAUUACAAAUACAGUGUAGUACGAGAUGUAUGCAGUUGAAAAUACAGCAAUUGCAACUACAACUAAUUUGUUUGGUUAUAUGGAGUUGAGAAAUGAUUUUUAAAAUUUUAUUAUUUUAUAUAUAUGACAGUGAGAUUGCUCCAAUGUAAAAAAGAUUUUUUUUAUUUAAAAAAUAAUUAGGAAGGUAAGCUUAUCUUUUGGUUGAAGUUACUCUCUCCAACUACUGUAGUUGGAACUACAAUCAAUUUGAGUGUAAUUCUAACUGCUGCAGUUGGAUCUCUUCCUGUAGUUUCUACUGCAGGAGUUGGAGUUAAAUAUAUCAAAUCAAAUACUGAAUCUGCAUUUACAUUCAGUUACAACUGCCGUGCAGCUGCAACUGCAUGUAGGGGUGUAAACGAGCCGAACAUGAAGCACAAGCCGAACUAUUAUCGAGCUUGUGUAUUUAAAAUAUAGAUAUAUUAAAUAUAUUAAAUAUAAAUAUAUAUUUUUAUUAAUAUAUAUUAUAUAUAAAAAUAAUAAAUUUAAAAUCGUUUUAUUUUUAUAUACGCUCGAAUUAAUAUUUUUCUGAGUAAAUAUACAUUUCAAAAUUGAUAAUCUAGUUUUAAAUUACCUAUUCUAAACUAUUUAAAUAAAAAAUAUACAUAAAUUAGAUUAGUAAAAAUUAAAUAACAAGCAACCGAUCGAGCACUCGGUCGAGCACAAGCCGAGCAAUUAUUUGCUCGGCUUGUGCUCGACUUAAAAAGCCGAACUAUGAAAUUGCUCGGUCGAGCACAAGCCGAGCAAAUUAUUUGCUUGGCUUGUGCUCGGCUGGGGUUGAGCGANAUUUUGCUAAAAAUUAAAUAAUAAAAAUAUAUAUUAUAUAUAUAAUUAUUUAUUUAUAUAUAAAAUAUAAAUUAUAUAAAUUAUAUAAAUAUAAAAUAUAUGUAUUUGAGCUGUUAUCGAGCCGAACACGAGUGAGCUGACUCCAGCUCGUGUUCGGCUCGUUUAUUAAAUGAGCUAAAAAAUUCAGCUCGUAUUCGGCUCGUUUACUAAACGAGCGAGCCAAUAUCGAGCUCAUUUCGAGCCGAACACGAGCUGGCUCGCGAACAGCGAGCCGGAUUGCCACCCCUAACUGCAUGCAACUAAACGGUCCCUAAGAGCUGAUGACCAGAGAGAAGUUGCGAUUGUGUACUGCAAUGUAACUCCAGAAGCGAAGCCAAAUAUAAUCUUAACAUACGAUUUGCUCUAAUGGGUAGUUAACCCGAUCCAUUUGCAUCCGUACGUCCACUGCGCGCGCUUGAGCAAACACACACACUACUGAAAAUUUUUUUUGUAAAAAAAAAAAACACANNNNNNNNNNNNNNNNNNNNNNNNNUAUUUUUAUUUCAUUAUCCCCUCUUCUCUCCACGACGCGGUUGCGCUCACACGCCUCCCCAUUUGACUACCAAUUGCGUCGAGAAUCGUGCGCUCAGGGUCGGUAUCGGGAUUGCAGUGCGUUUGUGAUCGUGUCGGCGAGGGUUCAAAAAAGCUCUUCUCCUCGCCGCACCGGCCAGCUUCGCCGAUUCUCGUCCCAUCUCUCUCCUCUCUCUCUCACCUCUUCUCUCUCGUCUCUCUCUCUCUUCAUCUAAACCGCGUUUUCGCUGCGUUUCUCUCUCACGUCGCCUCAUCGUCGAGACGACGACGACGACGGACGAGGUCUCGACAAGAAGAGCGUUAAUGGAGAUGAGAAGUGGAGAUGGAGAUGGAGAUGGAUUGAGAGGUUGAAGAAAAAAAAAAAUUUAAAAUGAUUUAGUUAUGUUGUUUAUGGUUGGAUGUUUUUAUUUGAAUGAAAAUUAUUUGAGUUCUGCAAUCCCUUAUUUAUGUUAUGGAUACAAUACAGAGAGAAAAGAAGAAGCUGGAUUUGGAAUCUGGAGAAUCUGGUAUGUUUCAAUUUUUAUUUAUAUUCAUGCAUUUCAUAACGUGUUUGUUGAUUUUUUUUAAAUUUUUUUGGAAAAUGGUGUUUAGAUUGUGGUUAAUAAUUUAUUUGUUUUAAUUGCUGUGUAAGGUGCUCGCACUAUAGAGAGGUGCCAAGAUAAGGGCGCACUUGUUGUGCGGUGGAAAUUUAUGAUGUAGCCAGCUUGGUCAAACAAUGAAGCUAAGGCCUAAGAAGUAAUUAAAUAAAAAUAAAAUGAAAAAGUGAAAAUGGGAAAAAAAAAACUCAUUUUGUUUUCCCUUUGAAGCUCUUUAAUAUGUAAAGACCCCUCAACUAUAGGGAGUCCAUUGAACAUAUUUUUCCUUUUUUUUGGAUCUGCGGUGUUUUUCUUUUUUUUUUUUUUCUUGUUAGAAAUUAAGUUAUGAUAUGUGAAAACAUUGGUUUAAUCUAGCAAUCUUGCUAAAAAAUUACAUGAAAUCCUCUAGUUUCAUCAGCUGAGUAUUAUGACAACUUAAUAUUAAAUACAACAUAAUUUUAGUUUGAUUGGCCAUGUAAAAAAUGGCCUAUAAAUAUUAAUUAAAUCUAAUUAGUUUAUUCAAGUCCGCAAUUGUGAAAUAAAAAGUAAUUAUUUGGUUGUUGAUUUAUUAUUAUAUUUAUUAUUAUUUGUAGAAUCCUCUGCAAAUCGACCUGCGUGAGCGCGCACGGAGAUCCCUCGCAGCGAAAUUAAAAAAGGUUUUAAUUUUAUUAUAUUUUAUUGCUUAUUUUUCAUUUUAUUAUCAAACCUUGAUUUUUCCUAUAAUCACUUACUAGAUGGUUUAAAAAAAAAAUAGUAUUAAUUCUCUUAUCCUUUGAGCAAUUGUUUUCUUUUUUCGCCUUUUGCGACUCAAACAAUAAAUGUAGUUUUUAAAGUUGCAGUGCCAAAGUAGCUUCUCUUAUUUGGUGACGUAUCUUAAAAUUUAUGCUUGUGAUAGGUCUCUGCUUUUAGUAUGCGGCGCUACAUAAUCUUGAACUGAUGAUCUAUUUUGAAUCAUCUAUCCAACUUUCAAAAUUUUGAUUUUCUAUUUGAUCUUUAUAAUUUGUUUGAUUUUUGUAUCCCCCGCUAACGAUACUUUUGAUGUCAAAAUCAUGAGUAUAUAUAAUAUAUAUAAGAUCUGUACGGUUAUCAAUAGGCUAAUAGCCCCUGAACUUUUGGCCAAAAUUUCUAUUUGGGCGCCCAUCCUUUGAAAGUAAACUUUAUAAUGCCCGAUCGAACUUUUAAAUAAUGGCGUCAAAUUGGGCCCGUUCAUCAUUUGUGUUAACGUUCAUUGAUUAGAGAGACAAGCUUAGAUAGUUAAGUCGACAUUUUUGAGAGAAUCUUCGUGUCAGAAAUUUCCUCCUACCUAAAAAGAAUAUUUGCUAUUAAGAUGAACUUGUUUUGAAAAGUUUCACGCACAUGUUUAGUAGAUAGUACCGAUCUAAUUCUGUUUUUAAUGCAUAUGUGCGUUUAAAAAAUUAGUUCAUUUUGUGAAACAACCGUAUGCUACUCUAAAAGCUUUAAGCUUUUAGAAGACAGUGUUAAUACAUUUUCUAUAUUAACGACAAAUUUGCCAUCCAGAUGAUUUUUAUCAUUUGGUAUAUUUGUGUAGAAGCGUAGGGGUUAUGCCGGUCGACUUUAUUUAUUGUUCUAUUUUUUGUUUUCAAUUUUUUGAAAUAUUUACUUCUUAUCUUACGUUGUUCUCCCCUUUUUGUUAAAUAUUCAGGUAUAUUUGCUCUCCUGUCUGCCCACACAGAGCAGGAUGUAAGUGCCAACAAUAUCACAACAAAAUAUAUGCUAUAUGUCAUAUCAGGACUUUGUUUCAAAUAACUCCAUCAAAAAAUUAUUUGAUCAGAAUUGUCUUUUGAUUUUUGCCACCGUCAAUGCAUCUGGAGUAGAAAUUAAAAGAUAGUGAAAUCGUUUACGUGUUUGGAGUUUUAAAAAAAAACAGUGAUGAAUUCGCGCUUCUCUGUCAUAUUUCAAAUAAGUAAAUGAUUCACAACCUCAAUAAUAACCUCUCCCAAAAUCCUAGGCAUUCCCAAUAAAUAGCAGAUGGUGACGAUUCAACGUCUUUCACUUUCUCCCUCCACCAUGGCUGAGUGUGACGGGAAAGGGUUAGUUUGCAAUGGAUUUUUUUGGCAGAGAUUAUUUUGGCAAAUUAUAAAUAUUUUAUGUUAUGUGUGCAAAAAGAAAAGUCCUGGUCAUCACCUUGUCUUUCUUGCCUAUUUUUUCGGAGCUCAUCUUUUUUUUUUCGCGCCUGUUUGUUUAUGUUGUAUCAGGUGGCCAUAUUGCUCAAUCUUGCGCGGGUGUGCAAUGGGGAAAUAUUUCUGUGCCAAAUGCAACUCCCCCAUCUGCGCCAAACAAUAAGUAAGUAAAAAUCUUGAGAUAAGUUAAGUGAUAAUCAUACCACUUACCUCGCAAACUUCUUGUCGAUUUCACACUUCGUAAACACCGCAACUUGAAAGUGUUUUAACUUUGUAUCUUCAAUUUAUUAUUAGAUAUGUAGUUAUUAUUAUAUUAUAUGCCCAAUGCAAAACCAUGGCCCGCUUGAGCUGCAAAUUUUUAAUUCGCAACUUCCGUCCACUAAGUUGGCAGCCAUUCAAAUGAAGAUAUUUCUUACAAUCUCAUGUCUGGAAUGGUUCAUUUAGAUUUUUUCUCCUUUCCUCACUGCUAGGUUUCAAGGGAUUCAGUACCAUUGUGAUGGAUGCGGGGAUCUGUAGACAUGUAUCGAGCUCUAUCUUCGAAACCAUUGUGAUGGAUUGUUUAAUCUGUUUUCGUCUGCAUUUUUUCCUAUAUACAAAGGAAACCGGGGGCAAGAGAGAACUUCUUUCACUGCGACCUGAUGCUGGUACAUACUUUAUAGUUCUCGAUAUGUUCUCCGGAGCUGGUUGUUUGACAUGCUUGUCUUAUCAUAUUUGAGCAAGGAGUACUUACUAGCUUCAAUGUCACAUUUGAGAUUGCAGGAUGUUGUAUUGUCAUUUCGGUGAAGGAUUCCGCAACGGCGGUGUAUAGAAGGGGCAAUGCACAUAACUGGCCCAUGUUGCUUGAGGUAAAACUCUCUCUUCUUUGUUUUUUUUUGAAGAAAAGUUUCUUUUAAGGUGAUGCUAUUUAUUUGUUAUAUAUUGGGGAUUGACAUUCUCUCUUCUCUACUGUGAAUUCAGUAUCUCUUUCGAUUCAACAAGGACAUCAGCCUAUUGCCGUGUGUCACACAUACAUUUGAAUGCUUGAAAGGUGAGAUGCGGAGUCCAUUUUCAGUAAGUAAUCUCGGAGAGAGUAAUAUUUAUUAAUACACUGCGUAAAAUUGGUUUAAUCAUCUUCAAGUGCUUCUUUGGUGCGGUGUGUUUCUCAGAAGCCUUUCUUCUCUUAAGAGGGUAGGCAAUUGGAAGCUGCCAGCUUAGUCCUGUUGCUUGUCAUUUAUCUGCCUCAAUUUAAAAGACGUCGAGCUCCGUAAAGUACGAAGUGGGCUGGCAGCACAGAUGGCUGUUGGAGGUGUAUAAGGAUUCAGAUAAAAUAUGCAGACAAUGCUUUGGCAAGAGCUACUUAGGCUCCGUUUGGGAUUGCUUGUUGGGAUUGCUUGGGAGUUGCAGGUUAAAGUGUGAUGAAAAAAUAUCUUGUUGGUUUCCAGUAUAAUAAUACCUAGUUCUGCAUUAUGCGCAACGAGUUGCGGUUACGAUAUAUUUUCUGCCAUUCUUAGUUAGGAAAACGGAGAAGGGCCUUACUACGAUAGAGAACGUCCAAAUUCCUAUAUGGGCCUAUUAAACGAUCAGAUUGGUGGUAAAAUCUCUAACGCAUUAAAUGGCGUCCGUUUUUGUUGCCUAAGAAUAGUACUUGAACUGCAUUUUAAGGGAAAAAAGAGAGGAAAAAAAACAAAGACUAUGGAUCCUGAACUCACUCCUUGCAGUCUCUCAGUGCCUGUUUGCUCAGAUCGGUCUGCGAAAUGUCUGAGUGUGUGGCACACAACUCGAUCAAGAGGUAAAACUGCUCAGGAUUGCGAUACGCCUUUUUUGUGAUAUUAAAAAUACUGCUGUUUUCCUUGUAAGAAGACGAUUAACCCUUUCGGGUAUUUGAAUUCAGUGUGCGGCAAUUCCCAUGCUCAAUGUAUCAGAACAAAAUGGUAGGAAACAUUUUUGUAAUGCAAUUUAGGUACAUUUUAGAUCAAAGUGAGAAGUGGGUGCUUUUUUAUUUUUUUUCGAUCUAUAAUUCUUUUGUGAAUUCCAGGUCUGGGAUUCUUUGCAACGACUGCGGAUGCGAUCGAACAUCCACUCCACAUCGUGGCGCACAAGUGCCCGGGCUCAGUUCGUACAUAAACCACCGGCAGACGAGUAUGCGCCCUUAACCCAGAAUACUCUAGGAUAUGAAUCAUAUGAAUCGACGACAUGGAAGACUGAGAAUGAUUGAGCGGCGUUAUCAACGAGGGGUUGCGACCUUCGUCUUGAAAGUGUGACGAUCAACUGUCGAGAAAAGCGAAAGUGGUUUUACAGUUUGAGUGCACCAAGGGGAACCGAAUUACAGGCUUUAAAUCUUUAUUAGCAGUUCAGGUUUCUAAUUCGGCUGCAUGCUUGAAAUAAUUGUUGGCUGGAUUGUUAGUUCAAUUUCUUCGGUAUAAUUGUAGCGCGUUAUAAAUUGCAUAAGAAUGCAUAUUUCUGUCAAUAUGCUGUUACGAGUGUUACUUUGCUGAAGAAGUUUGACAGUGGUUGAGAUAAAAAUUAGCCUUUUCAGCUGCAGAAAACCACAACUUUCAAGCUUAGAUGAAAUCAUCAUUCAGAGUAAUGUUUAGCUUCAAUUUAAAGUUCCAAACUCAAGGUUAGUUGGGGGCGGGGCGGGGGAGUAUGGAGGCGGGGUCGUGGGGGUGUUAGUAUUUUUUAAAAAUUUAAAACAUUGACAGUUCAAAUUUCAACUUGUCAUUAGUUAAUAUGAUUUGAUUGUAGAUAUGAAUCAGGAAGUAUUGUUGUUUGAGUUAUCUACUUUGGAGGAUUGCCAGGCAGAAAUUCUUCACAGCUGUAUCUGCUUGCUAACCUUGUCAUUGCCAGUGCUCGAUGAAGUAGCAAAAUGAAGCAAAAUAGUGAAAAUGCAAGCAGCUUCCGAAACAUUGGAGUGAAGCAAAUCUUUCCACGGGCCGGGUGCUGGGUCCGACCUGGAUGUAGAUCCGACCCGGGCGCUAACGGAUUUUGUUACUUGUAUUUGUUGCAUUUUAAUCAAUCCAUCGGAGACAACCUUGCAAAUUGUGCGUAUUACAUAUCUAAAAUUAGCUCUCAUUUGUUAAUUUUCAUACCAAAUAAAAAAAAUCCAGUGUUUUAGUGCUACUGGAUUAAAGGGAUGUAAUCUUGGCUUGGUGCUGGCGGUAUUUUCGGGCCAAAUGGGUCACAUUGUUUUGACUGUGGCCCAGCACCGGCCUACAGCCCAAAUCGGGGGUGGACCAGUGCCAGGGUCCAUUUUACGUGUUUUCUAAUUUUUUAAAAUUUGAAUAGGUUUAAUAAUUUAUGAGAAUCAAAUAGAUAGAACAUAGAUAUACAAUUAGAAAAAAAUAACAACGGAGCAGAGGCUUCGGUACGUAGCGGCCUCAUCAUAAAUGGUACACGGGCGGUACAGGAUUGAAAUCCUGCCUUCUUUGGUUCCCCCCGGAAAGGACCAGGGCCCAGCCAUAGAGAUGCGGGCUCGGUCGUUGAGGGAACCGGGCUGCGGGGCCGCCCCGGCACUGGUUUGACGCCCUAGAGUAUACAUUUCUCGGCAUUUCUAAGUCUCCGACUUCACCCAACAUUACAGGUCGCUGGCAAACGAGCGAGCCAUGCUCGUCCGCUUCGACUCGUGUUUGGGCCUCGAUAUUCGGCCUCGUCAUCGAGCAUCGACUCGAAAUUGAAUGAAUUCACGAGCUUUGACAAAUAAAAGGCUCGUAAAUUCCUUUUCUAAGCGUCGCUUGAAGUAGUUCUCGCUCGUUUCGAGAUUAGUGCUCGAAAACGCUCGAAAGAGCUCGAAUUGUAGUAAUAUAUAUAUCAUAUAUUGCUAGCUAUUGACGCCUUGUAAAAGCACACCAAGCACCUGUUGUGCUGUAAGUUUGUUACCGAUUAGAUUUACUCCUUGGUGAUCAUUUUCAACCUAUUAGAUGUUAGCUAUUCAAACCAAAGCCACCCACUUCAACCUAAGAGCCCAAUCAUCCUAACCGCAUAAUGCUCUUAAAUUUACAAUGGCUAAAAAUUUACAGAGCACAUAACUUGAUACUUUUAAAAGUAUCAAAGCUUGCAAUUUAUAUAUAUAUAUAUUAUAUAUAUAUAUAUAAUAUUUAUAAAUAUAAUGUAAUUUUAUUUUAUAUAGCUUUAAUUUAAUUAGGACUUUAUUGUUUGUUCCCAUAAAAUAAACCCCAAAACAAGUACUAACGCGUGCCAUGAAGCGCACGAAGAACCAAACUCUAAAUUUACAUAAAGCACUCUCUCUUUCAGACUUUUACUGUCUGCCCAGCAUAACCCGGUAAAAGCUUGAUAAGCAUUCAAAUUUCUCAAUCCCUAAUUUUUUUUCCCUCCUCUCGUUCUCUCUCAUCUGUUCUCGCGCCUCAGGACCCUCACCCAGUACAGAUAGUCGCCCCAGCUCACAUUUCUUGCAUUGAUUUUGUAUAUUGGAACUAAUUGAACAUGUUGAUCAAGAUUGUAGGUUAAUUUGUAUAGUAAAAAAUUAAACUAUUGAUUCAUAUAUGUCGCGGAGAAGUUUCAAUAGGCGUCGUUAGACGCUCGCUUGAAGCUCGCUAGGCUUGCUCGAGCGGCUCGAAUAACAUGGAGUGCCUAGUGUCCGUAGUCGCUCUUGAAUUCAGUAGUGAGUUGCAAGAUAGCGCUCAGUAUAACAUUUAAGCUUGAUCAAACGCUCGCUCCGAGCUCUGGUCUCAGUUUUUCCAGCCUCUAUCCCAAAUUGCGGUUCAUAAAAUUAUCAAAUACAGUGUAGUAUAGCGAGAUUAAUGGCAGUUGAAAAUACAGCAAUUGCUCAACUACAACUAAUUUGUUUGCAGUUAUAUGGAGUUGAGUAAAUGAAUUUUUAAGGACUUUUAUUAUUUUAUAUAGGAUGACAGUGAGAUUGCUCCUCCAAUGUAAAAGAAUUUUUUUAUUUAAAACAAUAUAUUAGGAAGGGUAAGCUAUCUUUUGGUUUGCAAGGUUACUUCUCUCCAAUACUGGUAGGGUUGGAAAAGUACAAUCAAUUUUGACGUGUAUAUUUCUAACAUGCUUGCCAGUUGGCAAUCUUCUGUCAGUGGUAUUUCUACGCAGGAGUUCGGACGAUUAAAUAUAUCAAAUCAAAUACUGAUCUUGCAUUUACAUCUCAGUUCAAAGCUGCGUUGCAAGCUGCGAAUGGCAUUCGUAGGGGUGUAAACGAGCCCGAGAUACAUGAGCGAGCUGGCGGUCGCUUCUGUGUUCGGUUCUGAUUUAAUUAAACCGAGCGCGAACACUGAGCUAGGCUCGUUUACAAGUAUCAAGCCAGGAAAAAUUCCAGCUGUGUUCGGCUCGUUUUCAUUACGACAGCAGAACACGAGCUGGCUCGACGAGCUAGCCAACGACAAUAAAUUAAAAUAGAUUAGAUUAAAUACAUAUAAAAAUAAAUUUAUCAAUCUGUAUCCAUUUAAAAAAAUUUUUUUUAUUGAUGCUAAUAGUUAAAAACUUUACAUAUAAAUGAGUCUUUUUAUAAUUAAGCUCGCAUUUAUAUUUUUAUUUGCUUAAAAAUAAAAUAAUAAAAAUAUAUAUAUAUAUAAUAUUUAUUAUAUAUAAAAUAUAAAUUAUAUAAAUUAUAUAAAUAUAAAAUAUAUGUAUUUGAGCUGUUAUCAGAGCGAACAUGAGUGAGCUGACUCCAGCUCGUGUUCGGCUUGUUUAUUAAAUGAGCUAAAAAAUUCAGCUCGUGUUCGGCUCGUUUACUUAAACGAGCGAGCGAUAUCGAGCUCAUUUCGAGCCGAACACGAGGCUGGCUCGCGAACAGCGAGCCGGGAUUGCCACCCUAACUGCAUGCAACUAAACAGGUCCCUAAGAAGCUGAUGACCAGAGAGAAGUUGCGAUUGUGUACUGCAAUGUAACUCCAGAAGACGAAGCCAAAUAUAAUCUUAACAUAACGAUUUGCUCUAAUGGUAGUUAACCCGACCAUUUGCAUCCGUACGUCCACUGCGCGCGCUUGAGCAACACACACCUACUGAAAAUUUUUUUGUAAAAAAAAAAAAAACAAAAAAACAAAAAAAAUCUUUUAUUGUCAAACCACCCCUGUGGAGAGCGACGUGGCACGCGUCCCAAGCUGCUGUGUGGGCCCCAAAACAUGGAAAUUAAGGCACGUGAGACUCCUCCCUGUCACGUGCCUACUUCAUGGCUCCUUCAGUAUUGUACGGUCCCCCACGCGAGUGGUCAAGAACGUUCCCUCCCUCUUCUAGAUAUUUUUCCCCAGUUAAAAAAAAAAAAAUUUCUACAUAUAUAUAUAUAUAAAAGAAAUUAUAAGGAAAAACUUUAAAAGAAUUUUUUACUUUGAGAUCCGUGAUUCGGAUAAUGUUAUUUGAGUUUAGAUAGAAUUUAUUAUCAAUUUAUUUUUAAUGUUGGAAUUUUUGAAUCAACGUUCGGUAUCAUUGAAUGUGAUAUGAACCACUAAAACAUCUAACAAUCAAAUUUCAUAUUUUUUUCGAUAUUGUUCUCUUAAAAAUCAACUGAACACAAAGUGAACGGCUAAAAAUAAAGAUCCUUCAAAAAAUAAUGAUAUAAUUCUUAUAAUCGAAAUCAAGAGUAUAAAUUUUAUUUUAAGUAGUUUAAAAAAUUUUGCAAUCAAAAUCUAAUUGAUUUUAAUUUUUUUUAUACUGUUGAACGAACAAACACUUUAUACCUACCAUUAAAAUUACAAAAUUAUACAAAAUAAUAAUAAAAUGAUGCAUAGUAUCAUUUACAGCCUUAUAUUAUGAUAGGUUCUUGUAAAUAUAUAUAUAUAAAUAAAAUUAUAAACUAGGAAAGUGGUAUUUUUCAAAUUAUGAAAUGAUAAAAUAAAAAUACGUUUGAGGUCCUAUAUUUUAUAUAUUAAGACGGUAAUUUUUUUACGCAUAAUUAUUACUUUUAAUCUUUAUCCUCCAAUUAUUGUCUUUUAAAUUGAAACAAAAUAUUUCAAAAUUAUGUAGUGAUUUGGAUUGAAAUUACUAAUUUAUUUUUCUUUAAAGUACUAAUUUAGUUAAAAAGUUAAAAUACACUGCUAUUUGAAUUCCAAAAAAUAAAAAAAAUCUGAAAUAAUUAGCAACGAGGCCUAAAUCACUAUUUUCUUUUCAAACAAACAUUGCAGAAAUAUACUUUACAUUUUUUCAUACAUUCAAUCACAUAAAUUUUAAGUUUCAAAUAUUAAAAAAAAGGGGCAAUUGCUUAUAUAUCCUUGAAAAGUUCCCGACCUUUUGAUAUACCCUCUUAGAAAGCUAAUAUUGAAAAUACUCUUUUUACGUUCCAAGCUAUUUCAAAUAUACCCUUAGAGUUAAAAUCUGUUAAUUAACUUUGUUAUCUAUAUAAAAUUAUUAUUUUGCUCUUUCAAAUAUACCCUUUCACUAUCACCGACUUUUCUUAUUUGCCCUUAAAGUGAGGGGCACAAAAAGUAUUUUGACUUUUGGUCUUUUCAAAUAUACCCCUAUACCGUCACCAACAUUUCUUAUUUGCCCUUAAGUUAAGGGCAAAAUUGGUAUUUUAAUUUUUUUUAACUAUGGUAGAUAUUUAACUCACGUUUAACCCAAGUUAAUUUAAUAGGAGAUAACUGCAGGGGUAUUUUGCAAUAACAGUGGAAUAUAUAAUGGGUAUUUUAGAAAGAAAAAAAAAUAGGGAUAAAUCGAAUAUUUUCAAACGUAUGAGGAACAUAUAGGCAAUUAUCCCUAAAAAAAUAUAUAUAAGAUUUUAAUAAAUAGUCUAAUUAAAAUUAUAUUUCUAAAUUGGUGAGUCAUGUUCUACCUUUGAUUGCGGAUAAUCGAAAACCUAAUUUCGCACUUGUAAAACGUGCUCAUAGUUUUUGACAACUAAGAUUCUAAAAUUACAUAAGCGAUCUCACCGUCUAUUAGCAGCAAGAUUUUUUAGUUAAUAGUAAGUAGAUAUCAGAUGAACCAUACUACGUGCACUAACUGAAAAGAUAACGAAAGAGACGAUAAAAUUGUAGAUAGAAAAAUGUCACGUAAGAGACAACUGAAUAACUGAUAGAAAUAGAUAAUGUAUAGUUGGAAUUGAACUCCGGAUUGUUUGCGUAAAAGAGGUUUAGGAUUGACUCACAUAUCAUAUUAAUUAAAAGUUAGAUCGAUCUAGGAGGAAACAGUUUAUGAUUAGUCAUAAUAUAUUGCAUACAAACAAGUGCUCAAAUGUUAGGUAGCUAGAUCAGUCCAAAGGAUCAUGAAACUUUAGAUUCUUUGAGUGGGGUUUUUGAGCGACUAACACUACAUAAUUUUUUAAUUGUAAAAAAAAUUAUUUAAAAUUUUUAUUUGUAAAACUAGAUUUAACUGAUGAAUGAUUCAUCCAAAGUUUUUAUAAAACUCCAAAGGAUGUAUAAUUUUAAAUAGUAAAAUAAUUUUAACGUUAUGAGAAAGUGGUAAACAGUUUGCUGUAUUUAAAAAAUGGUGAAUCAUUCACCGCAUAAAAAUAAAUUUAUAGCUAAUUUUUUAAAAAAGCUAUUUUUAUAAUUAUAAUAUUUUUUAAGCCGAUUGAUAAAAAAAGAUUGUUGGAGUAUCUAAGCUGUGAUAAACUGAUAAUGCUUACCACAUGACUUAUUGGAGCCAAGCAGCAUGAUCUUUCUCAAAAGUCAAAAGUUGUCAUGUGCUUUCCCAAAUUGAGGUUCUUCGAUCUCUUUUUAAAAAUUUGGUAAAAAAAUAUAUAAAAUUACAUGACUUACAUGAGAAUGAAAGAAGUUGCUGUUCUCAAUAUUUUAUUAAUUUUUUUUUAUCUAUUUUGGAGUUAAAAAAAUUUAAUUUGCUAUGAAUCGAGUAACGAAAAUAAUUAUCCAUUGUUAAAAAUAAUCUCAUCUUUCUUUACUUACAAUAAAAUAAUGUAUGACAGUAGUUUUCCUCAGUCUCUCUCUUAUUUAUGGCUAUGGCAAGCACAAGCAAUAUUUAUGUGAAAAUACGCAGGGAUAUUGCAUUGGUUGUGAUGAAUAUAUAUAUAUAUAUAUAUAUAUAUAUAUAUAUAUAUAUAUAUAUAUAUAUAAAAUAAGAAAUUAAUAACUACACAUAUAAUUAUUUUUUUUAAAAAAUUGAUGCAAAUUAUUAUGAGAGUGCUAAGUUACAAAAUUUAGGGGGGGACCAUGGCCCUUUCUAGUGCCCCCAGGUAGAGUUAGUUAUAUUCAAUGCAAUAGAAUUACAUAAUUAGAUAACAUUAUUCAAUAGACUAUCAAUUUUAAUAUAUAUUUUUUAAUCUAAGUUGUUAUCCAUUUUUAACAUUGAGAAUUAGAUGAAUGUUGAUAGCGUAGAAUAAAGUGAUGUGCCAACUCAUUUCAAAUUUGUUAAUUAUUCCAAAAAUUCCGAAUCUAUUUGAGAUAAUAGCGAAGUAUAAAACAGUGCAUGGACAAAUGAAACUGGGGUUAGGGAUUUUGUUUUUUUUUGGGGUCCCCCAUCCCUCUCUCUCUGCAGAUAAAGUUAGUUGCAUUUAAUGCAUGCAUUAGAAUCAUGUAAAUUAAAUAUAAUUGUUUAAUAAAUCAUUCAUUUUCAUAGUAAUGCAUGGUAAAGUAGGAAAUAUGAUUUAUCUAAUUUGUUAUCCAUUUGUAACAUUACAAAUUAUUCUAAAAUUCAAUAAUUAUUCUAAAAUUUUAAGUCUGUUUGAUACAAUAAUAUAGUAUACUACAAUAACAGUGCAAUUUUUAGUGCAUGGUAAUAGCUUAAUUAUAUUAUACUAUACUGUAUGUUAUAUAUUCUUUUNCAGUAAGUUAUGUGGAUACUGGAAAUAAUAAAGUUGUUUGACUAUUGUGCAGAGAUAUAUAUCCCUACGAUUUAAAAAGAAAUAUAAUUUAAUAUGAAAAGUUUGAUUUUUUAGAUAUAUACUUCGCAAAUCUCCAAAUAGUUUAUAUAUAUAUAUAUAUAUAUAUAUAUAUAUAUAUAUAUAUGUAUUGUACCAUUGAGAUUCUGCUGGGCAGUAAAUGACAACUCCACUUGAUAUGGUGGUUGAUUUUUGAUAUGAUAGUCUCAGCAAUUAUAAGUAUCAUAUUAUUAUAUUUAUAUAUAUAUUAUUGUGAGAUAAAUGGCUGCAGCCUCAUGGAUCCAUCUAGCUAUCACAAGAGGGGUGGAAACAAUCGUAUACAGUCAAAAUUGUCUUUUUCGAAUGUGAAUUCGAAUGCGAAUGCCAAUAUAUAUUGAGUAUUAAAUUUUUAUUAUUAUAUUCACUAAAAAUAAAUUUGAAUUUAGAUACGUGGCAGAUUUGUAUUCUGAUAUUAUUCUGAUAAUAAUAAUAUAUACCUAUGCUAAUAUGUAUAUAUAUAAGUAUGAACUAAAAUUAGAGCGAGUAAGACAUAAUACAAUUAAAGAUUCAUACUCGUAUUCAAAUUUCGUAUACCUAUAUUUUAUUCAAUAAAAUUUAAUAUUUUAAAAAACAUAAAAUCACUAUCUCUCUCUACAAUACAUAUUAAUUAUUAAAUAAUAAAAAAUAACCGUUAUUCUCUAAAAAAUUAAGUCGGUAGAAAAUGGUUUUUAAAUAUUUUUAUAUCUAACACUUUUCUCAUGUUUGGGCUCUAGAUUUUUUGUAAGGCCCCAUGACGUAGACUUGAAUUAAAUGAGAAGAAAUUAAUAAUAGUAGGAGUCUGAUGUAACUUGAACUUAGGAACCCCUGUUUUGAUAUUAUGUUAAAAAAAUUGAAAGAUCACACUUCAUUAACAUACUUUUAAGAUAUGUAUACAAUUAAAGGAGCACUUUUCAAUCCCAUAUUACAACCAUGUACUCUCUCUAAGUAUAGGGAAUAAAUUAAUAAAUUUCUAAAAUAUUAAGUUGUGUUUGGUGCAGUCGGAUUAUCCUCUUGAUCUUGAUUUGAUCUUGAUUUAAUAAGUUUGUUGAACUGGUUCGAUACAGUCUGAUUUGACGCUUCAAUACUAACAUCCCUCUUAUCUUUAAUAGAGGAUAAAAAAGGUUGAAUUCUUUAAGAAAUCAUAUUCGCAUUCGUAAUCUUUUUUUUAAUUUUUUUCGGUUGUGAACUCAGAUAUGAGAAUGUGUCGAAUACUAAAUUUUGACAUUCAUAUUUAUAUUCGGUCAAAUCUGGUAUCGACACUACAACAAAAGCGGUCUAUAGCGACACUUUUAAAUAUAGGUAUAUGUCAAAAAAGUGCUGCUAGCUAAAAUUAGCGACACUUUUAAAAAGUGUUGCUAUAUGUGGGGUCGCUAGGUAUAUAGUGACAGUUAAAAAGUGUCGCUAUAACCUAAAAGAGUGCUGUUAAUUUACCAACACUUAUUUAAGCAUUUAGCAACCGUCGAAACUCUAUCUCGUUGGCUGCGGUGGCGGAGGAGGACGAUCGUCUAGAAUUUCAGUGGAUUGAGUGAAGAGAGAAGAAAAGAUGGUAAUUAAUUUUUCNUUUUUUUUUUUUUUUUUCUGUUUGUAAUCGAGUCAAAUGGACUGAGUGUGGUGGGUUGAGUAUAGUAAUCUUUUAUUUUUGAUUGGAUUAAGCUUUAUAUUUAGGCAUAAGUAAAUAUUUUUUUAAAUUUUAGCAUAAAUAGGAUACUUAUUCAAAAGUGUUCCAAACAUGUAUUCCUAUAACUUGUAGUGCGAAUUUGAUCGGAGUUUAUCCAGACUGCUUCCACCCAUAAUCGAUCACAAGUAUAUAUGAUAAUGUCGACGGCAGGCAGCAGUACUAUAUGAGAGCAACCGAUCGAUCGAUUUACGACGCUCAAUAAUGAGCAUGCAAGUUGCGCAGCAGCUGACAGCGAUUCAUUUGGGCGGUGACGGUGCCGCCGCAGGCUGUCGUGAUGUGGUGAAGUCGGUUAAGGUCAUUUUUUUAUGCUUGCAAGCGAAAGUGACGGUGACUUCGCGAGUACCCCACACACGCACGCAUCUUAGACAUACAUGUACACAUGCACCCCACUCUUCCACUAAGAUUGUAACAUUUUUUUUUUUUUUUUUUUUUUUUUUUGCUAUUAACUAAAUUUUGUGAUGUGCUAAAAAAAAAAAAAAAAUUUAUAUAGCUCUCUGUGCACAUAUAGAAUAACAAAUAUAUUUCUACAAAAUUUAACUUUUCAUAUUUAUUCUUAUAAAAGCCUCGUGAUAUUCAUGUUUGUUCAUCUGAUUUGUUAUUUUUAAUGCACUAUUUAUUUUUUAAAAGAAAAUAAGUGAAAUGAUAUUUUUGCCAUUUCAAAUAUGUCAGUCUAAAAGUCCCAACUGUUAGAAUUAUGAAGAAAUAUUCUUCCAAAAUUUUUCACUAGUCAUCUUCUUUUUUUUUUACCAUAACAAAUAAUAUAAGAGAAGUAAAAAAGAUUAAUUUACCUUAUUCACUAAACAGAAUUAAGUAUUUUAUUUAUGAUUAACUAUAUUUUUCUAACGGAUCUUAACAGCACGGGUAUAUUUAAAAAUAUUAGAAUUUUUGAAGGAAUAAAUAUGAAAAAUUGAACUUGGUAGUAAUAUAUCUAUUAUUCGAUAUGUUUACAUAAAACUGCAUGCAAUUAACCUAAAAACAAUUCACUAAUUGAGAGUGACAUAUUACGGGACCAGCUCUCAUUAUUCCAACUCCUGAAAAAGUCCAAAAGCAAUAAAGAAUAGUAAUGGCAAAUAUUUUCAUACAAAUUUAAUUUCCAGCGAACAAAAACCCUAAUUCUCAAAAACGCGCCUAAGACUAAAAAACACAAAGCGAAAGAGAAACUUUUCUUGUUGUUCGUUUGGCCAUAUUAUAAAAAUUAAUAAAUUAGUGUUGUUUGGAAAUCAGGAAAUUAAUAUAGAAAGGUCUUUUGAACUUUUGCUCUUUUUGUAUAUUAGGGUUUGAGAUUUCAUAAUUUUGACAAUUUAACCUUAAAUAUAUUUUAUUAAGAAAUAAUUAUCUAUAUACCCUUCAAAACUUUUGAAAUAUCUCAUAUUUCCCUUUUUUUAUUUCAAAUAUAUCGUCGUAUAUUACUCCGUUGUCCAAAAAUAACUUCGCUGUCAGUAUCUAUUAAGUCAUAAAAAGAGAUAAAAAAUACCUCUUUUGCUCCUAGCUUAAGGAUAAAUAAGAAAAGUUGGUAACGGUAGAAAGAUAUAUUUGAAAGAUCAAAAAACUAAUUUUAUAGAGAUAUAAACAGUUGUUCCUAACAGUUUGAUCACUGACAAAAUUUAACUUUAAGAGUAUAUUUUAAAAAAUUUGGUACGUUAAAAGGAUAAUUUUUUUAUAUUUGCUUUCUAAGAAGGGUAAAUAAGAAAGUUUAAAAUUUUUCAAGAAUAUAUAAGUAAUUUUCUCUUUUAUUAAAUUAUUUCAAUAAGUCCCUCUGCUUUACGUACUAGAGUUACUAAUUAUAUAGCCCUUUUAGAUCGGCUGUCGAACGCAUAAUCUUACAAGACUUCAAAAUAUAAAAAAAAUCGGUCUUUUCUCCUCCAUUUUUAUAAUUAAUUACAUAUGACAAUUGAAAAACAGAUGAACCUAACUUUGAUUUUUGUUACUUCUUUUAUAUGCUCGAAUAGAAAAAUUAAAUCUUUUAUGCUUUGAAGUUGCAUAAGAUUAUAUACAAGACAUUUAGUUAAAACGACUACAUAAUUUGUAUUUUCAAUUGAAUUACAGAAAAUAGAAGCAAAACCAUAUAGACCAGAAUAUAUAACUUUGAUUUUAUAGUGAAUCUUAUGAGUUCAUGUUUAGGCCCCUCCCACAAUUAAAGGAGAAAUAAGAAGAGCAUAUAUAUAUAUAUGUGAGGUCCACAUAAACUUAGCCCCACUUUUUGUUGCCCUAGUUUCUCAUUCAAAUCUCUCUCUCCAUAAAUGAUAAAAUUGGAUAUAUAUAUAUAUAUAUAUAAACCAUAUAUGAAACCACGUGGUUUGGCACAUGCAUGCAUGUAUACAACCCCACCUUCUACAUAUGGGGCACAUGCUAUAUAUCCAUUUAUGAUAUUGUGUGGAAUGGAUAAGCUUUCCCUCUCAUGGACACCAUGGCACCAUAUGCAUACAUAAACAUGCAUACAUAAACAUGUGCAAGGAUAUAUUUUGAUGGAUAAUUAGUCAAUUACUCAUUUUGGUUAAAAUAAAUUAAGUUUCUAAAGUAAUGUAGAGUGUUGGUUUAAUAAUCAAUCAUUAUUUGAGCUCUAGUUUCGACUAAUGGGGAGUUAAUGCGGAAGCAUCGGGCGAAUUCAAGAAACCAAAUAUUCUUUGCUAGAUUCUUAUUUUCACAAAAGUAAAAGAAAAUUCAAAACUAGAACUUUAAUCUUUGUGAUCUUGAUUUCUCAGUACAACAAAAGUUUGAAUCGAAUGAUCAGAUGACAUGAUCUAAUGUAAAAAGAUUUCGAUUGUGCGUCGGAUCAGAUUGUCAUGCCAUUUUAUAUUUCGAUCCUUAAUUCUUAGAUUUUUUUUUUUUUGUAGGAAAAUGCAUUACCAAAUUUAUAUAUAUUCAUAUAAGAAGAAAAAAAAAGAACUAGAAGGGGUCCAAAAAUCAUUCUCAAGUAUAACAGAAUACAUAUAGAGAUAUGAUCAUGUAUUCUCAAAUUAAUCCACGCAGGUUAAUUUGGUACACUUAUUAUUAUUAUUAUUAUUAAGAUUAUUUGGUUAAUGCUAACAAUUUUAGUAACAUUUUGUGUGGGACAAAAUUAGUUUCCACACGUGAAUUAAACACCACAUUAGUUAUACACAUGUCCCCAUUAAUUAAUAAUUUCUCUAAAUUAAUUAAGUUAGAGGUAAAACCUACAUGUGUAGCACUUGAUGCGAUGGUGUCAUUUACUAGAACAAUACUCAUAAUUAAUUAAUUAAUUAAUUAAUUAAUUAGAUUAGGCACCGCUUUAUUAAUUUUCACUUCUUGGUCAAAGCGCUCGCACGUUGUACUACGUUUCACAUGCAUGUUUUGGUUGGCAAUGUAGUACACAUACAUGUUAAUUUGCCUAAUAUUUUGAAGUGUAAAAUCAACUUUUAACGUCCCAUUUGGAUAUUAGAAUAAAUUAUUUAACAUAAAAAUGUUAUCGUACGAUUAAAAGCAAAGUGUUUUUGAUUUUUGUCGUAUGUUAAUUAUCUUAUUCCGUAAAAAAAUAAAUUUCAAAUAAUAUAUGGUAUUCCAGUAUAGAUAUUUGAUUAUAUUUUUUUCCAACAAAUAUCGGAUCGUUGGCGCUAACCAUUAAUUUCAAAAGCUCAAGCUAUUAGAAAUACGCAACCAAUUUACUUAAAAUGUACAGAUACAAUGUUCACGGGUCUCAAUUAUGACUCGGUCCAACCAGCCUCACUCCACUUCGAACAUGACUCGGCCCACCAAACCUUACGAUAUUUCGAAUAUAACUCGGCUCAAUAUGACCUCUUACUAUAGAACAGGAUACUAGCUCAUGUAAGCUAACAAUAAAUACUAUAACCUUCUUUAGUAAAUUAGAAAAAAAAAUGCCGACUAAGAUCCAUGUUUACGCACUCAAAGAAGGCCCAAGUGUAAGUUUUUAUUUUAAAUUCUAAACUUUCAAAAAAUUUUCCAACUUUGUUCUUAAACUUUCAACAAUAUUUUAUUUUAAUUUUUAUUUUAAAGUUAAAAUUAUUACAUGCACCUAAUUCAUGUAUAUAUCCGUAUACCACGAAUACAUUGAUAUUUUUAUCGGUCUUAUAUUAUCAAUUCAAAAAUCUAAUUUUUAUAACCAGCAGAAAGAAUUGUAGCUCAAAUAUGAGAUGAAAAAAGAAUCAACAAAGCUGUGCUAACUAUGUACAGAUGCAAUGGGUGUAAGCAAUAAUUCAAAGAUCCAAUUUCUAGAUUAAAAAAAAAUUAUAACUCGACGGGUGGUAGUAUGUGUGAAACAAUCGUGCUAACGGUUGCAAGGUCCAUGACGUAAAUUUUAAUUAAAUUGGAGGAAAUUAAUAAUGCUAGAAAUUUAGCGUGACUCGAAUUCAAAAUCUUUGCAAUUUAUCCAAUUUCUGGAAAGAACAAAUUAAUAAACUAGCAAAAGAAAAUUUGCCUUUUUUUUUUUAAGGUUAAUUUCAUAAAGCUUUCUAUAAACAUAUUGAAUAGCAAAUAUAUUUCUACAAAGUUCAACUUUUCAUUUUUAUUCCUACAAAAGUUCAAUGUUAUUCAUAUUUGUUCCUCUGGUUUAAUUGUUACCGUUUAGAGCACUGUUUAUUUUUUUAACAGAAUAUAAAUGAAAUGAUAAUUUUGGCAUUACAAAUAUGUCCCUCUAAAAGCCCCAACUGCAUAAUUAUAUAGAAAUAUCCUCCUAAAAAUUUUCGAUCGUUAUCUUCUUCAUUUAUACCAUCACAAGUAAUAUAAGAGGGAGAAACUGUCAAUUUACCCAUUCGCCAAUUAGGGUUAAAUAUUUUAUUUAUGUUUAACUAUAUUUUUCUAACAGAUCUUAUCAGCCAGGACAUAUUUGUAAAUGUUAGGACUCUUUCAAGAAUAAAUAUAAAAAGUUGAACUUUGUAGAAAUAUAUUUGUUAUUCGAUAUGUUUAUAGAGAGCUGUAUACAAUCAACCCAUUUUUUUAAAUGUUUUAUUCUAUCCCACCCACAAAGCCAUGCACCCCUGGAAAUUUAGGAUUUCCUUACAAAUAUGUUGAUGAAAUUUUGUGGAAAUUAUUCUAAAUGCUUUGUUUUUUUGCUGUGAAUGAUAAGAUAAAGUGAUUCCCAUAUAAGUUAAAUUUGAAUAGAGAAAAAAAACAAAAAUAAAGGGAUAAGAACAAGAAGAAAAACAACACAAGACAGGAAAAGGAAUCCUAGGCAGGACCCAGAAACCUCUAGGCAAACAAAAGAGGGGAAAAUUAUACUAAUCUUAUGCUGUAAAUAUUAAAAAAAAUCUAUCAUACGCUAAUAAUAUGAUAAACAAUUAAUUAUAUUAGAAACUUAUGAUUAGAGAAUUGUACUUUUAGUAUUACAUAUUUAAUAGAAAAAUGUUGCUAUGUAUACAAUCCAAAUGGGUUGUAAUUCCUACAUCCCUUGGAUCCUACAACCCCUAGGGGUUGUAGGGUUUAAUAAUCUUUUUUGGGAUUUGUUAAAUAAUGAGAUGCACUCCUUUAUUUAAUUAAUAUAAGGAUAAACUUCAAUUUGUUCUACUACGGUUUGACAUAUCUAUAAUUCACGACUCUGUGAUUCAAAAGUUAUACUUAAUUAUCUUAUAAUUUUAUUUUUAUUUUACUACAUAUUCUAUAUUAAAUAUGAUAGUAAAGUAAUAUUUUUUUUUUGAAUCACGAGAUAGUGAAGUGCAGAUUAUAAGAUGAUAAAAUGCUAUAUUAUACCGUAUUAUAGUUAAUUUGCAAAAAAUAAAUGCAGAUCAUAAGAUGAUAAAAUGCUAUAUUGUACUGCAUUAUAGUUAAUUUGCAAAAAAUAAUAUAGUAUAGCUUUUUAAAUUACAAAAUAAUUAACUAAGUGAAAAUGCAUAAACCGCAAGAGGGUAAAUUGAUGUUUAAACUUUAUAUAGACUUGUUAUAAAAGUUUCUUUUAAAAAAAAAAACUUUAUUUUUGGGGUCAAAUGUAUAGAGAACCCGUGAACUUUUAGCUUUUUUGCAAAAAGUGCCUAAGCUUUUAAUUUUGACAAUUAUAUUUUCUAAACUUUAUCAAAUAGUCCAAUAAGCGCCUCUUCUUAAUUAAAGUUAUCAAUGACCGAAUUGUUUUUCUCAUAUACAUAUUGCAUAUAGUUUUAUAAAGCUUUAAAAUACAUAUAAUUUUAUUAUUAUUUUUUCUAAUAUGUAAAAGAAAGCAAUUAAAAUCAAAGUUUGAUUCAACAUAUUGUUCGUUCGUCAUGCUUAAUUAUAAAAAUUAAAAGAAAAAAAUAAGUUUCUUUAUCUUUUAAUAGGAUCAUGCGCACGACGUCUGAUCAAAAUUACUACAUAAUAGUUAAGUUCAUUUGAGAAGACUAUUGAACUAUGUGAUGAAGUUUAGAAAAUAUAAUUAUCAAAAUUGAACGUUCAGACGUCUAUUUGUAAACAAGCUAAAGUUCAAGGAUCUCUAUUCAUUUUACUUUUUUUUUUCAUAGGAUCCUUUACAAAAUAUGGAGUUAGGGAGAUUAUGAAAAGUGGCUACUCAUGUUAAUUAAGUUGCAAAAAGAAAAGUUGCAGGAGAACAAAAAAAAAAAAAAGGUUACUAAUUAGACCAUUUUUAUUGGGAUUAAUUUUGGAAGCCAUUUGCAAGGUGUGUUUUUGUGAAUGAAAAUAUUGGCAUUUGAAGAUUCAUUAUACAACUUCAUUUGAACUACUAAAGUAUUAUUUAAACAGUGAUUAAAAAUUUAUUAUAAUUAAAAUAUUUUUUAAUUUAUAGUUGUCAAAACUAUUUGCAAUUCUAAUGUUAGGACAUGUGGAUGAGGUGGGGGUGAGUCAAUGGUUUGGAAUCCCAAUUAAUGAACUUCCAAGUGUACUGUAAAAAUUAAGCUACUGAUCUAAACAAAAUAAAAAAUAAAUUAUAGAAUAGAAUGUAAGAACCAAGAAAAUAUGAUUAAACAAUCAAUAUAUAAUAAACUUAUAUAUGUAGAGAGAGAGAGAGGGAGCAGAACUGUUGUGCUCUUAGUAGUAUGGAGCUCUCUAUACUUCUAAGUCAUUUUUUAUAAUAGAACUUUCGAAUCGACGAUCGAAUCCGGGAGAUCGACUUGAUCAAGCAUAUUUAAAGUAUGUAAGAAAUAAAUUUUACAUUUUUUCGAUAUCUUUUACCUAGCUAGUGAUUGAAAUGGUUCAAAAUUAACGGCUGAAAAUAAAGAUACCAUAAAGAGUGAUGAUUGGCUUGUGUGCUUUUAGAAGUACGAAGGCCUCCAUGCUAUCAAAUUAUGAAUGAUGGAUGACCUGCUUGCUCUCUUAAACUUGAUUUAAAGUAAUUUGAAGUAUUUAAAAUAAAUUUUAUAAUUUCUUAAUAUUAUUUAUCUGUUGAUUGAAAGAAUUUAAAAUAAGUAUUGAAAACAACUUUAUAACACGGAGGUCCCUGUGCUUCUAAAAAUAUAAAAGUCCAACUCUAUAUAAUAAUAAUAAUAAUAAAUGCGUGGCCUACAACUAGUAAGUAAUCAAAACUAAUUAAUACUGGUGAGUUUGAAAUGCAAAACUAAUACUGAUGAUUAAGAGACAGCUCAUAUAAUUGAUAUUUUUUACUUCCGACACAUAUAUAUACACUACAACAGAAUUAGGUUAUAGGGACACAUGUUUAGGACACUUUUGAGUAAGUGUCCCAUUUAUGCUAAAACUUAAAGAAACAUCUACUAAUGCCUAAAUAUAAAGCCCAAUUCAACCAAAAAUAAAAGAUUACUCUACUCAACCCACCACACCCAGUCCAUUUGGCCCGAUUACAAAUAAAAAAGAAAAAAAAAAGAAAAAUCAAUUACCAUAUUUUCUUCUCUCUUCACUCAAUCCACUGAAAUUCUAGACGAAGAGUCAUUCCUGUCGUCCUCCUCCGCCACCGCAACCAACGAAAUAGAGUUUCGGCGGUUGCUAAAUGCUUAAAUAAGUUGUUGGUAAAUUAGGAGCACUCUUUUAGGUUAUAGCGACAUUCUUUAACUGUCACUAUAUACCUAGCGACCCCACAUAUAGCAACACUUUUUAAAAGUGUCGGUAAUUUUAGCUAGCAGCACUUUUUUGACAUGUACCUAUAUUUAAAAGUGUCGCUAUAGACCGUUUUUGUUGUAGUGAUAUCAUUAAUCUUCAAUAAUGAUUCUUUAAUUAUAGAACGGAAACAACGAAUACUACCAGGGAUGUUCGAAUUUGAUGAUUCAUGCUUCAAACUUCGUGCUACAAACUAAAUGUUUCAGAAAAUAAAAAUAAUAUAAAGUAAUAUAAAAAUAUAAUAAAAAAACUAAAAUCGUAUCCUAUAUAUCUACAAUUAAAAUGGCCACGUCUUAAAUUGUCUUCAUUAGUUAAUUGAUGAUUUGGAUUUGACGUUAACUUAUAUCAAAUAAGAUCUUCUUUUCUUAUUUUAAUGCAAUAACAAGAAGUGUAUGCAUGUGGAAAUAUAACUAAUUAAUGAGCAUCCAAAGUUAACAAAAUGGCUAGAUAAAUUGAUUUGCUUGAGAGGAUACUAAUUUAUUAUGGUAAAAAGAAAAUCUAAUAUAUAAUUUCUAUUUUAGAAUUUAUAAAAAUUUAUUUUCUAAUUUUGGAUAUCAUAAAAACUUGUUAUGUGGAUGGUUCUAGGGGCUAUGAAAUGCCAUUUUAUUAUUUCAAAAGUUUUGGAUGGGGACAAGUGAAGAGCAUCAAUAGUUGCUAAAAACCAAUAUAUAUAUAAGAAUAAGUUAUGGAUAAAUUACUUAAACCCUUGAAGGAAUAAAUUAGUGAUUAAUGAUUGUAGACUAAUUAGAGGGAUUCAUAAUUAAUUAUGCUAAUGAGUACAAUUAAUAGCUGAGUUGGUUUCACAUUUUAUUUUAUUUUAUUUUAUUUUUUUGGAUGUUAUCACCACAAGAGGUUUCCAGAAACAAAUUAAGAUGUACAUUGUCAUCUCUUUUAGCCCUAUCAUUCCUUAACACACAACACCUUUCAUAGAUGAUGUGUCCAUUUCUCAUUGGUUAGCUAACUCUAAAUAGGGUUAAUAGAAUUUCCAUCAAUAAUUUUUGCAUUUAAGUUCAUAAUAAUUUUUUUAAUAAUAAUUAAGUUAAGUUUCUAGCUUUUAGAAAUAGUCACCUGCCAAGAUUUAAUACUGAUAAUGCUAAAAUAUUAUUUGGUGCUGAUGCAGCAUUUUUCAUUAGAGUCAAUAAUUAUUAAUGAUUUAUAUCUAAUUUAAAAAAGUGAAAAUUUUAAGGACUAAAGUAAAUAAUUGGGUAAAAGCUUUUGAUACCAAUGGUUUAUUUAACUCCAAGUUUUUAAAAAGUUUCUAAACUUUAUUACUAUUUUUUAAUUGAAACCCCUCCAUUUUGACUUAGAAAAAGUGACCAACUUUAAGUAAAUAAUUUAAGGAUUUUAUUUUUCACUAUUUUUUCCAUAAUUUGACUUCGGCGUGAGAUCAUUCACUAAAGCCAAUUAUGCUAUUUUUGAUAGUUCGAGAUUCAACGAAAAAUAAAAUUAUGAUGAGCCAAACAAUAAAAAAUUAACAUUUAUUGUCGAACACAACUUUACCCGCUCUCAUCAAAUUAAGAAUGUUGUCUCAUCAAAAGUUAACAUUAACUAUAAGGAGGGUUAUUUGAGAAUGGCCUAUAGGUGAGUGGUCUCCAUUCAUUUGGGGAAAUACAUAGAAGUAAAAAAACAUAAAAAAUUUAUUCGAAUUUUGGGCUAUUUUUAAUCGGAUAUUCGAUCUUUAAAAAUUUUGAUUUUACAGCCCAAUCUUUCAAUUCGUUUGAUUUAAAUUAGCCAACAAUAUUUUAACUUUAAAAUUUAAACUACUUAUUUAUUUUAAUAAUUAUUUAUUUUAAUAAAUUUACAGUUACAAAAAUUACAUAAAAUAUACUAAUUAAAUCUGUAAAGAUAAAUGAAGCAUUUAAAUAUUGAAGUCAAAGUGCCGUUGACUGACUCAACCCAAACAAAUUAUAAGAUUGGGUAAUUAAUCAAAAUUUUAAAAGAUCGGAUAACUAGUUCAAAAUAGUCCAUAAUUUAAAUAAAUUCGAUACAAUUUUACCUAAAUAAAAAAAUUUUAUAAUAGCUUUAAUUAUGCCUAUAAUCUAGAGAAUACCGUCGGAUCAUUAGCGCUACCCAUUAAUUUAAAAAACUCGAAUUUUUUUUUCUUUUGAGAGAUAGGUAGCAUGCUACCCGCUUCGUUUAUUUCAUUUAGAAAUAAACUUAGCUGGAAAUGUGAAUGAACUAGGAUUUAAACUUGGGUCUCGGAUACCAACCAUCAAGCCAUUUGCCACUUACUCUAGGGAUAGUUGGUUAAAAAAAAAAAAAAAAAAAAAAAACUCGAAUUGUUAGAAGUAUACGAGCAAUUUAUUUAAAAUAUAUAGACUGGAUUAUGAUUCAGCCCAAUAAGCCUCACGCCACAUUUUCGAACAUGACUUGGUCUAUAUCAAUCUUCUGUUAUUUACAAAAUGAUUUGAUCCAAUAUGAUCUUCCGUCGCAUGGCAGAAUACUGAUCUCUUUAAACCAACCGGUUCCUCUUUCUCUUUCUCUGUACAUUUUUACCGGUAAAUAAUUUUUUUUUAAAAAAACUGGUUUGAUUAUCAAAGAAUGGUGUUUGGUACAACAACCGGAGCAGCGGAUCCCGGAGCAGGAACAGCACAUCACGAGUGUCAGCCCCGCUCCUCCUCCCAAUCCACAGAGACCACGAGCGCUGUCGCCAAUCAGGGUGGGACACGUGGCGCUCGGACAGCGCUCUGGCGGGGAUGCUGAGCUGUCAUCGGCGCCAAAAUGGCGCGAACGACGAGGAAACCUUAUCUCUCUAAUAAUUCGCACCCCCUCCCCCUCUCUUUCCCUUUUUUUUUUUUUUUUUAGUUUUUCCUUUUUUUUAAUUUCCGAAAGCGAAUUGACGAAAAUACCCUCCUCCCCCAAUUUUUUUUAAUUUUGAAAAAAAAAAUCCCCACGAUUCUCACGUCCAACUACCCGCCACCGGUUACCGGCUACUCCCGGUCGCCGGUCUCCCUCGCGCGGGUAUUUAUACGUAGACAGCUACCUCUAUUCUCUUCAAUUCCUCUAUUCUCUUCAAUUCCACCUGCAGUAGUUGCGGUAAACGUUCUUUUUUUUUUUUCUUUUUUAGGAGAGGGUUGUCUGCAUAGAGUAGAGGAGAGGAGAGGAUACAGAAAUGCCGAUCUCUCGGAUCGCAAUCGGGAGCUACGAUGAGGCGUACCACCCGGGCGCCCUCAAGGCGGCGCUCGCCGAGUUCAUCUCCACCCUCAUCUUCGUCUUCGCCGGCCAGGGCUCCGGCAUGGCCUUCAGUACGUCCCCAUCCUCCUCCUGCUCCUUAACUAAUUCGUACUACUUAUUUUCUAUUAUUACUGAUGUGCUGAUUUAUACUGUAAACACGCUUACUUGCAUGUCGACAUAUGUAUACCGCCAUGACCAAGCAGCAGCGUGCAAACCCAUAUUUUUGGGGUAUAUAUAUAAAUAGCAGUUUUUACAGUAGUUAUAUAAAGCCAAGCAUGAAGCUCCUAAAUUAGUUAAACGUGUAAUUAUAACUUGGUGUGACUCUCAAGCGAAGCGUGUGCUAACUCUUUUUUAAAAAACUUAUUGUUAUUUUUAAAAUUAUGUAAAAAUCAUUAAUUUUGGUUAUUUAUUUAUUUAUUUAUUUUUGGUGAGAUAUAUAUAUACAAGUAGCUAGCUUAAUAAUUUGUUCGCUUGUUCUUCAUGUAAGCCCAUUUUCUUUUUUUUCGUUUUUGUUUUUCAUUUUUUUGUUUUUUUUUUUUUUUGUCGGUACGUUUUGCGGAGCUAGUGACUGGCUGAAGUGUUAACAGGCACUCUAUAUAUGUUGGAAUCUAGUGUGCCUACGUCAUUUUCCCUUGAGAAAUUUCACAAAUUUUAACAAUAAGAAAAAUAAAAAAGAUUGUUGAAAAAUACAUUAUUCUUCAUAUUUGGAUGAAUCCCAAAGAUUUACAAUAUAUAUAUAUAUAUAUAUAUAAUAUAAUAAAAUUAGUACAUAUAGCAGUUGCUUAAAUAUAAAAAAAUAAAAAAAUUGUCUUGAGGUCCGUGUACAACGUUUUUUUUUUUUUUUUCAAAAAUAAGUAGCAUACUAUUUAUUUUAUUUAGAAAUUUCUAAAUUUUAGCUGAAAAUGUGAAUCAAUUAGGAUUCGAACUUGAGAUCUCAGUACCGACCAUAACCUUUUUGCCACUUGCUCUAGGCACGGUCGGUAUGGUAGUUGUUUCAUAUAAUUUAACGGGUAUUCUGAUGGGCGGCUGCAGGCAAACUAACGGGCGGGGGUGCGACGACGCCGGCGGGGCUGAUCGCGGCGGCGAUCGCGCACGGGUUCGGGCUGUUCGUGGCGGUGUCGGUGGGCGCGAACAUCUCGGGCGGGCACGUGAACCCGGCGGUGACGUUCGGGGCGUUCGUGGGGGGGAACAUCACGCUGCUGCGCGGCGUGCUGUACUGGAUCGCGCAGCUGCUGGGGUCGACGGUGGCCUGCCUGCUGCUGCGCUUCUCGACGGGCGGGCUGGCCACGGGGACCUUCGGGCUGUCGGGCGUGGGCGCGGGGGAGGCGCUGGUGAUGGAGAUCGUCAUGACCUUCGGCCUCGUCUACACCGUCUACGCCACGGCCAUCGACCCCAAGCGGGGCAGCCUCGGCACCAUCGCCCCGAUCGCCAUCGGCUUCAUAGUCGGCGCCAACAUCCUCCUGGGCGGCGCCUUCACGGGGGCGUCCAUGAACCCGGCCGUGUCCUUCGGGCCCGCGCUCGUCAGCUGGUCCUGGGCCUACCAGUGGGUCUACUGGGUCGGCCCGCUCAUUGGCGGCGCCAUCGCCGCCAUCGUCUACGACGUCUUCUUCAUCACCCCCAACUACGAGCAGAUCCCCCCGCCCGACUACUGAUCAUCGAUCAUCACCCCACAGCCCCCAGCCAAGCCGCCUCCUUUCCAUGCAUAAAAUUCUCGAUCCUUGCAUGCAGUACUCGUCGUUAAUUUCCUGUUUUUUCUUAAUGAAUCUAUCUCGUGCAUGGUUUAAUUCUGUUGUUCGAUCGGUGGUGGUGGUGUAUUGAUUUCGAGUCUUUCUUUCUCAGUCAUCUUCUUUUAUUUCCGAUCGAUCAUUCGUGGUCGUCGUCGAUGUCGUCUACUCCUGCUCUUUGUUCAUAAUGCUGAGUUGAGUUUCUGCUGCUGCUUCUGUUGAACCUUGGAAAAAAGAGCUUUAAAAAAAAAGAGUUUUUUUUCUCACUCUCUCUCUCUCUCUCUC